UGGAUGAUUUGGAUCAGCUCCUUUUGAAUCUUCCUUGUCUUUUUCAAGUUUUUCUAACAUGUCUGUCUCUACCUCACUACUUGAAUUGGAACCACAUGAGGACCGGUCAACUUGUUUUCUGUUCUUCAUUUUAUCUGCAUCCUGAGGCUCAAUUACUUCAGCAGCCUUCUCAUCAUCAGUAGCUUUCACUUCAGUAUUCGCUUUUGCAUCUACUCUCUCUUCACAGUCUGAUGAUGAUGAAGUAGGUGAUUUAGAUGCUGAAUGCUGACCUGGCAAAGCUUCAGAGUAUUCAGGGUAUAGUCGUUCAUCCUGAGUAGUUAGGGCUAGAUCAGUUUUAUCUUUUUGUUCCAUAUUUGCAGCUGGAAUUUGACCAUUCUCCAUUGGUGGAACUGCAGCAGUGGAUGCAGGAGCACAGGUAAAGCCUGUGUGCAGAGGAGCACAUAUAGGAAGCAGUCCAUGGGCGGUCCACCAUGCAGUGGCAGCUGCUACUGUUGCAGCAGCAAUUGCGGCCAUACUAGGAGCAGAGUUCAUUUGUGUAGAUGGGAAACCUCUUAGUUCAUUUGCAGGAGAAUCGCCAGAACUUUCAAUGUUUGCAUAUGGCCAAAAUGUAGCUGCAAAACUUGCUGCAGCAUGAGCAGCUGGAUUCUGUAACAAAGUAGAUACAAUGAGAUUGGAAAAAGUGGAGCUGACAUGUAGAAAGGAUCGAUACUCCUCUUGAUCGGGCCGAAGAUGUAUAAAGGGAGUAUGAAAAGGUGGCAAUGCCUGAUGAGUAGAUUUUGGUGCAUUAUUCUUAUGUUCAGUAGUUGCUGAUGCAGCUGGAUUUGCAAACAGGUUAGGUCCAUGAACAUUGCCCGUAGGGUGAAAUACAGAAUCUUGAAAUGACAUACCCAGGGAAGGAUUUUGAACACAUGUUCUAAGGCUUCCAUCUAGGACAUGCACAGCAACAUGCCGAGGAUAAUUUUGAGCAGCUUGCAUCUCAUCUGCACAAAAAUCACCAUCCAAAUCAUCUUUUCUCUGGCCUUGAGCUGAUUUCUCAUAUGAAGUGCAAGACUUCUCCAAGUUUGAAGCCUUACUUGUACCAUUAUCAUGAAAUGUCUGUUGGACAUUAAGUUUAUAAGGUUCACAAAUUUCUUUAAGUUCAAGAAUAACAUAGAAUUCAUGUUUUUCAUGAUUUACUACCUCUUUUGGCAAAGGUACAAACUCCCUGAAUGUACAAGAGCUUUUGAGUGCAGUUGACAUUGGUAUAAAAUUCUUAUUCAUGGAAGACGCAGAGGAGCAGUUUUGUUCGUGGAGAAGGGUAAAAACCUCAGAGCAACUCUGGUCUUGAUUUUCUUUCAGGUUUGUAGCCUUUUCAUCUCCAGUAGGUCUCUGACAAACACAAUAUAUUUGAAGCUUACGUUAAAAAGGAGAAAAGAAAAAGAACAUAAUUAAGAGCAUGAAUAAAGUAGUUGAGGAGGAGAAAGAAACCUCCGGAAGUGGUUCUUUCUCCAAGUCCAACAUUUGCUUGCAACGCAAAGAAGAUAAUGGCAUUUCAGAUUUUCCAUCCUUAGCUCCCUCUUGUACUGUAGUAGCAGCACCAGUUUUUCGAGGAUAAGGAUUGCUUGGUUUUCUUUUAGGGCGUGGAGGUGGAAUCUCUAUGUCAAGAGCUUGACCUAUUGGUACACCUUUAGCAAGUGCCUCCUUCUCCAACUGAGAAUGGAUUAUUGUCAGUAGCAUCAAUAAAAUGAUAAAACAUAAGAGAAAUCUUACGAGUUUUUGGAGGCACCAAUGAAGCAUCAAUAUAAUAUUAACAAUGUGCAACACUAAAAUUAAUGAUAGGAAUGACAUAACUAAAUGCAACAUGAUCAUAUCUAACCAGUAUAAUUCCAAAUAUUAUCAGGAAACAAGAAGUCCAAGUAUAUAAUUGCUCUACAAUCUACAAAUAUCUCACACAGGAGGUUCAUACAAAAUUUUAUACUCCUGUUGUCAAUUAAUAUGGCCUGUUUUAUAACAUUAGAUUAGAUUAGAUUCUUCUUUUAUCCUUUCAUCCCAUAACAUGUCUGCUCAAGACUCGUCAGCAAUAUAAUACUUGAAUGUAGCAGACAUAAACACAGCCCACAGUUGAACAUAUACAUAGACAAAGAUUGACUAAAUAAAAAAGGGGGGGCUGGUUUAGCCGAGCAGUCAGUUCUGCUCGGCUAAACCAACCCCCCAUUUUACUAGGAGAAGAGAGGAUUAGCUGUAUUUAGAUGAAAAGAAAAUUACCAGUGGUUUCUUAAGAAACACAGUUUAGGUACUGCAUAAAUAAGAUUAAUCAAACCAUCUAUAAUGUUCAUUGUCAUGUAAAAUUGAGAUCAUUAAAGGUUAGGACUUCAGACUGAAGAAAGUAUUUGAUAAAGCUUUAACCAUAAUAUUCUUGAACAAUCUUCAUUUGCUUACUGUCCUGAUAAGAUUUAUCACUCACGAGCUAAUCGAGAUAAAAAUGUUAUGCAUGCAUUUGUUUGCGACAUCAGAAAUAUGAAAAGGAAAAAAAGAAGGAAGUAAUGCAUUACCAUGUACCUAACUUUAACAUAAUUGGCAGGUGACUGCCGAUAACCUGCAGGAAAUAAGUCUUUAAGAGAAGAAUCCAGUAAAAUCUUACUUUUACUGAAGAUGUAUACUUAAGGAGGAUAAUCGCUUAAGACAGACCUAUAGGAUGCAUACCUCAAAUCAAACAUCAUAAUUAGCUACAAGGCACAUCUAACAGACAUGCUGCUGUGAGCUUGGCUGCAAAACUUAAGGUACUAUGGGGAAGAUUGAUCCCAGUAUGAUCACCUAGAAGGUAUAAUAUAGUUUCAAUUAGGACUUAUCUUUCUGAUUAAAAGAAAAAUAUGCAGAUCAGAAUUUUAUGUUCCACAUUACUAGGAAAGGAAAUUAGUUGUAUCAUAAAUGAUAACAUCUAUAUAGAAGGUAUGAUCCUUAAGCAUAAAUGAGUACCCAUCUUGCAUUUCAAGCUCUCCCAAUUCCCAGAAAUGGAAGAACAAAAAUAAAAUUCAUUUUUUAGAUCUAACGAGUAUCUGGCUCACACCAGCAAUAUGGCUAAUGUUUGAAGAGAUUUCUCACCAGUAAUCUAAAGUUCUAAACACAUCAACAAACUCUAUAAUUCAACAAAUUCGUGUCAUCCCUGCUAGUACUAACUACUACUCAUCAUAUCCACUCUAAUGUUAGAUAAGAUCAUUUGGUAUUAUGAGAUCAACAUCUUCAACAGCCCUAAACUAAGUAGAUAUAAGCCCUAAACUUCCACCACAUAAAGGAGAUAAUAAAAAGUAGGCAAUAAAAUGCAAAAAAGAUAUAAGCCCUUGAGAUAUUGUCUUGAAAGGAUGUGAAACUUGCCACUAUAAAAGCUUUUAACAAAAAAAUGAUCCUAAAAUCAAAAGCUAUAAGCUAUCAAAUUUACCCUAACUGCAGAUUCAUUGCCAACCUUGGAUGCUGAUGAAUUGAACUAUUAGCAACCUUGAGAUGCUCUACACAUAAAGGAUACACUAAGCGGUAAUUCUAACUUGCAAUGACUAGCAUACUGGCCAUGGAUGCUAAAGAUUUCAGUUUAAACCAGAACCAAAAUCUAUGCAUAUAAUAUAGCAACAAAGAACAUGAUAGGUGGGCUCACCCCAAAUUCACUUCCUAGUUCUAUACCUCAUAAUGAUGUAUUUUCACUCUGUAUACAAACUCACUUCUUAGUUCUUACUAUACCUCAUAAUGGUGUGUUUUCACUCUCUAUACAAAUUUAGACUACAUGUAUCUACAUGACCCUUUUAUCCAAAGAAACCAAAUAUUUUAACUUUCAAAACCUCUGCUGUGGUAGGUUAAGUACAAAAUUGCUUCAGCAAGUUCCCAGACAAGAGGAUGCCUUGCACAUAAAAGGUUAGUGAAGGGCACAUUAGAAAAAAACCUUUUAUGACAACUUAAAAAACCAAAAAUGCCCUUUUUUAUUUCGGACUCCAAGGGUGAUAAACCAUCUUGCGCAGCCAAUUUCGUACAGAGACCAAAUAAAGAGAAUUCAAAUAGCUUACAUCCCCAAAAUCAAAUUCGUAGGGAAGAUAAAAGGCUAUCACCCUAAAUACGGUUUAAAUAUUUAGCAGCUCAGAUUCUUAUUUAACUCAAGUUGCUGCCUUUUCUAUAUAUAUUAAUAAACAAACUCCAGUGUACUUCUUUACAUAGUUGGUUAUAAUUUUGAUCGGUCAUAUAUGAUUGAUGUUUUUGACACAGAAAGCUAUACAUUCGCUUCGUAUAUUUUCUUUGUUGUUUUAAAUCUAACAAAUUUGUUUAUACAAGUGAGAAAAUGAAGUAAUAGAAUAAUCAGUAAGAUUUCCCAACCGUUCAAGAUAGUACAGUUGACGAUUCGAUAUUUCAUAUAUCUCAAGCAGAAACAAGAAUUAAGCAGCAGAAAAAAAUUACAUUGAACAUAGGCAUAAGCAUAAACAAGAAGGCACCAAAUGACCUUUGAAAAGAACUUUUGAGCAUGACUCCUGAUCUGCACAGCUGUCUUUGUUCCUAUAUAUUCUGCAAAUCACCAUGUAAAAACAAAAUGGAAAGAAAAAUACAACAAUAAAUAACAAAACUAUUCAGUUGUUGGUCCUAACAAACAUAUCCUACGAAUCUUAGCCUCAAUCCACAAAAACACUAGCUCUAAAAUGAUAGCAGCAAAAUCUAAACUAAGAGGGAAAAAGCAAGUGAAAAAACCUUCAAUGCGUUGCCAAGCUCGUCCAUAGAGCUUCAAGGCCUCUAGAAACCUAUUAUGCUCUUCCUCGCUCCAUCUUUCACGUUGUUUCGUAAUAGUAUAAGGCUUCCUAGUCUAUCAUUUAACAUACAAAAUUCAAUGGUCCAAAUUAUAACAAACACAAACCCCCAUUUUUUUACAAAGCUUCAUUUAAGAGAAGAGUUUACCUUAAUAACUAGUUCUUCACCAGAGGAGUAUGUGUCCAUUGAAACAGCGUCACCGCUGCUUCAAAUCCUCUCUAACAAGCAAAGAGUAUAUCACAAACCUCCUUUCAUUUCUUCCAACAUCCAAUACGACAAAUAGUAAUGCCGUUUUUGAGCUCCACAAAACCUGAUGAAUGCUAUUUAAUACUGCAAAAAGAAAAAACACAAAAGAACAACAACAACAAAUCGAUGGAGAUCCGUCUCUGUUUGUAUUUUUAUUCCAAUUAAAUUAAUAUUAAUUUCUCAUCAUUUAAUAAAAAUAUUUACUUAAUAAAAAUUUGGGGUGAAUGCUAAAUCUCUGGAAAAAUUAAAAUAAAAUAAAUAAAAAUUAAGUAUCCACCGUAACAAAGAGAAGAGACGGCUUCUUCCAAAGAACUUAAAAGAAAAUUCUCACCAAAACGAACCCGUAGACGCCAAAACCUUUAAUAGAAAAUGAUACGAAAAAAAAAAAGAAACUUUAAUUAGUAAUCAACAACACACUUCCACUGUUCCACAUCCAAUCUAUCUAUUGACAGCCAAUAAUAAUUCUUCACCUUCUGUUUGGUCGCCGAGAAAAAAAACAAAAGGAUUCAAAUUCAAUCACUUUUCUUUCGUUACUCUACUCAGCUGCAUAUAAAGAACACAACUUCCAAACUCAGCUUAGCAAAGCCUUUAAGGAAGGCCCUAGAAAUGAAGUGUAAAUACCUUAAAGAGAUAACCAUGGAAGAUGACAACAAUGGAAGCAACGAUCACGUAUCAAAAAUGGGUUCACCGGAAACCAGCCGGAGAGCUCAUAGUUUCCGGCAAUGACAAGAUCGGAAUCAACAGAAUUGGAAAAAUUAAAAGUAGUCUUUUUUGGGAGAAAAGAACUUGAAUAAACCCAAAAAAAAAAAGUGAAAGCAAGCUUAUUUUCUGGUGAUAAACUGAAAAAACACCAGAAACUACAGUAUGGGGAAGAAACAAAAGGAGAAAUCUCAGCCACUACAAUUUCAUGAGGAUUUUUUUUUUGGAAAAUUACAAAAAUUGGGCAGAAAAUUAUGUGAGGCUAUAAAAGAAUGAACGGUAAGAUACAUUAGAUGUUGCCAAGUGGCAAUAAUUUAGUGGCUGAUUCAACUAAAAGCCCACCGUUGCACUUUUUCCCUUAUUUUUUUGAUCUUUUUUUCUUUUUGCCCUUCUUGUUUCCUACCUUCAUCUUCAAAUAUCAGCCACAAGCUCCCAAUGGUCUUGGUGUUAAAUUAGUAAAAGCGCCAUUUGGUAUACCACAUGGUUCCUGCCGUCAACGUUUACGCAAUUCGUUGGCGUGGGCAACCGGUACGUGUCGGUUACAGGGGUAGCUUUGGUGUUAAAAGCACCGGAUUUGUGACCAUUAGCCACCGUAUGAGGUGAUGAGAUUUUAGGGUUGCAACAAAUCUAGGGAUAUGCUAUGCUCCCUUCCAUAAGUACUUGUAUUUUUUAUAGAUUUGAAAUUUAGUUCCUGUACUUUUAUUUUUAGGAAUUUAGUCAUUUUACUUUUCAAAUUUUUAAAUUCAGGUUUUACUGUUAACAUUGUUAAAAUUAUUUGUUAAAUUCAAGUUCAUUAUAAUAUUAUUUUUUUAGUUAAGUUGCUACCAAGUGAAUUUUUUUUUAUUUCAAUAUGUAAUAUAAGCCAAUUUAACGAAAAAAAUUAUAACAAUGUUAACAAUUGAACCUAAAUUUUGAAAUAUAGAAAGUAAAGAGACUAAAUUUUAAAUUUACAAAGAGUACAGGGACAUGACAUAUUUUAACCUUUUUUAUUAAACUUGUGAGUUACAACUUAAUUCCUAAAUUUGAAUUUCAUUAGAGUAUAUUAGCGUGUCGCUCUAAUAUUAGGUCACAUUGUCAUUUGAAAAUUUUAAAAAUUUUAUAUGAUAUCUAAAGAAUGCAAAAGGAAAAAAUUAAAGAAAUUCAUGUGGCGAUGGGAGAUAAUCUUAUAAUGUCACAUUAUUAUACUUUAACAAGAUCUAAGAUAAGAAACCAAAUUGAGAAAAACUAUCAAGCUUAAAGACUAAUGUGGAUAAAAAAAAAGUUGAAGGAUCAAGAUGAAAAUUUUAUCAAAUUUAAGAUCUAAAUGUUGCUUUAUGAUUAUUUUUUUUUAUCUUUUUAAGAUAAGAGUAAACUCCAUCAAUAUUCUCUAAACUUCAUUUAAAAAAAUGAUGUAUCAUGUUUUGCCAUUAAUAAUAAUCAGACUAAGCUCAUUUUAAAACAACGCCCCUAUUUAUUGUAAUGAUAUAGCAUUAUUCUUAUUCAAGUGCCUUGAUGUCCUCCGCUAAUGGUUGGAGCCUCCAAUCGAUGGACCUUACAUCCUGCUCAAAACUCUUGCAUAAAGCUUUCAUGUUAGGUGCAAAGAUACCAAUAGUGAAUCCAAACCUCUUUGCCUCAAUCAUUGCUUCUCUUAUUACGAAUAAAAUAGCUUGCUUAGUGGUAACCUCAUGUAAUGUGCUACAAAAACUUGUAAAUUUUAUUCAUUGAAUAUUAAAGAUUGUUAGAGACACUCCGAGGAAGAUAGUCCCUUUCUUCCAAGCUACCAAAGCAAUUCCCGAUAUAGUACCAUGAGGAACAUUCGAUCUAAUUGAUUUGCUCUGUUGUAUUCGAAAAUACCUCUCCGUAGCAUUCUUCCAUUUCUUGUCCUCAAACACCUAUAUUUCAUAGUCCUUGAAGAUUUCAAACCCUGUUGAUUACACUUAAGGAUUAACAUCAUAUCCUUUAAAAUAAUAUUCAUUUAUAUGAAUCCGUAUAUUCUAUAAGAUGCAAAUAAUCACUUAAUGCGUAUCAUCUAUUAAUAAAAGAGAAAAAUUGAUGUUGAUUGUAACACCCCUAACCCGUAUCCGCUGCCAGAACAGGGUUUCAGAGCAUUACUACCAUUUACAGAUCACUAAAAAAAAUUUAAAUACUUACCGAUUCAAUGCAUCAUAUAAAUAAAUAUAUUACCAUUCAAUCAACAGUUUGACACUUGUAUAAGCAUCAAACAACAACAUUGUUAGUAUACUUGCACAUAUCUCAUAUAAAGUCAACAUUGAUAUAUCUAUUUUCUCGACAUAUCGCACUUGAGUUUAAUAAUAGUCUCAACUUACAUAAUUUCCUUGUAUCAACAUAUCAAAGAUAAUCAUAUAUGUACAUGUCAUGAAACAUAUCAUGCUCUUACCGUUUCUUCAUAAGCAUAUAUCAUUCAUUUCAUUAUAUCAAUAUUUCAUACUCCAUCAUUUCCAUAUAUUUUAUGUAUAUUUAUUCCGGUAAUAGCUUAUAUCAAACUUAACAUAAAUUAUAUUCCAUGUACUUAUACUUAUUUCGUUUAUCUAUCUUCAUAAUUAUUUCAUAUAACCAUUCGUCAUCUGAUACAUAUUACCUGAAUAUCAAUUGUUCAACAGAUGUUAGAGCGUCUCCCAUCCACGGUCUUAUUUAUCUUUGACAUGAUGCCAUAGUGUCUUUCAACUAUGGUCUUACUCAUUUUCUGUCAUGUUGCCAUGGUAUCUUUCAACCAUGGUCUUGUUCAUUUCAUAUCACGUUGCCAUGGUAUCUUUCAACCAUGGCCUUACACAUUUCAUAUCUGGUUGCCAUGGUAUCUUUCAACCAUGGCCUUACACAUUUCAUAUCAGGCUGCCAUGGUAUCUUUCAACCAUGGCCUUACACAUUUCAUAUCAGGUUGCCAUGGUAUCUUUCAACCAUGGUCUUACACAUUUCAUAUCAGGCUGCCAUGGUAUCUUUCAACCAUGGUUUUACACAUUUCAUAUCAGAGAGCACACUCCCGCGAACCUCAUCCUUACAGUGGGAUUACCAGUCCAGGCUAAAUCCCUUGUAAUAUAAACUCAUAGAGUAUUGUCGGGAUUACCAGUCCAGGCUAAAUCCCCUGCAACGACAAUUACUCUAAUGAGCUUGGAUCUGAAUUACCAGUCCAGGCUAAAUUCAGACCCUAAUUCGGAUUACCCGUCCGGGCUAAAUCCAUUUUACACGUAUUCUUCGGGAGGGCUAUAUCAAGAUAGGAUCACCCGUCUGGGCUAGAUCCUUUUUACCGUCAAUUCCUUUUCAGAGAUCCAUCGAAUUUUCCUUUCAUUCAACCGAGAUUUCUUCCCAUUUUAUCAAAUAUAUCAAUGUUUCAUAAAUUUUCAUACAAUGAACAUUCAAAUCAUAUUCACAUCAAUAACAUACAAUCUCAAGUAUUUAAGAAUAUAAUUCAAGUUACACGAACUUACCUCAUUGCUUGUUUGUGUUUAUAAUUUCAUUAAUCCGAUAUCUUUUCUUUUCCACAAUCAAGUCUCAUAUUUGAGUCGUCCGGAUCUUUAUAAAUAAAUUUGAUCAUCAUUUUCAUUCAUUUCAUCUUCUAAUGCAUUUAAUUAAUGCUCUAGGCAAGAUUACCAUUUUGCCCCUAAACUUUUAAUUAAUGACAAUUUCGUCCUUAGGGUCAAGAAAAUAAAAUUCUUGCAAUUUAAUCCUUAUUUCCAGCUAUUAUUCUCAUAUAUAUUGAUAACAGUCCAUGGAUUCUAUAAAAUAUCAUAAUUUUCCAUAAUUUCAACACUUUUCAAUUUAAUCCCUAAAACAUGUUUUCCCCCGAUCUUGAACUAAAUUAAUAAUUUCAUUCAAUUUUGUAAUUUAAAUAAUAAAAUAAUCCAUUUCAUGCAAUUUGGUUAUUUUUGACAUUUUUACAAAAUUACCCAUAAAGUUUUACUUUUAUUCAAUUUAGUCCCUAAGCCUAAAAUAUGCAAAUUAACCAUGCUUAAUGAAUAUUCAUAUAUUUUUUCCUCCUCCUCCUCUCCAUUCCACAUACUUGAUGUAUGUAGCACACUUGUAAGUAACAUUAUCUAAAUCUUUAUUAUUUACUUUUAUGAAUAUUCAAGCUGUCCAUCUGUGUCAUAGUCACUAAAUUAUUUAUAUCUGGAUCUAUAGGACUCCAAAUUAAUAUCCGCUAAUUUUCCCUGAAACUAGACUCAUAUAUCUUCUUACCAUAAAAUUUUCAGAAUUUUUGGUUUAGUCAAUAAGUACAGUUUAUUCUUUAAAUUUACCCCUAUUCUGCUGUCUGACAGUUGUGACCCUUCUUCACUAAAAAUUAAUUAUCUCCUUGUACAGAAUUCGAAUGAUGUUCAUAUUUGUUUCUAUUGAAAAUAGACUCAUUCAGGAUUAUAAACAUAUAAAUUUAAUCCCCUAAUUAUUUUUAUCCAAUUUUUUUAUGAUUUUACAAAUUCAGAAUAGGGGAACCCGAAAUCAUUCUGACCUUGUCUCACAAAAUUCAUCAUAUUUCAUGAUUUAGAAUUCCAUUGCUUACAUAAUUUCUUCUAUAAGAAACUAGACUUAAUAAGAUUUAAUUUAAUAUUUUAUUCAUCCUAUAAUUAGAUUUCUACAAUUUUUGAUGAUUUUUCAAAGUUAGACUACUGCUGCUGUCCAAAACUGUUUUAGUACAAGAUAUUAAUUACCAUGUUAUAACAUCCUUAUUUUCUUUUUCUACACCAUUGCUCAUCACUUUCUCUUAUUUUUUCUUCACUAACAUAUCAAGAACAUAGGACCUUAUGUAAGAAAACUCUACUAUAACAUUAUUUCCAUGCUUUAUCAAUAAUAACAAACUUAAAAACAUAUUGAAAUCUUGAUGUACUUACCUUUUCUUAUUGACUUCAAUCUUUAACUUGAUUUUUCUCUCUCCUCCAGCUUCGAUUUCUUGAAUCCAACUUGAUAUUCUUGCUCCCCAUCAUCUCCUUGCUAUCUUUCUCUCUUGAUGGCUAUGGAAAUUCUUUCAAUUUUUAGGUGAAAAUAAUGAAUUUUUGGUGGAAGGACUAAAUUGUAAAGAAAGCAAACUUCUUUUCUUCUUCUUAUCUUGCGUUAGUUUGCAUGGGAAAGGAAAUGUGUUGAUAAUUCUUCAUCUUUCCUUCCUUUUAUACUAAAUAAAUAAUAAUAUAAUAAUAAUAAACAUCUCAUAAAAUAUUAAUAAAAUAAUAUUUAUCUAAUUAAUUAAUUUAAAAUAUCAUCAACAUAAUCAUUACAUUCUAGAAUUCUCUCUCUUAAUUAAUUGACCAUUUUGCCCUUCAUGAUCUUUUAGAAUUCCAUCCUUGAGUCAUCACUUAAUUUGGUAAAAUUACGAUUUAGUCCCUCAUAAUUUUUUUACCUAUUCAAUUUGGUCCUAAUUCAUCAAUUUUUCUUGGUUUCUAGAUCAUUCCACCCUUAAAAUAUUUGCACCAUUAGUCCUUCAAUUUUUUAUAUUUACACUUCAACCCCUUAAAUUUUGAGUAUUUACUCUUGUGCAACAAGACUUUUCUCAUCUUUGCAAUUUAGUCCUUUCUUGAAUUAAUAUAUCAUAAUAUACUUCUCAAUAUUGACAUCACUCAAAAACUCCCUUUUGGUCACUUUAUUUCCUUAUUUUACUAUAUCACGGAUAAUAUUUUACUGUAAAAAUUUUCGGGGUAUUAUAUUGAUGCAUUUCCUCCUUAAUAUAACAUGCAAGAUAAAACUCUGAAUAUCACAAUUAUUAACUUCAGUCGGCUUAAAACCUAAAAUCAAUUCCAACCAAACUACUCUAACUAAGAAGAGAUGAUCAUAGGAUUCCAUAUAUUAGCCACAAAAGCUACAAGUUGUAUCAAAACAAUUAAUUCUUCUACCUAUUUCCUCUUUUAAAGGCAAAACUUUGACACAUAUUUUUUAUAGAAAUAGUAAUUCAAAAGAUUAAUAAUUAAUUUGAACUAUCAUUUUAAUAUUUUUAAAAUUUUUUUAAUUAUUUUAAAAAUUACUUAAAAAUUAUUAAAAUUUUAACCUAAUCCUUUAAACCGGAGCUUUUGGGUUUUACUUUUUUUUUUUUAAAACUUAAUCCUUUGAUGUUUUUCUUAUUCUUUUUAAAUCACACCAAACUGUUAUUUUAGCGUAUACCAAUGAUUAAAGUAUACAAAUUCUCAAAAUUAGAACAGUUAUUUUUAUAAUAAAAUUAUUAAAAUAUAAAAAUAACUCAAUAUUGAAUCAGUUAUUUUUCAAUUUAACAGAUAUUAUUAUGGAAAAAAAAGCUGGGUUUUAAUUAAGAGAACCCAAAACCCCAAUCUUUAAAUUCUACUGAUUUAAUCAAAUUAGCAAAAGUUAAAAAAAAAAAAAAACGACAGUUAGACUACAAGGGAAAAACCAAAAGAGAAAAAAAUUUAUUUUCGUUCUUUUAAUGAUUUUUAUAAUUUUUAAUUAUUUUUAAGAUUUAAAAAAUUGAAAAUAUCAAAAUGAUAUUUUUAACUAUAAUUUAAUAAACAAAUUAAUUAUUAAUCCUUUAAAUUAAGUAUCAUGUUGUUCCCUAACAGAAAUUAACGGACGAAUAAUUAAAAUAUAAUAUUUAAAUAAUAUUAAUAAUCAUUUCGUAUCUUUUAAAAAUUCAAUCAUUCAAUUAAAUAAAAUUAAAUAUUCAAUCGUUACACAAAUUACUAGAGCCAUUGAAAUAAACCAAAAACGGUUCUUAAUUUGUCUACAAAGUCAACACUCUAUCCUAUACACUCACAUGAAUAAAAUUUCAAUUCGGUCAGCCCCUUAAUUAUUAGAUUUAUUCAUGUUAUGCUAAUUAUUCAUUAUCAUCCAAUUCAUACAUUAAUUUGCCUUAAUUAUCCUAAAUUAACAUAGUUAACAAUUAAUCAAGAGGGAAAACAGUUCAUUUGAGUACUCACUAUUUAAUAAUUUCCAGCCAAUAAUGAAAUCAAGUCCUUGAUAUAAUUACACUCAAAUCCCUCUAAACUUCUAUUACUUUUUAAAGUAGUCCCCACCAAUUCACAUUUGUAUCCCUCCACUUUAAGCAUUUAUGUACUAGAUAAUCCCCACUUCAGUUUUCCUACUAUUUUCUCUUAAAUUACACCAUCUCAAUUUACUUAUUUCAUCAUAAAUAUUUAAGUUCACUGUUUAUCUCGAAAUUUACUAUCCGGAUGAUACCAUUUCGUGGUCUAAAUUUUGAAUAGUUUAAAUAUUAUAAAUUUUAAAAAAAAUCUCAAUAAAUUUUGAUAUUGAAUAAAUUGUUCUUCUAAAAAAAUCAAAUCAAUUUAAUCCCUGACAAGUUUAAAAUAAACACUUAAGACAAUUAAUCACACUGUAAUUAUUUUUCAUGAUAUAUAUAUUAUUAAUACAAUUACAAAUUUAACCCACAACAUUUAUAUAUUCUAUCAAUCCAAUUUAGAUGUAAUUAAUUUAAUCCACAAAUUUUUCUCAUUGUCAACAUUUAUGUAGAAUAUAUAAACAUUAAAAAUUAAAUUUAUUAUUAUACUAAUAAAAAUUAUAUAUAUAAUUGACGGAAAAACAUCACUAUUAUAACCAAUUAUCAUUAGUUGCUAUUUUUUAAAUCUACAAACAUCAAUUACUCCAAUUUUGAGAAAAAUUUAAAACCGACUAGAGUAACCAAAAACAAACUUUACUACCGGACAUCCAGAGAAAAUAUCCAUAGUAGAUGUAGAUCAACUAUAUGCUACGGAAUUAAUUUCAAAAAAGUUCUAUGCUGGAGAGAUGUCGGUACCAUUUGUAUCUUCGUCUUCAAAAUCUUGAAAAAUAUGUUAUUAUUGUUUUGGGAAAUAUGUUUUCCUGAACUAAAGUAAAUUGGAAAAUAUUUAGUGCAUUGGUAAUUUUUAAAUAUUAUUUUUGGAAUAAAAAAUUAUAUUCUCAAUGUAUUAUAUACUAAUUCAAAUAAAUUUUAGUUAAAAAUGAUGAUAAACUAAUUUUUAAUAAAAGUAAUAUUAAGUACUAAACAAUUAAAUACAUCAAAAGUAACAUGUUUAUUGUAUAUAAAAGUGAAUAAAAUAUAUACAAAACAUAAAUAAUAUGAAAAUAUAUUAUUUAAUUUUAAUAUUGACAACACUACUUAUCAGAUAUAUGUAUACAUUUGCAAAGCUUCCGAAAACAAAAAACCACAAUACAAAAACAAUGAGUCAAUUGGUAACUAAACACUAAAGCAAACAGACAAGGCUUGGAAGGAAAAAAAAGAGUAGAUAUACUUUUUGGUUCUCUUAUGACUUUAUUAUUUAGAUUGGUACUUAAUAAAAGAGUCGACUUCUUGGGGCAGCCAACUCAAACUCUCAACAAUUGAAAAUAUUGUAUUGACAUUAAGGUUUUGUCUAGCUUCCAUAGAAAGUCAUGUACAGUUCACAAGAAAAGUACUUUAAUUAAUGGAAAUAGAUAUCUACAAAACUCGGAAAAAAUAUCAAUAUAAAGUGUGCAAAUAAUAAUGAAAAUACUUAGGUACCCCACAACUUAAGACACCAAGGUACCUCCAUUAUUAUUCACCCACCUAUACUCUCACUUCUCCCGAGUCUUGCAGGUGACUAUUUCCACCAACUGAGGUACCCCUUGAUAAAUCGUACAUGACUCUCCAUAAAAGUUAAGGACAAAACCUCGACACAAGGAUAAAACCUUCAAUUAUAGAGACCGAAUCAACUACCCGACAAACGACAUUCCAAGUAGGAGCCAAUCCCCCCUCAAUAGUACCUAAUUUCUUUAUAUAUUUUUUUCAGACUAAAAUUUGAUUUCCACCACACAUGUUAGCCCAUUUUUGAACCUUCGUUAAUCUUGAUUUAACCACAUGGGACACAUCAUGUCAUCAACUAUGUACCUACCAUGUGUAGUAAAUUUAUUGGACCACAUAAUCCAAUUUUAAAAGAGUUACAAAAAAUUGACUAAAACCUGUAAGAAAAGCCAAAUUCGAGUACCAAUCUGAACAAAAAAUAUAUAUGUACCAAUUUAUACAUCAAAACCAAACGUACCAAAAAAUAUAUCUACCUAGAAAAAACUAAGCAUAAAAACAGUUGAACUAUGAACUCAGUGGGGCAAUCUGUUUAAAUUGCCUUUUCAUGCAUAAUAAAGGUUUCAGCUUCAGCUAGAGUUCACUAAGCAAAAGGUAUAAGAAUAAUGAUAAAGACAAAGGCAUUCAGAUUCAAUACUUCCUUUAAAUGCUUCUAUCUCAGAGGGAGUUUUUUAACUGCAGUAGCAAGCAUAAAAAAGUCCAGGAAAGCGAAUAAGUCAAUGUAGAUAUUAGAUAGUACACAACACCACCUACACGAAAAGUCUCGUGAGCUGCAAUCGAAUAAAAGUCUUUUAAGAUCAACAUAUGAAAAGGAAAUAAGAUAUGGGGGAAGAACAUUAGAGAUUGCAUUCAACAAACAAACUUUGCCUUUGUUAAUUGUAUGCAAUUGUGUAAAAGUCAAGUUGACGGUUCCCCUUCCAAGCGUACCCUCUUGGGACAUUUCUCUUCACCUUGACUGCCAGUGUUCAUCACUCUGUUUUCUUUGGCUUCCACAGAACACCUUUUGUAAGGUUUAAAUCCAGUUCGGCCAGCUUUUAGUUUUGAAUGUCCUAAUCCAAUAGUCAGCAGGCCCUCUUCUGUACUGUUCUUGUCUCUUGAUAAUGCAUUUUUCACAGUUUCUUGAUGAUCAGAACAAGAACCCCAUGUAUUGCUGUUGAGAUCUAAAGUUGAUAUUUCUUCGUCUUCCUCAGCUGGAUUUUGCUUGUCUUCACCUAUAUUUUCCUUUUGCUGCCCCUUGCUCUUGCCGUCAUGUGGAGGAGAAAAGCUUUGUGGGAGUACCUCCCGGGAGAAGAGGGCUUGAAAAGCUAGCCGCCCCUGAAUAAGUAGUGGAGCCAUACAGUGGCAAUUGUACAAAACAAUUAGAAUAAUAAUUAAAGUUGGGCUAUAUGGGAAAAUUGACAUAUCGACUCACCUCUUCAGAUACCUCCUUCCAAGAAUCACUCAGGUUGCUAUUGCUUCUACUACUACGACGGUAACAUUCAACUUGUGGAUGAUUGGGGUCAGCUCCUUUUGAAUCUUCCUUGUCUUUUUCAUGUUUUUCUAACGCAUCUGUCUCUACCUCACUGCUUGAAGGAGUGUUGGAGCCACAUGAGGACCGGUCAACUUGUUUUUUGUUCUUUGUUUUAUUUGCAUCCUGAGGCUCAAUUACUUCAGCAGCCGUCUCAUCAUCGGUAGCUUUCACUCCAGUAUUCACUUUUGCAUCUCCUCUCUCUUCACAGUCCGACGAUGAUGAAGUAGGUGAUUUAGAUGAUGAAUGCUGACCUUGCAAAGCUUCAGAGUUCUCAGGGUCUAGUUGCUCAACCUGCAGAGAUAGAGCUUGAUCAGUUUUACCCUUUUGUUCUGUCUUGGCAGCUGGAGGUUGACCAUUCUCCAUUGGUGGAACUGCAGCAGUGGAUGCAGGAAAACAGGUAAAGCCUGUAUGCAGAGGAGCACAUACAGGAAACAGUCCAUGGGCGGCCCACCAUGCAGUGGCAGCUGCUACAGUUGCAGCAGCGAUUGCAGCCAUUCUUGGAGCAGAGUUCAUUUGUCUAGAUGGGAAACCUCCUAAGCCGCCUGCAGGAGAAUCGCCAGAGCUUUCAAUAUUCGCAUAAGGCCAAAAUCUUGCUGCAAAGCUUGCUGCAGCAUGGGCAGCUGGAUUCUGUAACAAAGUAGAUACAAUGAGACUGGAAAAAGUGGAGGAGACAUGUAGAAAUGAUCGAUAGUCCUCUUGAUUUGGGCGAAGAUGCAUAAAGGGAGUAUGAAAAGGUGGCAGUGCCUGCUGAGUUGAUCUCGGAGCAUUAUUCUGAUGUUCAGUAGUUGCAGAUGCAGCUAGAUUUGCGGACAGGUUAGGUCCAUGAACAUCACCCAUAGGGCAAAAUACAGAAUCCUGAAAUGACAUAUCCAGGGAAGGAUUUUGAGCACAUGUUCUCAGGCUUCCAUCUAGGACAUGCACAGAAACAUGUCUAGGAUAAUUUUGAGCGGCUUGCAUUUCAUCUGCACAUAAAGCACCAUCCAAAUCAUCUUUUCUUUGGCCUUGAGCUGGUUUAUCAUAUGAGGUGCAGGAAUACUCCAGGUUUGAGGCCUUACUUGUACCAUUAUCAUGAAUUUUCUGUUGGACAUUAAGUAUAUAAGCUUCAUAAAUUUCUUUAAGUUCAAGAGUGACAUAGAAUACAUGUUUGUCAUGAUUUACUACCUCUUUUGGAGAAGGUACAAACUCCCUAAAUGUGCAAGAGCUUUUGAGUGCUGCUGACGCUGGUAUAAAAUUCUUAUUCAUGGAAGAAGCAGAGGGGCAAUUUGCUUCGCAGAGAAGGGUAAAAACCCCAGAGCAACUCUCAUCUUGAUUUUCUUUCAGAUUUGUAGACUUUUCAUCUCCAUUAGGUCUCUGACAUAAAAGAUAUAUUUGAAAAGCUUAGGUAAAAAAAGGAACAUAUCUAAAGGUGAGAAUGAAGUAGUUGAGUAAGAGAAAGAAACCUCUGGAAGUGGUUCUUUCUCCAAGUCCAACACUUGCUUGCAAUGUGAAGAAGAUAUCGGUGUUUCAGAUUUUCCAUCCUUAGCUCCAUCCUGUACUGUGGUAGAAGCACCGGUUUUUCGAGGAUAAGGAUUGUUUGGUUUUCUUUUAGGGCGUGGAGGUGGAAUCUCUAUGUCAAGAGCUUGACCUAUUGGUACACCUUUACCAAGUGCCUCCUUCUCCAACUGAGAAUGGAAUACCGUCAGUGGCAUCAAUCAAAUGAAAAUAUAGAAAAGGAGAUUACAGAAGCUGCCAAUGAAGAAUCAAAUUUCUAAAAUUAACUGUGUGACACUAAAAUAUACUAUAGGAAUAGCAUAAUUCAAUGCAACAUGAUAAUAUCUAACCGGAAUAAUACCAAACAUCAUCAGGGAACAAGAAGCCCAUGCAUAUAAUUGCUCUAACAUCUCCUUAAUAUGGAUGUUUAUCAUGAUAAUAUCUCACACAGGAGAUUGUACAAAAUUUUAUACUCCAUUGUCAAUUAAUAUGCCUUAUUUUAUAACAUUAUAUUAGAUUUAUCUGCUUCCCACCAAAUAAUUAGAAUCCAUCAGCCAAAUUUGUACAACAUUUGUUUUACCCAGCUUCCAGAAAGUACAUCGCAAUUGUGUCCUUCAAAUCAGGUAAGCUCAUACCAAAAGGGGAAUCCUCUAAAGCACUUUUAAAGAAUCAUCAAAAAUAAACUUUUUUUAUUCCUUUAAGUCUAUCACAUGUCCCCUCAAGAAUAGUACGCUAUCUUAACAUUUGACUGUAGCAUACACCCAGGCCAUAGUUGACCAUAUACAUACACCAAGACUGACUAAAUAAAAAAAGGAGGCUGGUUUAGCCAAGCCGGCAGUUCUGCUUGGUUAAACCAACCCCCACUUUACUAGAAGAACACUUAAAAUUGUAUAUAUAGAGGGAGAGAGGAUUACUCCAUUCAGAUGGAAAGAAAAUUACCAGUGGCUUCUUAAGAAUCAGAGUCUAAGUUCUGCAUAAAAAAGUUUAAUCCUUCAAAUUGCCAACUUAUCCCAUAUAAUGUGAACCAAACUAUCCAUGAUGUUCUUUGUCAUGUAAAAUUGAUAUCAUUAAUGGUUAGAACUUCAUACUGAAGAAAGUAUUUCACAAAGCUUUAACCAUAAUAAUCUUGAACGAUCUUCAUUUGCUUACCCUCCUGAUAAAAUUCAUCAAUUAUGAGCUAAUUGAGAUAAAAAUGUUCGAAACUACUAACAACAGAAUGUGUGCAUUUGUUUGUGGAAUCAGAAAUUUGAAAGGAAAAAAAUUGCAAUGCAUUACCAUAUACCUAACUUUAACAUGAUUGGCAGGUGACUGCCAAUACCUGCAAGAAAUAAGUCUUUAUAGACGUGCUUGGUUAAGUGAAAAAAUGAGAGGGAGGAGUGGAAAAUUGGAAAGAAAAUGAAAUUGAGUGUGCUCGAUAAGAAAGGAAAGAGAGAGAGAAAAGAAAACAAGAGAGGUACCAUUUUUCAUCCUAAUGCACAAAAACAAAUCAUUCCAAAUUGGAAUGAUAAGAGGGGGGAAACGAGAGACAAAAGUAAAUUCAAAAUUACGCAAUUUUCAAAAGUUCCAAUUUCUUUCAUCUCAUUUAAAUUCAAAAUUUUGCAUUUUUCAAAAGUUUCAUUUUCUUUCAUCUCAUUUUUCAACUCAAUGGAAAGAAAAGUACUUUUUUUCUUUUAAUUUUUCCAUCUUACCAAGCACCCCAAUGGAAAGAAAAAAGAUACUAUUUUCUAUCUUUCUAGUCUUCCAAUUUUUCAUCUUUCCAAUUUUCUCUUAGCUCUACCAAGCAAAGCCAAAGAGAAGAAUCCAAUACAAUUUUAUGAGUGAUACCUUUUACUGAGGAUGCAUACCACAUUCAUUAAAUUAUUAGUAAAUUUACGCUUUGGUCACUGAAUAUCAAAAAGUUAAAAAAUGGUCCUUAGACUAUUCGAAAGUUUUCAUUUAAGUCAUUGAAUUAUUCGAAAGUUUUUAUUUAACUCCCUGGGCUGUUAAGUUUUUUUUUUUUUAAAAAGGCCGUUUAGCAAGCUCUAACCAACAAUUCGACUAUCAAUACGGUCGAUUAGUACCCAUUGAUGAGUAAAAGAACAUACCUUAAAUCCAAGUUGAUUUGACGGUCACUGUUGGAGAUCAAAGAAGAAAGCUGUUUGAAUUUUGGUUCGUGGAUUCAUGACGUUUAAAGUUGUUUUAUGAAAGAAAAACUGAAUUGUAGAAGAAAAGGGGAAUGAGAGUUUCGCUUAAUGCAAGCGGUGCAAAUAGAGAGGACCAUACAGUAGCGAUUUUAACAGCCCAGUGACUUAAAUGAAAAGUUUUGAAUAGUUCAAUGACCAUUUUAUAACUUUUUAAAGUUGAGUGACCAAAACGUAAACUUACCAAUAGUUUAAUGUCCUUUGGUGUAGUUUACCCGAAAAUUUUAUGAGUGAUUCCUUUUAUUGAAGAUGCAUACCAAAUUCACUACGUAUGGGAUGCAUGCCUCAAGUCUAGCACCACAAUUAGCUACAAGGCACAUCUAACAAACAUGCCCCUCCUAAGCUUGGCUGAAAAACUUAAGGUAUUAUGGGAAGAAUGAUCCCACUAUUCACCUAGUAGGUAUAAUAUAGUUUCCAGUUAUGACUCACAUUUCAGAUGAAAAGAAAAAUAUGCAGAUCAGCAUUCUAUGUUCCUCGUUACCAAGAAAGGAAAUAAGUUUUGUGUCAUAAAUGAUUAAUCUAUAUAGAUGCAUGAUCCUUAACCUUAAAUGAGUAGCCUAUCCUGUAUUUCAAACUCUCCCAAUUCCCAAAAAUGGAAGAAAGAAAAAUAAAAUUCAUAUUAUAGAUCUAACAAGUCUCUCUGGUUCAAACUCGGUAAUAUUGCUAAUGUUUAAAGAGAUUUCUCACCAGUAAUCUGAACGCAUCAACUCACUCUAGAAUUCAAAAAAUUAUAUCCUUCAUCAUAAGACUUGUGGAAUCCCUCCUAGCACUAACUACUAAUCAACAUAUUCCACUCUGAUGUUAGAAGAUCAUUUGGCAUAUGAGAUCAACAUCAUCAAACACAUCUUGACUCACAAAGGGGAAAAAGUCCUUUUUCUAGAAGUAAAUCAAGACCUUCAGCUAGGCUCGAUAUAAAAACAGCCUUAAACUAAAUUUUGAACUUCCACCACAUAAAGGAGACAAUGGAAAGAAGGAAAUAAAAAGCAAAAGAAAAAAAAGGGGGGGGGGAAGAAGAAGAAGAAGAAGACAAAAGCCCUUUAGAUAUUGUCUUGAAAGAAUGUGAUACAUGCCCUUAUAAAAGCUUUAAUAAAAAUGAACCUGAAAUUGAAGACUAGAUGUGAAACUUGCCACUAUAAAGGUUUUAACAGAAAACGAUCCUAAAAUUGAAGACAACUAUCAAAUUUACUAUAGGUUCAGAUUCAUUUUAAACCAUGGAUGCUGAUGCAUUGAACUAUUAGCAACCUUGAGAUACCCUAAACAUGAAGGAUACACUAAUAGGUAAUCCUAAUUGCAAAUGACUGGCAUACCACCCAUUGAUGCUAAAGAAUUCAAUUUGAAGCAGAGCCAACAUCUUGGCAUAUAAUAUAACAACGAAGAACAUGGUAGUUAGGCCUAGCCCAAAUUCACUUCUUACUACCAUUCCCAAAAAAGAAUUAACUUCUUAUUACUUCAUAAUGGUCUAUAUUCACUCUCUAUGCAAAUUCAGACUAUAUGUGCCUGCAUGACCCGUAUGUGCCAAGUAACAAAAUAUACUAAAUUUCCUCCGCUGUAGUAGAUUAAGUACAAAUUUGCAUCAGCAAGUUCAAAAAUGAUCAGGCAAGUGGAUGCCUUGUGCACAAAAGCUGGUGAAAUGCCUAUUAGAAAGAAAAGAACCAUUUAUAACAACUUGAAAAAUGAAACACACCCCUUUUUUUUCAGACAGAUCAGACUCCUUGGGUGAUAAACCUAUUUGCAUAGCCAAUCUCAUAAAGAUUCCAAAUAAAUAAAAUUCAUAUAGCUGACAUCUCCAAAACCAAAUUUGUAGAGAUGAUAAAGGCUAUCGCCCUAAAUAUGAUUUACAAAAAUUAGUAUUUAGUAGCUCGGAGUCUCAUCUAACUCAAGUUGGUGCCUGCCUAUAUAAUAAAUAAACUCCAGUGUGCUUCUUCACAUGAUUAUAAUUUUAAUCAUUUAUAUGCAACAGAUGUUUUUGACGAAGAAAACUAUCAUUGAUAUGCAACUGAUGUUUUUGACGAACAAAACUAUGUAAUCUCUUCAUAUAUUAGGCAUUAACUCUUUCUCCUCAAUCUAUUAGUUGAAUAUGCCAAGGAAACCUCCUAUAUUCUCUUUGUUGUUUUAAAUCAACAAAAUUGCUUAUACAGGGGGGAAAACUGAAGUAGAGAAUAAUCAGUAAGAUUUCCCAACCGUUCAAGAUAGUGCAGUUGAUGAAUCGAUAUCUUAUAUAUUUCAAGAAAAGACAUGAUAUAAGCAGCAGAAAAAACCAUUGAACAUAAGCAUAAGCAAAGACAAGAAGGAACCAAAUGACCUUUGAAAAGAAUUUUUGAGCAUGACUCCUGAUCUGCACAGCAGUCUUCGUUCCUAUGUGUUCUGAAAAUCACCACGUAAAAGAAAAAGGGAAAAAAUCUCCAAUUAUGACAAUAAAUAACAAAAGCAUCUAAUUUUUCAGUCCUAACAGACAUAUCCAACAAAUCUUAGCCCACAAUAACAAUAGUUCUAAAAUGACAGCAGCAAUUGAAAUAUUACUGAGAGGGAAAAGCAAGUAAACACCUUCAAUGCGUUGCCAAGCUCGUCCAUAGAGCUUCAAAGCCUCUAGGAACCUAUUAUGCUCCUCCUCAGUCCAUCUUUCACGUUGUUUGGUAAUAGUAUAAGGCUUCCUAGUCUAUCAUUCAACAUAAAAGUUCAAUGGUCCAAAUAAUAACAACAAAACCUCCAUUUUUUACAAGUCCAACAAGCAUAACUUACAAGCAAAAAAUAAAAAUACUCAAUUUAUUUUGAUAAUUAAUACCUUAAGAACGAGUUCUUCCCCAGAAGAGUAUGUGUCCAUUGACAGGACCUGGGCAGCGCUACCGCUGCUUCAAAUCCUCUCUAACGAGCAACGGGUAAAACACAAACCUCCUUUCAUUUCUUUGGACAUUCAAUACUACAAAUAGUAGAGCCGUUUUUGAACUCCACAAAACCUGAUGACUGCUAUUUACUACUGCAAAAACAAAAAAGCCAACGACAACAAUCGAUAGAGAUCCGUCUCUGUUUUCUAUUACUACUCCAACAAAUAUUACUGCCUCAUCAUUUAAUAAAUUUUUACUAUUUUAAUUAAUCAUAUAGUAAACUUCAGGUGAAAGCUAAAUCUCCAGAGAAUUAAAAUAGAAAUAAAAAAUUUAAGUAUCCACCGUAACAGAGAGAAGAGACGGCUUCUUCCAAUGAACUUAAAACAAAAUUCCUUUAUUCAGAAUCCUCGCCAAAACGAACCCGUAGACGCCAAUACCUUUCGAGAAAUGACCAAAAAAAAAGUGUUAAUUAGUAAUCAAUAACACACUCCUACUUUCUCGUAUUAGUAACAACCAAUAACAAUAAUUCUUUACCUUCUGUUUGGUUACCAAGAAAAAAAAAACAAAAGAAUUCAAACGCUUUCCUUUUUGUCUCUCUACUCAACUUCGAAUAAACAACAUAAUUUUUUAAAACUCAGCUGAGCAGAGCGAAAACGAUCAUUUUAAGCAACCAAACGGAGAGUAAACAAAGCCCUAGAAAUGAAGUGUAAACUUUAAAUACCUUGAGAAAUAGCCAUGGAGGAUGAGAACACUGGAAACGACGAUCACGCAUGAAAAAAUUAGUUCACCGGAAAACAGUCGGAAAGUUCAUAGUUUCCGGCAAUGAAAAAAAGAUCGGAAUAUACAGAAAUUGGAAAAACAGAACUUGAAGAAAGCAAAGCUAAAGAAGUGAAAACAAGCUCUUUUUUUUGUGAGAAUUAAAACACAAAAAAUACUACGAGAAAUCUCAGCCACUAUAAUUUCAUGUGGAUUUAUUUUUCUGGAAAUUUUUUGAAAAUAAAAAAAAAUGGGGGAGUUUAAUUUGAGGCUGGAAAAGAGUGAACGGUAUGUACAGAACAUAGAGAUGCAUUAGAUGUUGCCAAGCGGCAGUAAUUUAGUGGCUGAUUCAACUAAAGCCCACGCUUGCGCUUUUUCCCUUAAUUUUUUAGUUUUUCUUUUUGCCCUUUGGCCAAUAGCUCCUACUUCCUACCUUCGUCUUCGAAUUUCAGCCACAAGUUGCUAUGCUCUUUGGGGUUAAAUCCGUAAAAUUGACUCUAGCUUUGCCACGUGGUGCCCGACGUCAACGUUUUGGCGAUUCGUGGCACAGGUGGUCGGUACGUGGCGGUUCAGGGGCUGCUGCAGAGUCAAAAGCCACCGGGUUUGCGACCAUAUUAGCCAGGAUCUACGGUGAUGAUUUUAAGAUUGCAUCAAAUCUAGGGACAUUCCUAUGCAUUGCUCCGUUUUUCGUUCUUUCUUUUUAUCUUUUUCGUUCCUUACGUGAUAAGAAUAGCAGCUUGGGUUCGGUUCAAGCUAUAAGAAUAAAAGUAUGAUAAUCAAAAUUUAGAUUUGGGUUUUAUAAGGCUAAAGUUGAGUCUAUAUAUAUUUUUUAAUAUAUAAGAUAAAAUUAAAUAUAUAAUAAGAGAAAAUAUUUAGUAUACUGUUAUCGGAAUUUUUUGAUUUCAAAAAUAAAAUUAGAGUUUGACAAUUAUAUAAUAAAAUAAAUAAAUAUUUAUAAUAAAGACACAUAGUAAUUUUUUAAGAUUACUUUUAACCAAAAAUAAGAAAAUAUUUGAUAGACCGGGAGUUUUAAACUUCAUUAGUGUUGGAGUGAUGAUAAGUAUCAUAUAAAGGUAUAAUAAAAUAUUUUAAAAAAUAAAUAUAUAAAAGAAAUUGGACACAUAGCAAUGUUUAUAUUUAAAAUUUGAGAUAAUAUAAUUUUUGGCUUCUGAACUUGACAACAAAAUUCACUUUGGUAUAUGUAUUUUCUUUUGGUUUUGAACUUGAAAAAAUAUAAAAAUUUGAUGAUGUGAAACUAUGAAAUUGUGUCACAUUUUUCAACUAAUUUGAGCGUCAAAUCAACAAUAAUUAAAAUUUUAUAAUAAAAAAUAAAAUUUUAUCAAACCGAUUCAACUUAUUUCAUUGUCGACUUUGUCUUUGUUUUUGUUUUUUUACUAAUUUCAAGCAGUUUUCGAGUCAAUUGAUUCAACCCCUUUGGUCAAAUUAUUAUAUUGAUCAGUUCUUGGUUUGUCCGAUCUAGUCUUGUUCCAGUAAUACUGGUCACUUCAUCAAAUUUUGACAAAAUCCAAGUUUAGGGAUCAAAAUGGAUCUAGUUAACAAGUUCAAGAACUAAAGUGAACAAAAAAAAAUAUAGGUAUCAAAGUCAACCUAGUUGCCAAGUUUAAGGGCUAAAAAUUAUAUCAUCCCUUAAAAUUUUAAUAAAAAAUCUAAAAUAUUACAUUAAAAAUAUUUUUUUAAAAAUAAUAUCGCAUGUCUAAAAAUGAGUUUAGAUUAGCUUUUCAUAAAUAUAAGUAAGUUUAAAUAAAAUUUUAAGUCUAGAUUAAGUAAACAUUAAAAUAUAUAAAUAUCAUACAUAAACAUGAUCUAACUUGACCCAUACACACUUAAUUUGAUAAGUUUUUCAUGGUUGAAAAAUAGUAUUUUCAAAUAAAAUUUUUAAACCAAAUAAUAUUUAUAGGUUAGUAUGUAUUUUUUUCACAAUACACUUCCACAUACGUACACUAGUAGACAAUUUUCACGAUACGAAAAGCAUUCAAUUCUUACUAUUAGAUAUAAAGAUAAAAACUCUUAGCUAAUGAACUAAAUGUUUUGUUUUAAUUUAGUUUGCCUUUUGAAGUAUAUUAGUUUUGUCAUUGGGGUAGUUAAAAUUUUUAUUUCCACUUAUAGUACUUGCCUUUCAUUUUUAGUAUAAACUAUUAAUAGCAAUAAGAUAAAAGGUAAUACAUCUAGAUGGUGAUAGCACACUGUAUUUUCAUACACCUGUCAUUUAAUGAUGUGAUAUGCAUAGAAAAUCUAAAAUAUAUAAUUUGAAAAUUUAAAAAUUUAAAAAAAUUUAAAUUCUUUGAAAUUUUAUUUUUUUAAUAUAUAAAUUAUAUAAAAUAUUUUAGAAAGGGCAAGUAAAUAGUUGAUGAAGUUUUAGCUCGAUUAGUAUAGACAUUAUUGCUAACGCAGGAGGACGUACUUUUAUUUAUAAAUUGAAAUGAGAUUAUAAGUAGUUUUAAAUAUUAUGUCAAAAAAAAAAGUAAAAAAUUGAGAUUAAAAAUUAACUAUAUAUAUAAAUUCUAAAGAAAUACCGUCACAUGUUCUAUUUAAAAAAUAUUUGGUAUUAUAUAUAUAUAUAAUCUUUAGAAAUCUAUCUGAAGAGUUCUUAUCAAGAAAACAAAUCUAUUUUAAAGAGUUUGAAGUUUAAAAUUUUUUAUUUGAUACUAAUUUUUCGAAUUUUAAUAUUUUGGUCAUUUCUUCAUAUAACUCUUAAAUAUUUAUAAAUUUUAUCAAUUUGGUCUUAAUUCUAGAAACAUCAACAAAUUUAACUCUUAAUUUUACAUAUUCUAUCAAUUUAAUUUUAAUUCUUAAAAAUUCAAAAUUAAAAUUAAAAAAAUUAAAAAAAUAAAAAUAUAUACUUUUAAGCAUUCAUUUUUUAAUAAAAGUACAUAAAAUAUUAUAAAAAUACAUACACAAUUACAAGUAAAUGAAUACUCGUUUUUCUCUUUUCCAACAUGAAAUUUAUUUAUUAAAAUAAUAUUUUUAUAAAUAAUAUAUAUUUUAAAAAUCUAUAAACACGCCCGUAUCUUAGACCGUGUGGGCAUUCGAAAUAGGGACACACAACCGUGUCUAUACCCGUGUAACUCUCUGGCUUGGGUCACAUGGCUAAGCCACACGCCCGUAUGUCAGGUCAUGUACCCUUUCGAAGUGGUCUCGCACGCCUGUGUGCUAGUCAUGCGUCUUACACGGCCAACUCACACGCCCAUGUGUCUAGCCGUGUAGACUCAGAAUGUACAUUAAACAACAAGUUUACCAUUUCCUACAAGCUUGGACACUAAGUAAUUCAAAAAUCAUUCGUUUAACCAGUUUAAAACACAAACAAACACAUUCAAAUCAUGUCAAACCAAUCAUCGUACCUAACCAAUGUACUUUCAUUGGUACCAUAUUUAUAUCAUCCAAACAUAUCAUCAAAGCAUUAUUCAAGUCCAAAUUAUAAACAUACAUAAUUUAAUCCAUUUUGCUUGGUUUAUGAACACUUAAACAUCAAUUUAACAUGCCAUAAUAUAACUUCAAACACAAACACAUAUUCAUAUGUAUAUACCAAAACAUUAUUAAACUUAAAACCUCAUUUACAAUCAAACCACAAAAUAACUAUUAUUUUGACACCCUAGGUACAUGCCGACACAAAAGAUAGACAUCACCACACUUGAGUUCGGGAUUGUUGUUGAAUGUUGAAUCAGUGAUCAAAAGUUAAGUACCUAACCUGCUCACGGAAAACAAAACCGUACACUGAGUAAAACUCAGUGGUAUUUCUAUAAUCCGAACAUUUAAAGACAAAACAAUAUAAUAUGCUCAAUUGAAUUAUAAGGACAUAUUAAUGUCUAGUAUCAUAACUAUCAUUUUUCAUUUGUUAAACAAUAUCCCAAUUCACACAAUUGCUAUAUAAAUGGUUAGUCACAUAUCAAACCAUAUUUAUUCAUACAAUGGCAUUAGUCAUGCAACACUCAAUUCAUGAGUAUAUAACUCAUAUACUCCAUGUAUUGCCAACAUAUUUCAUAUUCUAUUUUCAAUUCACUAUAUCACUUCCAUUUCUCAUACCAAGCCAUUUCAAUAUCAAUUAUAGAACUUUAUUAUUUAUUUACCCCAAUUAACACGACUUGGACUCGGACAGAUACACAGAUCCAAUCAAUACACCAGUUUGGCACCCAGUGCCUCAUCGGAUAAAUCUGAAAUGAUAACUGUGCUUAGCGCUAUAUAAAUUUGACACCCAAUGUCUCAUCGGUUAAACCGAAGUAAAUUGGCACUUAGUGCCUUAUCGACUCGAAGUCGAAGAAAUCGUUAAACUUUUUCAAUCCUAUUGCAUGCCAUCUAUAUCUGACUCAACUCGAUACAGUUAAUAGGGUUUAAUUUCACAUUUCAAAAACAACCAAUAUCCGGUAUCAAUUUUUUUAUAUAAUCACUUAUACACAUGAAUUCAAUUCAAAUAAUUAAUACAAUCAUAAUAUAUAUACCAAUUCAAUCAAUUUCCAUCAACUUUAAUUCAAUUCAAUAUUAAAAUGUCAAAUACUCACCUCAACCACUUACCAUAAACAUUAACUCAAAAUACAACAACUAAUAACUAGGUUCGGAUUAUAAAAAUACAAACAAGGAAUUUCGAGCUAUUCCACAUCGACUUUAUCUUUUCCCUUUUUAGUCAAAAAUUCUGGUAUGACGUUAGUUACGGAAUUAAAACAAUUAAAAUUCAUCAAUAUAACACAAUUCAAUUUCAUAUUGAAUAUUUCAAUUUUUACUCAAUAUUUUCCUAAUUUUCAAUUUAGUCUCUAAACCAAGACUAACUUUAUUUCUUUACAAUUAAUCUUAUAUUUUCAUACAAAUUCCACUUAAACUAAAUUUAACUCCCUUACUUAAAUCCCUAAAUUUCAAUUUUUUAUAAUUUAGUCCCUAUUACACAAAAUUUACAAUUUAUUCUACAAUUUAAUCCUUUUUCACUUCUAGCUUAAAAAUCUAUCAAUUUAAUCCCUAAUACUAAAAUUAUUCAACACUAACAACAUUUAAAAACUCAAUAAUUGCUAAAAUUUCGACAUAGAUAGGUAGUACUUAACACCGGGAUUCCAAAAACAUAAAAAUUACAAGAAAAAGGGACUAAAUUGACUAACCAAUUGAACUUGAAACAUUAAAACCCAUAGGGUUGUUCGUCUCCUUCUUUCUUCUUUUCUUUCCUUUUUUUCUUUUCUUUGUGUUUCAUUUUUAUCUUUCUUUUUCUUUACUUAUUCAUUUGUUUUAGAUACAUUAGUUUAUUAUUAUAUUAUAUAUAUUUACUUAAAUAUUAAGUAAAAGGCAUAUUAUAAUAUAUAUAUAUUUUAACUUUAAUUUAUUAAUAAUAUAUAAUAAUUUUACAUUUAUGUCGCCUCACUAAAAAUAAUGGCAUAAUUGGUUUUUUAGCCCUUUUAAUUAUUCUUUAAUCUAUAAUUCAACUUUAACCCUAUAUGCAAUUUAGUCCUUAUACCUAAUUACUCUUAAUUCAUGCAAAUUCACUUAACCAAAACCUAAUUAACUACACAACUUUACAAGUCUGAUUUACAAAAAUAGAGUCUCGGGAAUACACUUUCUGACACCACUGACUUUCGGGUCGUUACACUUCUCCCUCUAAUUAAAUUUCGUCCCCGAAAUUUACCUGAAAAGAGGUGGGGGUACUGAGAUUUCAUUAUCUCUUCCAAUUCUUAAGUCGCUUCCUCAACACUAUGAUUACGCCAUAACACUUUCACUUACAGAACUCGUUUAUUACGCAACUCUUUCACUUCACGUGCCAAAAUCUCAACCUAUUCUUCUUCGUACGACAAAUCAGGUUGAAUCUCAAUAUCUUCCGUCGAAAUAACAUGAUAUAGAUCCAAUCGAUAUCUUCUAAUCCAUAUUUAAAAAAGAAGAAGAAGAAACACAUCUCAAUUUUUUAAAAUUGCUUGUGAAAUAAAAAAUAAUACAUUACCAAUAUCUCAAAUACUCACUUAUAUUUUAUUCACUUGCCAAUUUAAUUUUUUUUAAAAAAUUUAUGAAAAUUUAUUUUAAAACUUGAUUAAAAAUUGUAAAAAAAAAAUUAUUCUGACAAAAUAUAAAAAUUAGAAUCUAAAAUUAAUAUAAAAAUAUUUGAAAUUUAUAAACUAUCCGAAAAAAAAUAUAAAAACUAGAUCAAAUUACCAUCUAAUUUCAACGCUAUAUAAGAUUUAAGUGUGCCCAAAAGGCGCGCCAGCUCUACUUUGGGUGUUGGGAAAUCUUUUUUUGCAUCAUAGAUAAUGACAUCCCCUAAUCCUCAGACCGCACAUUCAUAUUAUUCUUUUAUUUUGCAAUUACUGUCGAUUUAAAAAAUCAUGUAAUUUGCCUAUUACGUCUUAGCUCGAUUAAUAUGUAGUGGUGGAAUCAGAAAUUUUAUUUGGGAAUUGGAAUUAAAUUGUAUAUUUUUAUAAUAGUAAAAAUACAAUUUCAUCAUUUUAAUAGUUUAUAUCUUUAUAUUUUUUCAAGGAUUCAUCAAAUUUUUAUUAUUUUUAGGGGGCUAAAGUACAAUUUUACAAUUACAAUUUAAAAUUUGAUAAAUUAAAAAGGGCCUAAAUGGAAAAUUUUUCAUUUUAGGGCCUGCUAGCACCCCUUGUUAGUAUAUAUAUUGUUGUCAAUGCAGGAUGAAUUGGGUUCAAGUGGAGAGGAACUAUGAGUAGUUUUAGGUAUUGUGUAAAAAAGAACAAAUAUGAUCAAAAUUUUUAAUGGAAUUAUUAAAAAAAAAACAGGCAAUUUGCGCUCAUUCAGCCUUACCUAAUUAGUAUUGUAUUAAUAAAAUCCUUGACUGAGUUGGUAUUAUAAGUUAAUUGAACACCAACUCGAUUAAGAAAAUUACAAAAAUAUCUUUUAUAUUUAAAUUAAGUUAUAUUAUUUGAGGGAUACUUUAAUUUUUUAAAUUAAAAAACAAUAGAUAAAAAUCAUGCAAACGAGGGAUUUAAACUCAUGUCAAUUAUAUUGAAAAAUCUUAAUUUUACUAUUCAACCAAGGUUAUAUAUCGAUUUAUUUAUACAUUUUAAUUUUAUUAUGUACACUUUAUUACCUCUACCGAUUGUAUAAAUUAAUAAUGUUGUUGAUAAGAAAUUGUAUUCCAUUGGUAUUCUUAUUUUUAUGUAUUUAUAUGUUUAAAUUUUGUUUUAUUUACAAUUAAAUCUAUUUUAAUUUUAAUAUUAUACAUAUUUCACGUGUUAUUAUUUUUAAUUAGUUUCAAACAAUGCAUUUUAUUAUUUAUUAUAUAUUAUUUUUAAAUACAUAUUUGUAUUCUAAAUACGUAAUUUUUCUAUUAUAUGAUAGAAUUUUUAAUUUAUAAUAAUGAAAUUUAAAAAAAAAAUUGUGUUAUCCACGAACUAUUAUAAUAAUAACAAGAUUACCUUUUACCCAUUAUAUGAGUGACAAUAUUUAUUUUAUAUCUCAUAACUAUAAUUAUUUUAUAUUAGUGAAAAAUAAUUUUCAAGAAUAAUAAUUUGUUAAAGAAAGAUAAAUUAAAACAAAUUUAUAUUAAUUUUAUAAAGCGAAAUGGUGAAGUUGGGAAUUUAAUAAAUUUAAAGUUUUAAAAAAACUUGUUUUAUUCUAAUUUUAUAUAAAAGUAUAAAAAUUCCUAAUACAGUAUACGGAAAGAAUUGUAUGAAACAGUAACGUCACGUCAUUUAUAUCCCUUUCCAAUAGUUUUAUGCCACAUCAGUAUUAUUAUCCUGAAUUUUAGAAUUUUAUCCUGAAUUUCAGGAUUUUAAUUUGGAUUUAAUUUUUUUUAAGAUAAAAUCCUGAAAUUCAGGAUAAGAAUAUUGAUGUGGCAUAACACUAUUGAAAAUGAAUACAGAUGACGUGUCGUCACUAUUUCAUUCAAUCUUUUCUCAUGCAGUAUUUUAAUAAUUAUAUUAAAAAUGAUUUUUAAUAAUUAUUUUAUCGAAAUGGCGUGGAGCUAAUUUGAGAAAUCAAUAUAACAAUAAAGAAAGACAUUAAGGAAAAAGUGGUAAAACCAUGCAUUUUGUUUGAAAUAGAUGAAGAUUAUUUAAGGGGUUUUAAUCAUAAACCAUCCCACACGUAACAAAAAUACACACUGUCCAAUGACUAUGGGGUUAACAAUUGUAGCCCAUUCUACAGACCAAUCUUCUUCACUUCCCCAACUUCCAUGGCUACUCUCCUACGCUAUAUUACCACCCCCGAUGUUGCCAUGUGGCUAGCUUUCUUGCUCCUUCUCUGUCAUGGCUCUUAUCUGAAAAAUGGCUGAACCUGAAACCAUGAACAUGGUGUUGGUUUUGUAAUUAAAAGCCAAGAAGAUAAUGUUCUUCUCUCUCAAACAGCAAGUUCAUUACAAGGCAAUGUUGUUGGCUUUACUUUUAGUUUCGUUUACUCUCUCAUCUCGACCAGUUAUGUCUUUGGUUCCAAAUCAAUGCAAUGACCAAUGUGGCACCAUUCAAAUCCCAUUCCCAUUUCACUUAAACAUUUCAUGUCCUUCCAUUUCCACUGCUUUCCAUCUUUCUUGUUUAAAUUCCACCACCCUUUACCUUCAUAUUGGGUUCAAAACCUAUCGAGUCCUCGAUUUCUUCUCCGAUGGUGUACUUGUAGAUUUCGCCGGAACCACCGGUUGCCGUCAAUACAACGACUUGAACGCUUUCGGGUUUACCAAAAACGAUCACUUUGGUAUCUCUGGUGACAACGUUUUAGGCCUAUACGAUUGUGAAGACUCUUCUUUAUGUAAAGCAGCUUGUGAAACAAAUGACUUGCCUGGUUGUGAUGGCAACAAUGGUGGUUCUCUUGGAUGCUGUUAUCCACUUUCUGAUCAUAGUAUUUGGCAUUUUGGUGAUGGGUUUUCGUUUUUUUCCAAGUUUGGAUGCAGAGGAUUCACAUCAUGGGUGGUUUCUCGAGGGACCAAUACUGGAAAACGUGGGGUUAAGUUGGAAUGGGCAAUCCCUAGGAACAUAUCUGAUAGAAUUUGUGCUAAUAAUGCAGAUAUGGUGAAUGCCACUACAAUUGAAGCUGGGGUUAGGUGCUUGUGCAAGGAUGGGUUUGUGGGUGAUGGAUUUGCAAAGGGUGCUGGCUGCAUCAAGGGUGAGUACUUAAAUCAUUUAUAUAUAAUGAACUUGCACCAUCUACAUUCAGCUCUAUCUUCAUCUUUUUAGUGAUCAUUAGCAUUUAGAGAACAUUUGUGAACUUAAGUUAUUGAUUCUGGUUUACUGGUUUGGUUGUAAAAUGCCCAAAGCUCGAUCUAUGAAUGCAUUUUCAUCUUAUCGAAGAUAAGCAUAUUAUACCCCUGAGCAUCUUCAUGUUGGCCCAUCGGGUUAUCCGAACUCAAGAUUGGUGUGGAUGACCCGAGAUUGGUGUCAAUUGAAGGCUUGAGCAGCUACUCUACUGUGGAUUCAAUCCACAUGAGGUCCACGAUUUUGUAUAGGAUAAAUAUACAUUUUGAUACCAGAACUUGGUUUCAAGCUUCAAAUUGAUACUGAAUUUUUUUUGUCUAAUUAAUUAUAACUUUUCUUGGUCCAAUUACGUACUUGAACUCGGCUUCAUAGUUUAAGUUGGUUCAAAUAACUAAGUACUAAUUUGGACCAAAAAAAACCAAGUUCAAGCACUAGAUUUGCACCAAGAAACCAAGUUCAAGUACUUGAUUAGACCAAGAAAAUCAAGUUCAAGUACUUAAUUGAACCCCCCAAAAAAAAAUCUUAGGUACCAAUAUAAACCCUGAAACCAUUUUCAAGUACCAAAAUGUAUAUUUAUCCUUUCCUAUGAAGCAAAUUCUAAAUCCUGCAAGUUACUGAAAUUAAGCAUGGAAUAGUACAAAAAUAUUUUCAUUUUGGCUGAUCAAAUUAGGCUGAUUUGUAGCUAAAAUAAGAGCAUAUAACCAUUUAUGAAAUUCAAUGUCUUGUAUCUCCCUUUUAACAGCCUGCAUCAAGGAGGGACAAGAAGCAUAUGGGAAAGAAUGUGACGGGCCUAAACAUAGCCAUAAGAAACUUGUAAUUUUGGCUGGUAUGUUAUUAUAAGAUUUGAUUGUUUUGCUAAAACAUUAUCCUUAAACAUAGUCAUAUGUAUGUUAUUUUUGUGCCAUGCAGGUGUUCUUGCUCCAAUUUUCAUCCUUGUCUCCUUAUUCUUAUUCCUCUGCAUACUGAAACGACCUGUUAAACCAGGUUCUUUUCAACUCGACCAAGCUCGAUAUAACAGUACCUUAUCGUUUCGGAAAGGUUGUAGGACUAGACUGUUUAGUUACAGAGAGCUAGACGAAGCAACUAGAGCAUUCGAAGACAGUCAGAUGCUAGUAAAUGACAAAAAUGGCACAAUUCAUGCAGGUAUCCUUAGUGAUGGCUCACAUAUAGCCGUGCAGAAAGUGCAAUGCGAGACUGAACGAGACUUAAUCGAUGUUCUAUCGAGAAUUGAGCUUAUAUCAUCUGUUGUACAUAGGAAUUUAGCUCGACUGGUCGGAUGUUGUAUCGAAUCUGGUUCCACUUUAUUGGUGGUAUAUGAAUAUCCUGCAAAUGGUACCUUGGAGAAACAUUUGCAAUAUAGCAAGGGACAAAAAUUUGUUCUGGAUUGGUACAAGAGAUUGAGAAUAGCUACUGAAAUUGCAAGUAUCUUAGCAUACAUGCAAUAUGAGAUUGCUCCACCAAUCUUUCACCAUGGACUUAAAUUGUCUGACUAUGUUUUUCUCGAUGUGGAUUUCUCGGUUAAGAUUUCCGGUUUAGCAUUGCUUAGCUCGGGGUGCGGAGAUGGUCACAACAACUAUGAAAACGAUGUUUACGACUUCGGUUUGUUACUAUUAGAGAUAAUUUCAGGAAACAAAUAUACAAACAUGCCAACAGUAGCUUUAGAAAAGAUCAAGAGUGGGAAACUAGAAGAAAUAGUGGAUCCGUCUCUUUCCUACCACGAACAACCGAUAACUCGUCGAGAACAAAUUGAAACAGUUGCAGACAUAGCAACAAGGUGCUUGUUGUUUGGUGCAGAUGCCAAGAUUGGAAUGAUUGAUGUUGCAAAGGAGUUGGUACAUAUUGCAAAAGAGGGAAAUAAGAAGGGACCUGAAUUUGAAGAAACAUUUUCAAACUCAAGCUUGCUUCAAAUGAUUUCCAUGUCACCUGAUUCUAUACAUGUCCCUUGAAAAUAGCAUCUAUUUUCAUAAAAAUCAUCCAUGAAUUUCAAUUUACUCCAUUAUCAGCUACGAAGUAUAUGCUGAGCUUACCUUCAUUCACAUAUCUAAUUGCAUGUAUAGGAUUCACAACUUGUAUUUGAUGAAAACUACUUGCUGCUGGUUGUAUUACUACACAAUGUCUUUCAUAAUAUAGUUAGUGUAUGAAUAUUGCAAAAUUUGACACUUCCUCAUUGCAAUUUCCCUAUGAGUAGAGUGGUACGGUUUCAAUUUCAAGUCUUACAGAUGAAGAAAACAAUGUUACUAUGAACCCGACGAAACAACGUGGAAGGACAAUCAGUGUUCUUUCACUCCCAAUAGAUCAAUUCAGUAACUAUGGACAACCUAAUAACAUAAUAUAUCAACAAUCGAUGCAAUAAACCACAAUAUUGUAAGCAAAAAUAAUAAACUGAGACUCAUAAUUUUUAAGUGAAAAAUUACCUUAAAAGCAAAGGGUAAAAACCACGAGACUUGAAAGUCCACUAAAUGCUCUACUGUAUAAAAAGUCUUGCUACAAGAUUACAAUACAAAGCCACAACAAAAGCAUAUAACUCAACAAGAGCUAUCAAACAGUUAAUCCCAAACAAAUUUAAAAACAAAUUAAAGAGAAAAGUUGAGCAUUUCAUCCAAAAAGUGGCUGACUUUGAAAGCUGAAAACCUGAAGCUACAGUAAUCCAAACGAAAAAUGGACCAUACACAUUUCAGAUCUUCGAGUCUACUAACUACUGUAAGAAAUCAGCUCCAACAGACACCGGAUGGACCUCUAAUCGAAGAAAAUAUGAAAGUUGGUCUGGGUGUUAAAAAUACUGCUCUCAAUCUUUUGUUUUCGACUUGUGACAAAAAAAAAACAAAGGUUUUACUACCCCUAAACAUAAAUAAUAGGACUCACACAAACAAGUGAGCUAUCGCAUAAUGAGACAAUCUACGACCCAACAUAUUUGACUAUUCACAUAAGAACAAACAUAAUUAUUUAUUACAUAUUAAUAAUAAUCAAUCAGGUAAAAUUUGAGAGUAGGCAAAUUUUUAGCAAAAAAUUAACCAUAUUUAAAAGUAAAAGCCUAACCAUAGAAAAAAAAGGGAGUGCAGAGAAGACGGGGGACAUUGAACAAAGCCUUAAACCAAACCCCAUUUUUGUCUCAACAGCAGACACGAGGCAACUACAUGCCUUAAAGCAUUGACCACCCUGUUUUGUCUCUUGUUCAAAAUUUCAAGUUUCAACACUCCAUGCUAUAUAUAUUUUACCUAUAGAUCACCCACAGCUUUAGGAUCAAUAAUCUAAGGCUUUUUUUUUCCUUUAUUUUUUGUGUUUGUAUAAUAUUCUUAGCCCACAAACAAGGUACGUACAUGUGUUUUCAUUUUUUGCAUUGUUUAGGAUCACAAGAGAACCCCUUUUUAUUGUUUUGUCUAUAGUAGAAUGCAUUGCACGUUUGAAACUUUAUUCAGCUCGUAUUUCAUGGCCAUAUCAUUUCUGGGUUUAAGUGCAAACGCACAAGUUCCAGUAAGAUUUUAUUGAAAUCCUACUAGAAUUUAUGUUUCAAAGCUUUGAACUUUGGGCAUAAGUGUAAAGCAUUUUUGUCCAUUAACAUUGAUGACUGGACUAACAUAAAAUUAUCAUAAUUUGAUUGAAAAAAAGAUGGCUGAAGGAGAAGCAAAUGCAAAUGAAACUUCACGUCAAGCACCUAAGUUGAAUGAAAGGAUCCUUUCAUCUUUAUCAAGGAGAUCAGUUGCUGCACAUCCUUGGCAUGAUCUUGAGAUUGGUACUUAUCCCAUUAAUGAAUGAUUCAUGUUUGUGAUAUUGUUUAAGUGAAUAAUCACAUUGGGAAACUAAUCUUUUGGUAAAAUAUCGUCUACAGGGCCCGAUGCUCCGAAUGUUUUCAACUGUGUAUGUGUUCUUUCUAAGGGCUAAAAAUUAUGUUUGACAUUACAUUCAUCCAUACAAGCAAAUUUUUGUUUUUGUGUUCAACUGGACAGGUUGUUGAGAUAGCAAAAGGUAGCAAGGUCAAAUAUGAACUUGACAAGAAAACCGGAAUGAUUAAGGUACGAAAUGCUUUACAUCAGACCGGUUGUUCCGUCCCCAUCGUUCAAAUACUACCGGUCAUGUUGCAUGUGUUCUCACUGUUUAAAACGAAUCUCAGGUCGAUCGAGUUCUGUAUUCUUCGGUGGUCUAUCCACACAACUACGGUUUCAUCCCUCGUACACUAUGCGAAGACAACGAUCCAUUGGAUUGUUUGGUUAUAAUGCAGGUGAACUUCCUGCAUGCCAAAUUUAGAUUAGUCCUACAACUUGAUUGUUACAUAUGACAUUUCGUUCUGAUAGGAACCUGUUGUUCCCGGAUGUUUCGUGCGAGCCAGAGCACUUGGACUAAUGCCAAUGAUUGACCAGGUAUAUUAUCAUCAUUUCCUUUGAAGUAUAUCCUUUUUGACACUUCUUUUUUAUUCUAACUACUUCAUCAUUGUCAACAUAGGGGGAGAAAGAUGAUAAGAUCAUUGCAGUUUGUGCCGAUGAUCCCGAAUACAAACACUACACUGAUAUCAAAGAACUUCCUCCUCACCGCCUUACCGAGAUCAAACGUUUCUUCGAAGACUGUAUCCUUUUCCAUCUCGAAUCCAUAAAAAUCCCAUUGUUCCCCCUAUUGUUCUAGAUUUUCUUAACAUAACACAGACAAGAAAAAUGAGAACAAAGAGGUGGCAGUGAAUGACAUUUUACCUUCAAGCACUGCAUUUGAAGCCAUACAGCAUUCAAUGUAAAACCCUUUCCUUUAAAACAUAUAUAUCUGAUAAGGUAAUUUCCCAUAUCUGAUACUGCGUUGUUUUUUGCUAUGGUAAUGCAGGGACCUGUAUGGAGAGUACCUUCUGCAAACUCUGAGUAAAUAGGCAAAAAGAAGCUAUUUUUAUCAAUUCAUCAUGCAUCAUGUUCAUAAUACUAAAUAAAACAAUCUUGCCAAUAAGAUUGAUUACAUUAUUUUUUUGUAGUUAUUGAAAAUUAUAUUAUUGUUUACUGGAUUGAAAGUUAAAAUUCUCUUGUAGGGGAAAAACAAAAUUGAUAAACACAAUGUUGAUCACUUACUAGAAUGGUGAUUGGGAUUUUCUCCUAUCUUCUGUAAUCUUUGUAGAGAUAUUUUUGAUGAAUAAUAAUAACCUUACUGAAACAACUGUGAUAAAAAAAAAAAAAGGGUGCCAUUUGUUAUUCAUAAAACAUAUGAUCAAUCAUGGUUCUCUUUCAUAUUUUUGUGACCAAAAUUUGGUUAAAAUAUUAUUGAAGUCAUUGUACUCUUCCUACAAUUGAAAUUUAAUCUUUCUACUUUUAUUUUCAUAAAUUUAGUCUUUACAUUCUUCAAAUUUCAAAUUUUAGGUUCCUUGUUGAUACAGUUAAAAUUUUUCUAUUAAACUCACUGGUUUGAUAUUUUGAAAAAAAAAAAAUCAUUUGAUACUAUGCAUGUAACAAAAAGAUAAUAUUGUAUUGAAUUUGAAUUUAAUAGAAGAAGAUCCUUUUUUGGCCCUCUCUUUAAUUCUAUGUCUCUUAUCUCUAGGAGGUCUUCUUCCACUAGCAGGUUUUUUUGAAAAACUCUAUUUAUUUUGGUAUGGAUGGCAACCAGGCCUAUAUUUCUUGGUUUCAAUAGAACUCCUUACGAGCGUUAUUUAUAUAUACUAUUAUCUAAAAAUAAUUAGACUGGACGAAACUAAGAAAUAACCCCUUACGUGCGAAAUUAUAGAAGAUCUCCUUUAAGAUCAAACAAUUCCAUCGAAUUAAGUAUGAUUGCAUGUGUGAUAGCAUCUACUAUACUAGGAAUAUCAAUUAACCCAAUUAUUACAAUUGCUCAGGAUACCCUUUUUUAGUUUAGCUUCUAGAAUCUAUUUCUUAGUUCAAGGUCUCUCUUUACUAACUAGAAUCAAAGAAUUAGUAGAUUUGUCUCGCUUAAACCGUGUUAAUAAUUAGACUUACAUUUUAAAAUUUAAAAAGUAAAAGCACUAAUUCCUUUCUUUCCGAGAUUAAAGGAAAAACAAAAUUGAUAAAUAGAAUGUUAUUCACUUAUUAGAAUGGUGUCUGAGAUUUUUUUUCCCUAUUUUUGUAAUAUUUUUAGAGAUUUUUUUUCUUUCUUUUUUGUUGAAUAACCUUGUUGAAAUAACUGUGAUCAGAAGGUGCUAUUUGUGUAAUACAUCAUAAAACAUAUGAUCUGUCAUGAGCAAAAACGGGUUAAAAUAUGCUCAAAAUUUAUGUUUUUUUUUAAAGAAAUUAGUUGAUAUAUUUUUUAGAUUUAAAAUUUUAGUUUCGUAUUGUUAAAAAUUUUCUGCUAAAUUAUUUUCCUAACAUUUUGAAAUAAUAAAAAAAAAUCUUAUAAUGAAGUGACAUAAAAAAUCUCAUAAUAGUUGGAUCUUGUCUGAUUCUUUUAAAUAAACAGUUGAGAUAAAAAGGGAGGAAAAGAAACGCCAAUUUACUAUUGGUCAUGCCACGUAAAAUUUGUAUUAAAAAAUAUGAGUUUAUGUUUUAACCAAUUCAAUGGAUUUUAACAUUAAAGAAUGAGAUAAAAUAUUUUUUAAAGGAAAACAACAUAUUGAUAAAUGGUUUAACAAGUUCCAUGCCAAAGCACAAUUUCCUAGUUUCUAAUGUGGUUAAAUUAAGUGGUUACAGUCUCCUCAAUUUUAUUUUUUAAUUAUGAUUAUUGAUUUAAAAGGUAUCUCACGCAAUCACACUUUAAUAAUAUUUCAUCUCAAACAUUAUUCUAUAGGAGAUUUAAAUUUAACACAAAAAAUUAUCAAUAUUAACAAAAUUUUUAUUUUUAAUUCUAAAAAAUAAAAAACUAAAAUAUUAAAAUAUUAAAUUCCAAAUUAUGUCAGUCAGCCAUUAUUCAUUUCCUACACGUAUUUAGGCAUGGACUCAUAGGUCUUAACUUGAUCUAUUUAUGAGUUAAGUAGCGCUCUGGGCCCGAUAAAUAAUUUUGCAUUUUGAGUUGGUUCCGCCCAAAUUUAAUUUAAAUAAUAAAAAUUAUAUUUAAAUUUAAUUAUAAAAUAUAUAAAAGAAUUUUGUAAUCGAGAUUCUACCUAAUUUUUGUAUAAGUUUUUUUUUUUAUUUUAGGGUAAGAAUAAAAGAUAGAGAUUAAAAUUUUUUAUAUAGUGAAUCUCAUAAAUAAGAUAAAAAAAGAAUGACGACAGAUAAAAAUAAAAAAUCUCUAGAGGGAUUUGUUGUUGCUCAUAUUUUACAAAAAAUAUCUACUUAUAAAUCUGAUCAUAUUAGAGUUCACCUAAAAGCAUUUGAGAUUUCGACCAUGCUCCAGAGUCUUUUUGAUUGAUCGUUCGAGAAUUAUGCUCUUUAGCUCUGGAAUUGAAUAAUUUCCUUGUAUCUAAAAAGAACUUCCAAAUUAAUAGGGAGGAAGCUUAAUCAGAAUACUCAAAUAACAGUUUUUAUUUUUCUUCAUUUAUUUCAUUUCUCCAAUAAUAUUAUAUAUAUAUAUAUAUCUGUUGUGGCACUAAGAAAAUUAAGUUGAGAUUGAAGUUGAUUUUAAAUUUAAGUCGUGUUUAAUUUAAUUUUGAGAUUGAAAUAUUUCAUAUUUAAAUUAUUUUAAAUUUAAAUUUCAUUUUGAAUUAUUUGAAAUGUGUUUGUAAGUUUAAUAAUUAAAUUUGUAUUAUUCCAAAUCACAAUCCUUAAAAUCUUUAAAAUUCAAGACUUAGAUGCACCGCAUUGAAAGCUGCCAUGGAAGCCAAAAUUGCUCAUUAAAUUGAAAUUUGACAUCUAAGGCCAUGGAAAAACAUCAAGUGAGUGAACAAGCAAACCAUCAAUUCAAUGUUUUGGGUAUUUUUCAAACAUAGAAUUAUAAAAUUUUCGAAUUUUGAAACAUUUGUAAUAUUCACUUUGUAAAAAAACUGUCGAGGAAUUAAGAUUUUUAAUAAAUUUAAAAUAUUUCUACAUCGCAAAUAAUUUACAUAUCACACGUUAUGAAAUUAAAUCUAACUUUGCUUACUUCAAAAUAUUCCUACUCUAUGAACACGUCAGAACUCUCGACCAUAUAAAAUAAAUAAAUAAAACCUUGUUAUAUCUUUAAAAUGGAUAUAGAACAAGGACCCUCAAAGAUCUGAAAUUGAUAAUACACACACUGCAACGAAACAUGAUUAAGGGCAGCCGACAUGAUGAUGAUGAUGAUCAAAUUUAUCAAAACAGGUACACGUAAUAUCCAAAAAGGAGAGUCAUAAAAAUUGGGGGAUUCGAUUUUAACCACCGAAAGGGUUAGAUUUUUAUGGCUUUUGGGAUAUAUUAAGUUAGGCCAAUGGACCGACAUGACAUCAUCAUGUUCAAUGUCAACUAUGUCUGCUGAAAUCCAAAGGGAAUUUGGGGUCCUUUCAAGUUAAAUCUUGACCAGGUAAUUUCAAGGAUAUUUGGUUUUGCAUUCUCUAUAUAAUGUGAAACCAAAUGCGCAUGAAAAAGUGUUAUAAUCUAAUAAAAGGACUAUAAAGUAUAGCUAAAGUCCCACCAACAUUAGACCCUACUUUACAAAGUGCAUCUGUCUCACGCUUCCAUUACAUCAUCGUCAUUAUUAUAAUAAUAAUAAUUAAUAAACGUGUCCCAUCAAUUAACUGAGAUUUUAAAAAUUUUAACAAGUUUAUCCAAAGCUGAAACCAUAAGAAAGGUAAAGAACUUAACACCCUCUCAAAUGAGAAAUUUUAAUUGAUAAUAUAUACAUAUUUUUUAUUUUUUAAGUUUUUUAAUCAUUCAAAUAAAUUGUAAAUUUUGUAAUUUUGGGCUCUUAUAAAAAUUAAUAAUAUAAUUUAAUUCUUUUUAAUAUAAAUUUUUUACCUUCAACUUUCCUUUGACAAAGUUUUUGGCUUCGUCCUAGUUUCAUCUUAUAUAAAUGUGUGAGUUUUUUUUUCGUAUGGUUAGUUAGCAUGAUGAAGUUAGGGUAAACAAUUACCUUGGUCUCAAAAUAAUAAAUUUAUUAUAUAGUCCAUUCGAAAUUUAUGAAAUCAUAAGUUACUAUAACAAUAAAAUUACAUUUUAACUUACAAAAAAAAUCAUUAUUUAUUUUUUUAUCUUCUGAAGUAAUUUUUUAACUUCGCGCUAUUAGUUAUUCAAUUUAAUAGUUGUAAACUGUUAUUCAAUUCAAAUAGGAAAUUUUAAUUAAUAUAGUUUCUGCAAGUAAUAAAUUUUCAUUUUUAAAAUUUUUAAUCUUUUAAAUAAAUGAAAAUUUUCUAAUUUUUAAAAACAUAAUUUAAUCCUUUUUUAAAAUAAAAUUUUUAUCUUUGGCCUCCCUUUGACGAAGUUUUUGACUACUCCCUAGUUUCAUCUGGGUUUUCUUUCAUAUAGUUAGUUAGCAGGGUGAAGAUAUGGUAGACAAUUGACAUUAGUCUCAAAAUGAUAAAUUUGUUACAUAGUCCCUUUAAAAAUUAUUAAAUCACCAAUUAAUAUAAUAGUCAAACUACAUUUUAACUCAAAAAAUUAUUGUUCAUUUUUUAUCGUCUAAAAUAAUUUUCUGAUUUCGUCCUAUCAGUCAAUUUAAUAGUUGUAAAGGUGACCGGCCGUCCACUCACUGCAUUGUACACCAAUUUGAUAGAAGUUUCAAUAGAUUUCAUUUUUCUACUUUAUGCAUUAUCAAACAGAAGACCUGAUAAAAGGGACCCAUCUUUUACGACUAAGCCCAACAAUCAGACUUGAAUGGGUUAAUUUUAUUUAACAUCCUCAAACUAUCGUGAUGAUUUUAAUUUGGUCCAUGAACUUUAAACAUUUUGAUUGGGUCAUGAAAUUAUUAAUAUUUUAUUAAUUAAGUUUUUUGGUGUGAUCACCAAUUUAGUCAUUAAAUGUCAAUCCAAGCUUGAUGUGAAGCAUAUUUAAAAUACAUGAAUCAAAUCGUAAAUACAUAUGUAAUUAUCGCAUUUUAGAAAAAUGAUUAGAAAAAUGGAACAAGAAAAUUAUAAAUAACAUUAGUAAAGUAUGAUGUCUUUGGGGCAUGUAAAACACACUCCUUAAAGUUUUCGUACGCCUCAAAAAUAUAAAAAAGCCUUAGAUAAAGGUGUGCAAGAUAUCAAUUAAACCAACUAAAUUGAGAAAACCAAAUUGAAUACAUUGAAUAAUAUUGGUUUUCAAUUUAUUUGUUUUAGGUGGUUUAUUGGCUUGGUUAUCGAUUUUGGAUAUCCAAAUCAAAUAAAUUGGUUAAACAUUAAACCAAGACAUAUAUUCAAAUACACAAUACUCACUUCCUUGUAUAUAAACCAACACAAAAAUAAAAUAAUCCAACCCUGUUAUAAAUAUUUUAUUAUUAAGUGGAUGUCCAUCAAGAUCAAUAUAAGUUUGAUAUACUUUCGAGUUCUAAUUAUAACACCCCAAACCCGGCCUAGACGUUAUGGCCGAAUCUGGGAAUGUUACAAAGAAUGGUUCAGAAUCCAAUCUUAUCAUGUUAAAAACCUCGUAUAAUUUAUUAUUAAAAGAGUCCACAUUUUGGGAAAACAUAUUAUUAUACUCUUUAAUGAAACCAUCCAUUGUUUAUCUUUAAGUAAAACAAAAAUUUGUAGCGAAAGUUUAAAAGUCGUUAUAUUUUGAAAACUGAGUUUGUGAUGUGAGCGUCCCAAGACAAAAAUAAAAACACAUCCAAACCCAAAAAUCAACAACAAAACCAAAAGUCCAAAGAGUCCUAUAUUUACAAAACUCUAAAGAAAAACCAGACAUUUUAAUAAACUAUUAAGUAAAAACAGUUCACGGACCAGUGAUCACCACUGAGCCUCUGUCGCACCGACCUGCCUAUGCUUGAAGAUUACCUGAACAAAACAAACAAACAGAUGUGAGUUUUCAAAAACUCAGUGUGUAACUUAACGGAAACAUACAUACAUAUAUAUACUCAGGUUUCUCACAUAACAGAACAGAUACGGACAUAAGUCCUUAACAAAAUUAGAUUAUCUCAAAAUCAUGCAAAUAUGCAAAGUCUUACCUCCAUCCUUUACACGCCAAUUCCGACCAUCCCAAUACGCCACAUGGGUUAUAAAACACCACCCUACCCCACACACCACAUAAUGUCCUUACGACACUUAUCAGAAUAAGUUGCAGCCAUGCUACUAGUAUAUUGGCGAAAUGUCGCCUCACAAAAUACUUCCUCCAUAUAUGCAUAUCCUACCCCAUACACAGAUACAAAUAACAGAAUAACAAAUAUGUCAGAACUAACAUGUCCCGCUUGCUCAUAUACAGAUAUUACACAUGUUUAUACAUAAUAAUCAAAUCAUACAUAUUGUAUUUCAUUAUACUCAAACCAAUCUAAUAGAAGAGCAGAUUUCAUGCUUUAGGGUUUGUUUUGCCCUUAUCAACCCUACGGAAGACCCACAGUUGAUCGAAAUGAUAUGUGCGACCCUAAAGAAAAAUUUUGAAUUUUGGGCCCACAUGCUCGUGUAGCUUACUUGUGUGGGCCCACACGCUCAAAUCGGCCAGGUCACACGGCCGAGUGCAGCCAGGCACACGCUUGUGUGGCGUCAACAGGCUAGUUUUUCAGCUUUCGCUAAUCGACGUUUUCUCGCGUUUUUGUUACACACCUGGUUCAUUUUUUUUGUGAAAGCAAUCUCGAGACCUCCGAAACCUAAAAAUAGUAUACCAAACACCGUUUUAGCAAUUAAUUUACAAAUUCGUCAACACUAAACCGAACAUCGCACACAACUUAUAGUUGACGAAAACCACCACUAACACAAUUUAGGCCAUUAGAGCGAAACCCACUGCUUCACAUCCUUCUCCUACACAACAUGUUCGGAGAAAAUCAAACUCCCUAAUUACACACCAUUACGCUAUUAUGAAAAUAAUAAUUCUAAAUGGCUUUACAGAAAUCGAAAGCUACAAGCAAGUGAAACCCCACUUACCAAAUCGUACGAAGAACAUCGAAAAUUUGAAAUGCAACAAUAAAAACAAAAGAUUGUGAACAGAAUUGAAGGGAAAACGAAAAAAAAGUUGUAGAGAAAGGAAGAGGAGGAAAGGUCAGAAAGAGAGGAAAUUUUGGGGAAAAAAUAAAAAUAAAAAUAUUUUUAAAAAUAAAAAAUCACUAAAUUCCCCAAGUCCCCACUUACCCACUAACCAGUAUAAUCCCACCAAAUUCAACACAUCAAUCCACAUCCAACUACCUCAAAAUUUCAACUCUAUUGAACCUUUAUCAGACAACCGAAAUAAAAAUUAUUAUCCAUACUCACACAGAGAUUCAAACAUGAAACCUUAAGACAAGUUAGCACCUUACCAUCUGAACCAACAAACUCAUUUUGAUAUGAUUUGACUAGAAAUAAAAUAUAAAUCAAACCUCCAAGGAAAAGGCUAGGAUAAAAAAUAACAUAUUUUUCCAAAAGUGGGACUUGAACCCAAGACCUCAAACAUACACCCACAUCGCUUAACCACUAAAGCAAAUACUCAAUUGUAACAAUUUUCACAAAAACAAAGUUAAAUAAAUUAGGGCGUUACACUAAUAAUCAUUAGAAGUAGAGUUUUCUUUCAUUUAUACUUCUUAUGUCUAUAAAUAUAAACUUUGGAAAAGCAUUGUAAGCAUCCUAUUGAUGAAUAAAAUAUCGUAAUUCUUUUGCUUUCCUAAUUUCUUUGUUCCUUACUCUCUUUUACCUUUAUUUCAUAACACGUUUCAACAUGAUUUUCUUCUAAACUUUCUUGUUCUUAAUUAUUUCUUGUAGGCUAAAAAUAAACUUUUUUUCUUCUUAAUCAUUUCUCGUAAACCCCAAACAAAAUUAUGGAAAAAAAUUCAUAGCUUAACCAAAAUCAAACCCAAGGCUUAGAAGUUUAUGGCUCAUUUUUUUAAGGAUUCAACCGACCAAAUAUUAUCAUUAUUGUAUGUGAAGAAAUCUAUAAAAUCAAUUGUCCUUGUAUUUCAAGAAAAAAAAGUUCUCAUAAGGAAUCAAACCUAUGCCCUAUUUAUUUCACCCAAGUUUUUUUAACCAUUUAGCCGUUCAAAAUUUAUCAGUAUUUUAAAUCAAGAAAUUUAUAAAUCUUAUUACAGCUAGAGAAGAAAAGAAAACCAAAACAAGCGCAAUGAAAGACCUUCAACAACUCUCUCACCUUUUGGCCGUGAUUAAUUUUAAUUUUUAUUCAUGAUUAAUUAUGAUUGAUUUGAUUGUUUUAAUUCUAUUUUUUCAGGAUGGUGAAAGAUUUGAUCUUAGCAUUGAUUUUGGUUCUUGAUUUGGAUUUAUCAAGCAAACUUUAGAUAGGUAUGGGGCUUCAACUAUUCAGUCACAUCAAAUACUGUAACACCUCUCACCAUAUUCAAUUGUCGGAUCUGAGUUACAAGAUGUCACAUUCGUUGCUGGAGCAACUAUAGUCAAAUACACCGUAAAUAUAUUAUUCAAACAUACAAUCAUGUCAAAAACACAUUCACAUUAUGAUAUACAAUUAAAUCUGAGCCUUAAUCAAGCUUACAAAAGCUCUUUAUCAUCCUGAGAAUGAACUUGGACUAAACUAAAAAUUUUCAAAAUGUAUCAAAAUGGUAUCGCGAUAUCUAAAGCACGAUAUCGCGAAACUGAAAGUAGUAUCAAAACUUCAAAAUAAAUUAGGUAGGUAUUGCGAUGUCCAAGGUCUGGAAUUACGAUAUCAACGAAAGUAGUCAAGCUUCCCAACUUGAGGACCCAAUUGAAAAAUUCUCAAAUACACAACAAAUGGGUAUCACAAUAUCUAGGGGGUGAUAUCGUGAUACCAAAAAUAGUCCACUAAUUCCCCUGUUUUUUGCCAAAACACAACUUUUGUACCAAUUUCAUAACAGCCUUUCAAACUUCUCAUUUGGUGGAUUUUGCACUAUAUUUUCUUGUAUAAAAACAUACAAAUACAUGCCAAAACAUAGUAUUUAACCAAUUACAAUCAUUCAUUCCAAUAUAUCUCAAUUUCGCAUCAUAACCUACCAAUUCAACCUAUUCAAACUUAACUUAUACAAUCAUGCCUUUUAGCCAUUCCAACCAUCAUUUCUGUCAUUCUAUUUCACACUCAAAUUUAGCCAUAUAUAUAACUUAACACAUUACCAAAACACACACACACACACACACACACACACACACACACACACACACACACACACACACACACACACACACACACACACACACACACACACACACACACACACACACACACACACACACACACAUAUAUAAACAUUAUCUCUCCUAAAACCAAGCAUUAACCAAGGUUCAAAUCAAAACUAUUAUUCCCAAGUCAACACAUAUAUAAACUCCUAUGAACAUGCCACAUAAUCGAACUUUAGAAUGUUUGAAAAAUUACCAAAUUAAUAAUGGAAUAGUGUGAGCUUCUCGACAAUCCGCUUGACAUGUUCCACAAGUUGGCAAUAUACAAGGGAAAUGACAAAUAACAGGGUAAACAUAUCGAUUGCUUAGUAAGUUCAUAGGCAUUAAACAACAACUUACCUCAAUUUACAAUUUAAUACAAUAAGCUACUAGCUUAACUAGUUGAGUUCAACAUAUAAUCAUAUCAUAUAAUAGUUCACUUAAUCAAUCAACAUUUAAUAAAUUCACUAUCUUAUUCAUAUCAUUCCAUCUAUUUAUCAACAAUACAUCCAAUUUCAAUUUAAUGUCAAUCACUAUUUCGUUUCAUUAAUCGAAUUCAUUGAUUUGUCACAUUUCUAUAUCGGCCUUCCAGGAUCGUAUAAUAGGUUCGCAUGAUCUUUCACAUGUUAUCGAUAUUCGCUUAUCAAAAUAUGUAUUCGUACCAUCAAAUCAUAAUAUCAACGUAAUUCAAGUAUCAUUUAUCAUAUUUACAUUUUAUAUCCCUAUUAACCUGACUUGGACUCAAACGGAUACACAGAUCCAAUUUGGCACUAGUGCCUUAUCAGACAAAUCCGAAGUAAAUAGUUUGCACCCAACGCUCAUUGGUAUAAUUGAAGUAAAAGUUGUGUCCAGCAUUCAUCAACAUGUAGUCGAAGUAACUCGUACUCUAUCUAUCUUAUGGAAUACCAACUAUAUCUGACUUUGCCCGAACAAUUAAUAAGGUAACAAUUUAUUCAAAUCAUCAUUUUGUUUAAUUCAAAAUUCAUCAAUUCAAUCAUAGUUCGAAUCAUCAAUUCAUCACAUAGCAUAUCUCAUUUCAACCUAAUUCAAAGUUAAUUCCAUAAGUUCACCGAAUUACACCAUUUUUAAUACUAUUUAAUUUAGUCCUCUAUCUCGAUAAUCAAAUAUAAUCAUACCAAUUUGAUUCAAUUCAACUAAUAUAUUUCAAAUUGCAAUUCACCAUAUUCAAUUUAUCAUUUCAUUACAAUUUAGUCCAUAUCUCACCUUUUGUACCAAAUCGCAAACAAUUUAAUUUACUAUCAAACAUACAAAAAUUCAUAAUUAAAAUAUGUAACAACUUAAGCAUAACCAUAUCAUAUGAACUCACCUGGUUAAAUAAAAAAAAGUGAGAACUUCAAGGGCUAUUCAACAAUUUUAUCUUUUCCUCGAUUAAUUAUAAUUUGUUCCAAUUCUUGAUCUAUACAACUAUUCAAUUCAAUUUAUCAAUUCCAAACAUCUUAUAACACCCUUUUUUAAGUAUAAAUUAGUUCAAUUUCAUCUUUUGAAUUCCCCUUAAAAUUUUGCAUUUUAUUCAAUUUAAUCCCUAAAACUAAAAUUGUCAUAACUUUCAAAUUUGAGCUUCGAUUUUGAAAUCGAUUGAUAAACCAUAAAAGUAACAUGUUUGAAUCUCAUACUUGAUAUCUUUUUGGAUGAUUUAUUAUGUAAAUGAGUGAAUUUGAUGCUCCUAAUCCUUUAAAUUUAUGUUUCUAUACUUAAGUGAGCAUAGGAAAGUGAAAUGAGCAAAAAAGGGGCCAAAAUUGGACAAAAAAAGCUAUUUUCAGGAACCACACGGGCUGGCCACACACCCAUGUGCCCGCGCCUGUCGAUUUCAAGCCCUGCUUCUCUUUUAUGCGAAAAAACCCAAUUUUUAGGGUUUUUGAGCAUUCUAAAGUUUAUAAAUACAUAUCAGAAGAGGACUAAGGGGAGCACGCAAAAUAGAACGAAGAAAUUACUCGAAGAACGCCAUCGAAAUCAACCCAGAAGAAGAUCUCUUUCAAGAUUGAAUAUCUCCAUUCAAAUUUCCUUUGAAGUUUUAUUCUAAUUUUGAGAUGUUUCCCUCCCAGAUUAUGAACUAAAUUCCCUUGAUACCUAUGAUGGAUCUUAUUAUUUGAUGAAACCUAUGAUGGAUCUUAUUAUUUGAUUUUCUGAAUUAUAUAAUAAAUACUUGAUUCUUGUUCUCAAUUAUGUAUGCUUAUUUCUUGUUUUAAUAUUUUCAGGAUAUUUAUUCAAGUGUGAUGUGCUUAUUACAGUGGAGCAAAAGUCCUUGUUUAAGAGUAGAUCUGGCAUAAUUGAGUGGAGUUGCAUUUAAUCUUAGAAAUAAGACGACAUAAAUUUAUCGGAUUAGAGUCAAAUUUAAUAGGGGAUCUAUAGAUUGAGUUAAUGCAACAAUAGAGGUUUUAAUUAGAAAGAGAUUUCAAUUAAUCAACCUAGAGUCAGCUGUUCUUACUCUCGAAAGAGAUAUUAACAUAAAUUACGGAUUUCUACGGAUCAAAGCACAAAUGAAUAAAUCGUCUAAUUCAGAUUCAGAAUAAUAAGUGAAGUCUAGGUGGAUUCUUUCCUAGGUAUUGUCUAUAUCAUUGGUUUUCUUCAAGUAUUUUCUUAAUUCAUUCUCUGUCUGUAACACCCCAAACCCGGCCUAAAAGUUUAGACUGAAUUCAAAAUGCUACAUUGAUGACCAAAGUGACCGUGAGAAAAUAUUUAUAUAAACAUCCUUUGCUCGAUUUUCGAAAAACAUAAAUAUCUCAUGUUCAAAGUCCGAAUAAUAAAAUGAUUAAAACAUAAAACAGCAUUCUACUAUAGUGUUAAUAAAAACCUUACUUUCAAAACUGAAUAACAAAUAGAAAUCAGAAACCAUAACUAAUAAUUUAUUAGUCUCAAAUUGCCUGAGUCCUUCGCAUACAGAGUCCAGCAACAAAAUUCCGAAAUGUACCUGAAAGGGGAAAUAGAAGAGGGGGUAAGCUAUACAAGCUUAGUGUGAGAUCAAACUAACUAAUACUGAAACAAAAAUAAAUACAGUAAACUUGAAAAUAGUUCAGCAACGGAACAUACUUACAGAGUGGCUUAACAAAACAGACAAUAUGUAACUUUACAAUCAUAUGGCUCUGUUAAACACAAUACCUAAAAUUCUCAAAAGUCACAAACUGGGCCUAAGCCCUUUCUCAGAAUCCGAGUCGAUUGGGCCUUAGCCCAUCACACAAAAUUCCUUUAGGCAUGAGUGCCUUCCAGUCAAAUAUUGCAAUUGGAUUUUCCAGACAAUCAGACAGAAAUGUUUCAGUCAACCAGAUAUAGCAGUCACAGAACAAACAGAUGCAUAUGAGUGCAAAUGAGUUAUAAAAUAACCCACCCAUCAAACUAACACACCAUCUUCGUCCCCCAUCAAACCUCAAUAGAGCUAUAAGCUCAUUCAACCAAUCACUCCAAUUAGGACCUCGAAAAGGCCAUUUAACCUUAUAUCCCCUAUACACUGUCCAUGACCCUCAGGGAAUUGAGACUAUUAGAAAGCUGUACAGUGCCAUGCAGAGACUGCGAUAUAGACAUGUAGUAUAACUGCCAGAUCAGAUACAUUACGCAGCAAAGCUAGCGUAUACUGUACUGUGUUAUGCGGUGAACCACGGUACAGAUGUGCAAUAUAAACUGCCAGAUCAGAUAAUAGUAAGUAGCGUAGCUACCGUACAUGCGGUACAGUGCAAGGCGGUAAACCGCUAUACCGUUAAUGGAAAUGUCCACGACCUUCAGGGUAUUGGGACUGCCUAUGACCUUCUGGGGAUUAUUAAGGCAUUCAGAAUGCAGAUCAACUGCCAGAUCGUAAAUCUCCCUUCACUUCAACAACCCACCCAAAAAGGUUUAUGUAGAUGAAUGUAUACGAUGGUAUGAAUGCCAAUGUAUCAAUCCACAACACAAUCUUAAACGGACAUUCAGAAAAUAUUCACUUGCAAUCAGUCAAUCAAUUACAGAAACAUGCACACUUGUGCACUCAGAUUCGAUACCUAACAUGUCACACUUCAAUCAAAAGCAGUACAUAAAUCGAGGUGAGAACAGAGUCAUAAUCACCCUCAGAAAUUUUAGUCGAAAGGUUGGAAAAAACAGAGAUCACGAAUACACUUAAAUCAACCUAAAAUCAAACUUGGCGAGAUAGGGCCACACAUCUGUGUGCUCCGACCGUGUGGAGCACUUCAGGCCGUGUGGGGAUCCAUACGCCCGUGUAAGGAGUAGCACACAGCCGUGUCGCAGAGGCACACACCCAUGUGGUGCAGAGCCAUGGCCGUGUAAGACACUGUCCAAUUUCGCUAAAUUCAAGUGCAAGGUAGACACGACCGUGUGAAGGUGUCCCAUGCCCGUGUGGCAAUUAGACACGGCCGUGUGUCCCACAACAUAUGCCCGUGUGGAAUCCCUAGGCCCCAAAUUAGCUACACGGCCGUGUGUCCCAAAACACACGCCCGUGUGAGAACCCUAAAAUUCCCAAAUCAGUCACACGGCCGUACGGCCAGGCCGUGUGACCCUAAAUCUCAAAUCCCUAAUUCCCAAACUCACACGCUCGUGUGGUUCCCGACAAAAAUCCCCAAAUCGGUCACAUGUCCGUGGCCAGGCCGUGUGGCCUCCAUAACUAGCCUGAAACCCUAAUCCCCAAAUGCAUAAGACCGUGUGCCUCGACGCACGCCCGUGUAGCUGUCAGGGCAAUCACAAAACCACUCCAAAAUAGCCCCAAAGACACCGCUUAAGCCCCAAAACAACCUUUCCCUAUCAACAGUACAUUAGAAAGUGGCGAUUUUCCACUACCUCCAUCGACUAACAUUCCAAAAAUAAUAGUUUAACAUACUGAAAAGAAGAGCCAAAACAAUUACAUAAAACAAAAGAGAAAGUAGUCCUAGUUCGAAUCCCACACCUGUUUGACGGUGAAGAAGACAUGAUAGAGGAGUCAAAAAAUCAAAGCCCUUCGACCCCACAACACUACCGAUCCAAAAACGUGGAGAAGAAAACUGGAGCCAAUACCAAAAAGAAAAGAAUAGAAACUAACGUACAAAGAACAAGAAAAUCAAAGAGAAUAAAAUAAUAUAAAUUAGAAUAAUAACUCAUAAUAAAUGAUAAUAUCCCUAAUCACAAUUAAUAAAACAGUUACUUAAACUUUAACUUAAAAUAGAAAUAACUAAAAAGUUUUCUAAAACGCCCACACAGUAACACGAACUCCAGACCUCCAACACACUAACACACACCUUAACCAUUAGACCAGCAGCCUCAUUCUUAUCACUAAACUGCACAACUUAGCUUAUGUGUGUAGCCUCCCCACUAUCCCUACGCUCAAAACCCAAAACUUCUAGGCCCAAAAUUUAGGGCGUUACACUGUCACAAUCUUAGUAAUUAGUUUAGUUAAUUUUAAAUUAAAAACAUCCCUUUUAAUUUAUAGGCUAUGUAACAGGCCUAUUUUGCCCGGCCCAGGCCCAAACAAAAAAAAACCAAGCCCAUUAAAAAUAGGCCCAAACUAUGGAAACCAUAGCUCCUUUUGCGUUGCUGCCCACGUCCUUGUGCCGCUGCCCACGUGCUUUCGCAGCACACCCACUACCCGAGAUUUAGCCUCCUUGCACCAGAAUAGAAAGGUUCCCCCGUUGACCCCAGCGUCUAUAAAAAGGAAAGAAAAAUAGAGCACAAAAUGAGGUUGAAGAAAUAGGAAGAAGAUUGAAACAAAACAAUAGCAAUGAACAGUGGAUUAGGUUGUGUAGAAUCGGCUAUAAAAGAAGCCACAAACACGAUGUAUUGGGAGACAUUGGGAUUUAAGAAAAAAUAUCAAUUGAUACAAAAGAAAAAUUGCUAAAGGUGAUUUUUUUUAUUUCUUUUCCUUUUCAUUUUUAAGAUUUUAUUUAAAAAACAACAAAGAACAAAAAGGGGAAGGGGUUUACCUGAGUCGAUCUGCUUCCCUCCGAUGACCAUCGUCGGUUCCUAGGCUCCUCGCAACCCGUUAGGUUCUCGAUGAGGGUAAAAAAGGGGAAACGAAGUCGAAAGUCUUCGGUUCGAAAAUGCCCAAAAUCGGGUUCGUAAAAAGAAAGGAAGUCUAAAGGAUUGAUUUGGCGCACCUCCGGCCACCGUCUACGGUGGGGCCUCUGUGGUGCUGCGACUGACCGCCGGUGACUUCCCUGGCUGAUUUCUGGGUUCAGCCCAGAGAGAGAGAAUGGCACCAAAUUUUUUUUAAAGGGGCUGAAGAAAUAAAAAUUUUUGUUGAAAUUUUAGUAUUUAUAAGGGUACCGUACGACGUUGUUUUGGGCCCUGGUUUCAGAUGCCAAAAUGGCGUCGUCUAAGGGAAGCCGACCUGACCCAACCAAUGAUCCACUAGGAUCCACGCAUUUGGAAAAAUGGGGUAUUUAUGCGCUUGGCCCUUCCGUUUUCCUACUUGUUUUAAUUACAUCCUUUUUGCUUUCUUUGUUGUUAAUUUGACCUGAUGAUUUUAUUUUUAUUUCAUUUUAACCCUUACUAAAGCUGUGCGUUUUGAAGGACUGGGGAUAUUUUCCCAUCUCGUCCUCAUUUUAUUGCUUGCGUUUAAUUUUAGUCCCUAUUUCGGUUUUUAUUAUUUAACUUAUUACGAUAUAUACUCAAGUUUUGUUUAAAUUUUCAAUUUAAUCCCUUUAUGAUUAUUCGUUUAUGUACUAUUAUUUAAGACUUUAAAUUUCAUUUCAAUUUCAGAUUACCUCUUUUACUUUGUUUAAGUUUCAAUUAAGCUGUUUUUAUUUUAAUCCAUUUAUUUAUUUAUUUAUCUAUUUACUUGUUUACAUGUCCAUUAUUCCUUCAAUCUUUUUAUUUUUUUGUUUAUUCUUUUGUUAUAUACGUAGUUCACCUUAAAUGGUUUUAUAUUUCAUUUGUUAAAUUUUUACAUAUCAUUAAAUUGUUUUUCUGUUCAUUUUAAAUUGCUCUAUUGUUAUUCAUUUUAAGUGUUUCCACAUAUUAUGUAUUUUAAACUAUUGCCCAUUUUAAAUUUUAUAUAUAUAUAUAUUUUUUAAAGUUGUUAUACAUAUUACUUAUUUCGAUCUUUAUCUAUUUAUCUUUUGUUUUCAACUAUUAUAUAUAUGUAUUAUCUAUUUUAAAUUUUUUAUAUGUUAUUUAAUUAUACUAUUUUAUAUGUUAACCGUUUAAAAUUCAUUUUUAUUAUUAUUUACUUUAAACCUUCCGUAAAUUAUUUAUUUUAAAAUAUUUUUAUAUAUUCUUUAUUUUAGAUUAUUCCAUAUAUUAUCUAUUCAAAUUUUCAUGUAUAGUAUUUAAUUUACACUUUUUAUAUGUUAUUCAUUUUCAAAUUUAUAUAUAUAUUAUUUAUUUUAAAGCUCCUUUUAUUAUUUAUUUUAAGUUUUUAUACAUUGUCCAUUUGAAACCCCUUUUUAUAUUCUUUAUUUAUAAUUGUUUCAUUUGUUAUUUAUCUUAAACCGUUUUAUUCACUUUAAAAAAUUUCAUAUAUUAUUUCAUUUCAUUCUUUUGUGUUUAUUAAUGUUGAUCUUGUAAAAUAAUGUAUUAUGUGAACAUGUUCAUUUUGUGACAUCUUACUGGAUGUGACAUCUUACAAUCUCGAGACGAAUAAGUCUUUGAUGCUCGUUUCAACGUAAUUCAAGCAUUUUAAAAUUAGCAUUCAUGAGAAGGGAUCGUAUUUUAAAAUUUAUUUUAAAAUCUUUUUAGCUUUCGACAUUAAGAUGUUAAUUAAUCAAUUAGGUACCAAUUUUGGGCGUUACGAGGGUGCUAACCCUUCCUCGUACGUAAUCAACCCCCGAACCCUUUUUUCUGGAUUUUGUAGACCAAAAAUCAUCGUUUUAAUAAAUUUUAAAUUUUUGUUAAAACGAUUAAAUUACUAGGUGAUCCGAUCACACCUAAGCCAAAAAGAUUGGUGGUGACUCCCAUUUUUUUCAUUUUCUUUUCAAAAUAUAAAGUCGACCCCGUUUUUCAAAAAAUGUUUUCGACAGGCUAAAUAACAAAAAGAUAGUAAUUACUAGUACUUUUAGUCCUCGUGGAUACAAUAUUCCCGACUCACCACAACUAUACUACUAUUCAAUAGGUGCGCUUGCCUUUGUUGAGAAGUUAGUUUAGUGACUCAUGAAGUUUUUGGCGUUGCUGCCGGGGACUAAAAUAUUAGGAACACUCAAUUUUUAUUAAUUUAGCCAUUUUUAUUUUAUUGCACUCUUUUUUUGUUUUUAGUUUAAUUUUUGUUUUCUAAUUUUUCUUUUGUUUGUUUCUGGCAGGUUUGUAAUAACCCGAACUUUGCAGUUAUCGGAAAAGUGUAUUUUCGUGUCUUUGUUACUAAAAAAAGGAUCCAUAAAUAUUUAUCAAAAAUAUUUAAAAAGUUCAGAGUGGUUAAUUAGAGUUUAAUUAAGUGAAUUUAGCUUAAUUAAGGAUAAUUGGAUAAAAGGAUUAAAUUGAAUAAAGUGUGAAAGUUUAAUUAUAAAUUAAAAGAAAAUAAAAAGGACCAAAAUGGAAAUUAUGCCAUUUAGCAUAAGUGAGGCAGCAUAUAAAAUAAAAACCUAAGAUUUUUACUUAGAUUUUAAUUAAUAUAUAUAUUAGUAAUAAAUGAUAUUAAAUUAAUUUAUUAUAAUUAUAUUAUAAGAUAUUUAUAUGAUAAACAAAUUAAUAUAAAGACAAAUGUAUAGUAAAUAAAAUAUACAAGUGUAUGGAUAAAAAUACAUAUAUUUGUAAUACAUGUAUUAGAUAUUAAAUAGAUAUUUAUUAAUUAAAUAAUUAUAUUAUAAGAUUUUAUAUGAUAAAUAUAUUAAAUAAUGACAAAUGUAUGGUUAUAAAUGGAUACAAAUGUACUAAUAAUAUACACAUGAAUAAAUAAAUAAUACUUAUUAUUCAAAUAUAAAUACAUGUGUGUAUAUAUAAAAAAGGGAAAAUAAAAAAGGAAAAAAGGAGUGAAAUAAAGAAACAAAGCAAACGAAACAGAAAGUAGGGGAAGGAAAGAAAGAAAAAGAGAAAAGAAAGAAAAAAAGGGAAAAUCAAAGGUGUGAAGCUUGGAAGUUUAAUAGGUAAGUCAAUUGAGCUAUUUUACUUAAUUUUGAUAUUUUAGAAGCUUUGGACAAGAUUUUGAUGAAAUUAAGUUGAUAUUUUGAAAAGAUAUUAGAUUUUUAGAUACUGUUCAUGUUGAGUAAAAUGAUGAAAUAAGGGUUAACUUGAUAGAAAUUCAAGUUAGAAAUGAAAUAAGGAUUGAAUUGUAAAGUAAUUCAUAAGUUUUAUGUUGAAGGGCUAAUUUGAGGAAAUUUUGAAACUAGUUAAAUAAGCUGAAAAUUUAGGAGUUAAAUUUGAGUUGGGAUGGAACUUGAAUAGAAAUAGAGUAUGAAUUAAGUUAGUAAAAUUAGUGGAAAUUGAUUUUAGGACAUAAUUGUGAAAAUGUUGGAAUUAAAGUCUAGUGCUGAAAUUAUGAUUUCCAAAAGUUGUAAAGUAGUUUAAAGUGAUAGAAUAAAGUGUUAAUUGAGAAAAAUCAGCUCAAUUGAGAGGCUAAUUGAGUAGGGACGAAAUUGUUAUUUAUUAAAGCUUAAGGGAAAAAUGGUAAUAAACAACUUGCAGUAAAACAAUAUUGGAAAGCAGCAGUAGACUAACUUUGAAAAAUCACCAUAAAUUGUAGAAAUCAAAUUAGAAGAUGAAAAAAAUAUGAAAUUAAAGCUUAUUGAGUCUAGUUUCUCAUAGAAGAAACGGUGUAAGCAAUAGAUUUUUAAAUCAUGAGAUAUAAUAAAUUUUGUGAGACAACAUCAGAAUGAUUUUGGGUUUCCCUGUUCUGACUUUGAAAAAUCAUAAAAAAUUGGAUAAUCAUAAUUAUGGGCUUAAAUUUAUAUGUUUAGAAUCUUGAAUGAGUCUAGUUACAAUAUAAAUAAACUGGAACAUCAUUAGAAUUUUGUACGAGGAGAUAAUUAAUUUUUUGUGAAGAAGGGUCACAACUGUCAGACAGCAAAAUAGGGGUAACUUUAAAGAAUAAACUAUACUUAUUGAAUAAAUAAAAACUUCUGAAAAUUUUAUGGUAAGAAGAUAUAUGAGUAUAGUUUCAGGGAAAAUUAGUGGAUAUUAAUUUGGAGUUCUAGAGCUCCAGAUAUAAAUAAUUUAGUGACUAUGACACAGAUGGACAGCUAGAAUAUUCAUAAAAGUAAAUAAUAAAAAUUAUAGAUGAUGUUACUUACAAGUGUGUUAUAUACAUUAAGGAUGUGGAAUGGAGAGGAGGAGGAGGAAAAAUAUAUAUGAAUAUCCAGCUAGCAUGGCUAAUUUGCAUGUUUUAGGCUUAAGGACUAAAUUGAAUAAAAGUAAAACUUCAGGGGCAAUUUUGUAAAAAUGUCAAAAUGAUCAAAUUGAAGGGAAUGAAUUGUUUUAUUAUCUAAAUUAAUAAAUUGAAUGAAAUUUUCAAUUUAAUAUCGGGUGAAAAUUGGGAAAAUGGUAAAUUACCAAAAUGUCCCUAAAUCUUGAUAUUUCUACAAUUUCACUAGGUAAGUUUAUGUAACUUGAAUUAUAUUCUUUAAUGCUUGAAAUAUAUGUUAUUGAUGUGAAUAUGAUUUGAAUGUUCAUUGUAUGAAAAUUGAUGAAACAUUGAUAUAUUUGAUAAAAUGGGAAGAAAUCCCGGUUGAAUGAAAGGAAAUUUCGAUGGAUCUCUGAAAAGGAAUUGGCGGUAAAAAGGAUCUAGCCCGGACGAGUGAUCCUAUCCUGAUAUAGCCCUCCCGAAGAAUAUGUGGAAAAUGGAUUUAGCCCGGACGGGUAAUUCGAAUUAGGGUCUAAAUUUAGCCUGGACUGGUAAUUCAGAUCCAAGCUCAUUAAAGUAAUUGUCGUUGCAGGGGAUUUAGCCUAGACUGGUAAUCCCGACAAUACUCAAUGAGUUUAUAUUACAGGGGAUUUAGCCUGGACUGGUAAUCCCACUGUAAGGAUGAGGUUCGCGGGAGUGUGCUCUCUGAUAUGAAAUGUGUAAGACCAUGGUUGAAAGAUACCAUGGCAACCUGAUAUGAAAUGUGUAAGACCAUGGUUGAAAGAUACCAUGGCAACAUGAUAGAAAAUGAGUAAGACCAUAGUUGAAAGACACUAUGGCAUCAUGUCAAAGAUAAAUAAGACUGUGGAAGAGAGACGCCAAGAUAUCUGUUGAACAACUAAUAUUCAGGUAAUAUAUACCAGAUGACAAAUAGUUAUAUGAAUUGGUUGUACAAAAUGGUUGUGUGAAAUGUUUACAGGAAUUGGUCAUAUGGAAAUAUAUGUACAAAAUAGUUGUAUGAAAUAAUUAAGAAGAUAGAUAAAGGAAAUAAGUAUAGAUACAUGGAAUUUAAUUUAUGUUAAGUUUAAUACGAACUAUUACCAAAGUAAAUAUACAUAAGAUAUAAGGAAAUGAUGAUGCAUGAAAUAUUGAUAUAACGAAAUGAAUGAUAUAUGCUUAUGAAGAAAUAGUAAGAGAACAAUAUAUUUUGUGACAUGUACAUAUAUAAUUAUCUUUGAUAUGUUGAUAUAAGGAAAUUAUGUAAGUUGAGACUAUUAUUGAACUGAAGUGUGAUAUGUUGAGAAAAUAGGUAUAUCAUUGUUGAAUUUAUAUGAAGUAUGUGCAAGUAUACUAACAAUGUUGUUGUAUGAUGCUUAGACAAGUGCCAAGCUAUUGAUUGAAUGGUAACAUGUUUAAUUAUAAGUAGCAUUGAAAUGGUAAGUACUUAGAUGAAAAUAUAAUUUAAGAUUUUGCGAAAUUUUUUUAUGAUCCCGAUUUAAUUUCGGUUGGUUUUUAAUGUAUGUUUGGGGCUUCGAGGGCCCAAUAGAGAAACGUUAUGGUUAUUUUCAAAAUAUGAAUAAUAAAUGACUCAAAAUUAUCUGAAAAUGUUUAGUAAACUCUGGUAAUGCCUCGUACCUUAUUCUGACAAUAGAUACGGGUUGGGGGUGUUACAAGGUUCUUUUAGUAUAUGACUAGAAGAAAUCUAUCAGGACCUUUAGUAUUCGACAGUGAGAUUAAAAGCACAGCUCUUAGAAACUGUAGAGAAGUAAGGCAGAGUCGACAAAGUGCAAUGGAAGAGCAAGAGGACGUUAUUGUUAUUACUGAGGAGAUGGCUGAAAAUCAGAAUAUUAGCUACCUCAUGUGGUUGCUGCAAAUCCUGUAAAUUUGAAUCCUGCUCCUCGUACUACGUAUGAUUAUGUCAAGCCCACUCUAACUGGGGCUUAAUCGAGUAUCGUGACGCUUACUAUUGCUACGAAUAACUUCUAACUGAAGCCGAAGAUUAUUCAGAUGAUUCAACAGUUUGUUCAGUUCGAUGGUUUGCAAGAUGAAGAUCUAAAUACUCAUUCGGCCAAUAUUUUGGAAUUCUGUGACACUUUUAAGAUGAAUGGCAUUUCUGACAAUGCCAUUUGCUUUCAGUUGUUUCCAUUCUCAUUGAGAAAUAAGGCUAAACAAUGGUUGAACUCCCUACCACGAGGUUCUAUCACUAGAUGGAAUCAAAUGACCAAAAAGUUCUUAUUGAAGUAUUUUCUAUUGACUAAGAUAGCCAAGCUAAGGAAUGACAUAUCUUACUUCGUGCAAAUGGAUUUAGAGACCCUAUAUGAUGCAUGGGAGAGGUAUAAGGAUUUAUUGAGAAGGUGCCCUCACCAUGGAUUACCUCUAUGGCUACAGGUUCAAACCUUCUAGAGUGGUUUGAAUCCCUCAACUAGGCAAUUAAUCGAUGCAGUAGCCGGUGGUACUCUGAACAAUAAAAUACCUGAAGCGGCGUAUGAGUUUAUAGAGGAAAUGUCACUGAAUAAUUAUCAGUGAUAAGUCAUGAGGACGAAACCGAUGAAAGCAGCCGGUGUUUUUAAUGUAGAUGCGGUCACUAUGUUAUCAAAUUAGGUAGAACUUUUAAGUAAGAAAAUUGAUGUUUUAUAUGGUUUUACGCAGGUACAUCUGGUGAUGCAGUGCGAUACGAAUAAAGGAGGGAUGAACAAUCCAGUAUGUCUAUCCUACCGCCUUAGCAUAGAGAACGAACAAGUCAAUUGUAUGAGUAAUAAUUCUAGACCUUAGAAUAAUCCUUAUAGUAACACUUAUAAUACAGGUUGGAGGAAUCAUCCCAAUUUCUCUUGGGGUGGUCAAGGAAAUCAAAGACCACAACUCCUUCUAGGCUUUCAACAACCUUACCAGCAAGAGAAGAAGUCGAACCUGAAGGAGAUGCUGACGAAGUUUAUUUCAGUAUUAGAAACUCGCUUCCAAAACACUGAAACAACACCUAAAAAUCAACAAGCGUCGAUUCAAGGACUCGAGAACCAAAUAGGACAGCUUGCUAAGUUGAUUUCAGAAAGACCACAAGGUAGCUUGCCUAGCAACACCGAAACUAACCCAAGAGAGCAGCUUCAUGCAAUUAGGGUUCGAGAUGAAUAAGGGUUAGUUGAACCUUGUAAUAGCCCGAUUUAGACCCCAUACGGAACGGUGGUUUCGGGACCAUGAGUGCAAUUUUUUUUUCUGUGUUUAUUAUGUGUGAAUUAAUCUUCGUGAAAUUUUCAUGUUUUAAUUUUAUCGCUUGAGUGCUCGAUUUAAUAAAAGGGCUUAAUCACGUAAAAUAAAAAUUGGAUGGUUUAAUUUGUAAGGGCCGAAUUGUUGUUGUUUUGAUUGCAUGAGGUAUUUAUGUUACAAUUAGACCAUAUUUAUAAAUCAUGGACGGUUAAGGACAUGAAUAUAAUGUUUGUAUAAUUAUAUUCUAAACGUUAAUUUACUAAAAUAUGUAAUAAUAUGUAUAAAAUAAACAUAAAAAUUUAAAAGCCAUAUGUUCAUCUUUUUUCUUUAACCGAAACAUCAAAUAAAAGAAAAGAAAUAAGGUUUUCAAAGGUUUGACCAUUGUUAAGCUUAAUCAAGGUAUGUAACUAGCUCGAUUUUUGCUAAUUUCACGUUUUGAGAUCGUUGCAGUAUAAUGUACAAAGUCCAUGCAUGAAUUUCUGAUUUUGAUGAAUAUUUUAAGUUAUGCCAUUGAUGAAUAUUUGAGUUUUGUGAUGUUAGUUGAUGAAUUUUGAAAGAUAUGUUUUGGAUUAAUAUGUUUUGUAUUGGAAUUUUUGAUAAAUUUGAGUAAUUAGGGCUAAAUUAUAAAAAUAAUAAAUUGAGAGACUAAAAUGUGAAAUAAAUGAAAUAUAUGGACUUGUAUGAGCAUAAGUAAGAUUCGGCCUAAGCAUGGUGUGUGCAAAUUUUGCAUGUUUUGUGUUUUGUGCAAUUUGGACUAAAUUGUAAAAACUGUAAAAUGUUAGGGUAAAAUGGUAAUUUGCCCAUUUUUGUGUUUUUGGUCUAAAUUGGAUGAAAUUAUGUUUGAAUGAGUUUAAUUUGAAUAUGUUUAGAUCAAGAACCAAAGAAAUCAGAUUUGGAUCGGGAAAAACCAAAGUUGUUGAUUAGUCGUCCCGUUCCGAUUAUCGUUGUCCGAGGUAAAUUUAGAAGCAAAUAGAUGUUAUUUAAUUGAUUAAAUAUGAACUAUAUAUGCUGAAAUGUAUAAUGUGAUAGUAUAUAUGUGAAAGCCGAAUAUGUAUAAGCUUAGAAUCUAUGUGUACGGGUUCGACUCGAUCUAGUUACGACGUCCGAAAGCCUCGUACGAACCUUAGGAAUAGCUAGGAUACAUAUGUCAUUACAUCGGAUCUCCGAUAUGUGUUCUCCUAUAAGACCACGUCUGGGACGUUGGCAUCGAUAUAUGUGAUUAUGUGUAAGACCAUGUCUGGGACAUCAGCAUCGUAUUUGAUUCGUGUAAGACCUUGUCUGGGACAGUGGCAUCGAUAUGUGAUUACAUGUAAGACCACGUCUGGGACGUUGGCAUUGUACGAUAUGUGUGAUUAUCCGAGCAUCCUAUUCAAUUUCGAAUGGUUCAACGGGCAUUGAUAAGUUGUGAUCGAAUGUGUAAAUCGAGCUAAGUGACUAGGUAUGAAAUAGUUGAUUGCUUAUUUGAAAAUAAGGUAAGUUGGUUAUUUGAAAUGUGAUGCAAAAUUAUACCUGAUGUUAAUGUAAAUACAUAUGUGUAUUGGUGAAGUAUAUUCGGCCACAUGAUAAAUAAAUAAGUAGGAGAUACUAAAGUUUGAUUUAAGAAUAUAUGCUUAUGAGUGUGUAUAUUUGGUUAUAUAAUGGUACUAUGGUUUUGAAAUUGAUUGUUACUUUGAUAAUAGAUACAUGUACAUUCGAACAAGGUAAAACUUAUAUAUGAAAGUAUAUGUUAUAUAUGAAAUUGUGAGCUUGAAAUUAAAUGUGAUUAUGAAAGCAUAAAUUUAUUUGGUUAAAUUGAGUUGAUAUUGUCAUUGAAUUAUUGGUUUGCUUAUGACUUACUAAGCUACGAUAGCUUAAUGUGCGUGUUUAUGUUUGUCUCUGUUUUAUAGAUUUUGGAGGCUAGGUACGAGUUCGAGGAUCGUCAACAAAGUCUAUCACACUGUCGAUUGUUUUUUGUAUUUUAUAAGUUUGAACUUGAACCUAUGGCAUGUAUAGGCUAGAUUAUAUUUGGUUAAGUUUGAAGUUGUGUAUAUAUUAAGCCAUACAAAAAUGGCUAAUAUGUUAUGUGAGUAUAUGAAACUUUAGAAAAGUUUGUAUGUGUUAUAUGCAUUGAAAAUGGUUGGUGAUUUUGGAUGUGGUUUGUUUGAAUCGGCCAUGGUAUAUACAUAAGUAUGAAUUAUGUUUGUUAUGUUACUCAUGGUUAAAAUGAUUCGUUUAUGUCUUGUAUUUGAUAGUAAUGGUUUAAUUUGGUUGACGAGUGUAUUCGGCUAAAUGUUGAAUUUGGGUAAUGAAUAUGUUUGAUUGAUGAUUCGGCACUUGCAUAAAUAUAUAUUCAAGCAUACGAUGUAUUGGUUAUAUAUAUAUUAUCUCAAGGUAUAUAUGUUUGAGGAGUUGGUUAUAUGUUUUGGUAAUGAGAAACAUCAAGUAUGAUUUUAUAAUUUGGCUUAGUAAGAGAUAAAAUAAUGAGUAUAUAUAUUGUAUGUGAAAUGUUUAUAUAGAUUAGUUUGUUAAUUGAAGAUUAAUGAAUGUGUAUAAGUUAAUUUUUGCUAGUCGUAUAGAUAAGAGAAGAAUUGGUCUUGUGUAUGAUAUUUUGGUAUGAUGUAUAACUUGUGAAAUUGGCAUGUUUUGAUUUGGCAUUAAUAUUUAUAAAUUUGGUUUAUUAAGUCAUAUAGAAAUGGUAUGAAUUAUUUGUAUGUGUAUUAAUGACCGAAUAGAUGAUGUUUGAAUGGUUAGUAUUAUGCAUAUAAAUUUUAGUAUGUUUUGAUUUGGUAAUUGUGUUAAAAAAUGUUCCAUAUUAAUAUGGAAAUAUGCGCAUGAAUUAGUAAUGUAAAAGAAGGAUAUUUGGCUAUGUUGUAAUGCUAGCUACUAUCUUUUAUGAUAAUGAAUAUCAACUAUGGUAUAAGGUGAUAUAAUAUACAAAUGUAUAUUGAUUAUGUUUUCAAAAGCUAAUGCCGCAUAUAUUUUAUAUGACUUUGAAUUUUUAUUGAUAUUUGUAUUAUGAUUUAAAUUAUGUGUUUAAUGUUUAAACAGAUUUAUGUUUUAGUUAUGUGAAUAUAACAUAUGUGUAUAUGUGAAUGUUCGAAAUUUUGUGUCUCGUCCAGUAAUACCUCGUAACCUCAUUCUGGCGUUAGAUUCGGGUUAGGGGUGUUACAAACCUGAACCAGAAUUAAGGCAAAAAAGUAUGGUAAGUCAAGGUAAGGUUGAGGUGAGCCACAGUGAACAAAAACCAGUAGGUAAAGAGUAUAAACCUCAUGUGCCAUAUCCCAACGCAACAAAAAAAGACCACACAGACGAACAAUUUGGUAAAUUUCUUAAACUUUUGAAAAAGUUACAUGUUAACUUACCGUUUAUUGAAGCUCUUCCAUUGAUGCCCAAUUCAGUAAAAUUUUUAAAGGAGCUUUUGGAAAAAAAAUGGAAAUUAGAUGAUUCGUCGCAUGUAGAGUUAAAUGCAGUGUGCUUAGCCAUUUUACAAAACAAAAUACCCAACAAAUUGGAAGAUCCAAGGAGUUUUACUAUUCCCUGUUUAAUUGGUAGUUUAAAUGUUAAUAAUGCUUUGGCUGAUUUAGGGGCAAGUAUUAAUGUCAUGCCCUAUAAAAUGUUUAAGCAACUAGGUCUUGGUAAACUCCAACAAACUAGGAUGAUUAUUCAAUUGGCAGAUAGAACCAUUAGAUUUCCUAGGGGUAUUGUUGAAGACGUACUUGUCAAAAUUGACAAAUUUAUAUUCUCAAUCGAUUUUGUUGUCUUAGACAUGGAUUAAGAUAGUGACGUACCUUUAAUUCUAGGUCGGCCCUUUUUAGCAACUGCUAGAACUAUCAUUGAUAUUGGUACAAGUGAACUGAUUCUUCGUUUAGGUGAUGAUACAAUCACUCUCCAAACUCGUGAUUCUGCGUAGAUAUCUAGUAAUCGAGAUGAUUAUAUGAGUUCUGUUCAUGAAAGUAACCUUGUGGCUCAACCUUUUUUGUAGGAAAUCCCCUGGAAAAAUGUGAUAAAGCCACAUUUCAGCUUAUGUGACAAAAACAGAAUGACUCUUGAUGAACGAAUGCUAUAAAUCGAUGAAUUAGAUAAAUGGAGGACACAUGUCAAGGAGAAACUGAAAAUACACAAUGUAGAACCAAAACGAUGCCAUGACGAAGUUAAGGAUGGAACGAACCAAUUUAAGGUUGGGGACCAGGUAUUGUUAGAUAAAACGGACCCUCGAAUUACCACUUCAGAGCUUAAUGCAAAUGGAGUAACUUUUUUUACUGUACUCAAUGUCUUCCCAUUCGGUACAAUUGAGGUAACUUAUUCUAAAUUCGACACUUUUGUAGUAAAUUUUACUCAGUUGAAACCUUAUCUUGAUAAUAGAAUUGACGAUGAAAAAGAAGAGUUUCAACUCUAUGAACCACUGUGACCAUACGAAUACGAGGUAAGUUGAGCUUAGACUUUAAAUAAGAGCUUCUCGGGAGGCAACCCGAGUGCUAACAUUGCUAAUUUCUUAAUUUUCUCUCAUGAUGUUUUUAAAAUUGAUUAAUUUUAAAAAAAAUAUUUUUGACUCACAUGACCUGGACACACUGGUGUGUCCCUAGCAGUGUGGAUAAAAAAAGUCUGACUGUGAGUUACACGACCUGGCGACAUGGCCAUGUGACCCACACGGGCGUGUCUUUGGUCAUAUGGAUCAUGGAACUUAAUUUUUUAAAAAUCAAAAGAGAUACGGUCUAAAAUAUUUCACACGGGCGUGUCCUAAGCCGUGUGAAACCUGGAGCUAAAUUUUUUUAUUUUAAAACAAAUCAGAGAGUUACACGGACAAAACACACAGUGCGAGACAUGGCUGAGCCACACGGGCGUGGGAGAAGCGAAAAAGAUUGCACACAGCCAUGCGACACGGCAGUGUGGGACAUACGGCCAAGACACACGGGCGUGUUCGAGACCUUAUAAACACUGUGUCAAAAUUUUUUAUCACACAUGGGCUGAACAAGUACCACACGGUCGUGUGAGGUCCAUUAAAAUCUCUAACCCUAAAUUUUAUUUUUAUUUUAUCUUCUUCUCAAACUCCUAACCCUAAGCCGCCAUCAGUCUUUUCAUAGCUAUUCCGACCAGACACCAUUGUUUUUCCCUUUCCCUUUCAUCGUCGAACAACCACACCCCUCGAACUCCUUCAAUGCGUGCAAUCCCCCUAACCCCGUGCACAACCUCACCUCCUCUCUGCCCAAUUUUCCCCAUUUUCUCUUCUUCUUUCCAUUGCAUACCCCCAUCUCACGCCGGCCGAACUAGUUCUCUCCCGCACCCCCUUACCACUUUGUCACCCUGUAUAACUACUCCCUCCCCGACCUCAACCCAAAGCCCCAACAGCCCCUAACAGCACUAGCCCCUUUUCCUUCUCCCCUACGCAGCAACCACCCUUUGCGUGUCGCCGUACCUCUGUAACUCUAACCAUCGCCCUGUCGGUUUCUCCUUUAACCCUUGUCAUUAUCUUAAUUAUUAAUUAAUUAAUUAUUUAUUUUUCGUUAUUUUGUUAUUUUAUUUUGAGUUUCUUUCUUUAUUAUUUCCUUGACUCCAGUUUGAUUCAUAACUAGCUAUAUAGUUUUUGGAUGGUUAAGACUUUGUGUCUAUCAUUGUUAGUAAUAGAUUUCUAUCUUGACUACUUAGGAUUAUAUAUUCUCAAACAUGUGUUUGAAUAUUUGGUAAGGCUUUAUUUAUUUACUCUUAAAUUUUUCUUUUUUAGGCACAUCAUGACGAACACAUGUUGUAAGACUAAGGCCAUCAUCCAGCUUCAAAAAAGCGGAAGACCCAUGGUGGGACCUCCUCCUCGAGCACUUCCACCGAGGCCCGCCACCCUUAUCUCCAAUUUUCGGCUACUUAGACAUUGCCCACUCUGUCUAAGCCGCUCUAUCGAUUAGGCCGCGUUGGAGUAGGUACGCUUAGCUGACGAUGUUUGCGCCUUCAUUACUACAGCUUCGUGGGACAGAUUCUUGUCCAUUAUUAAGCCUGCCUACAUGGAGCUUACCUUGGAGUUCUACACAACGUUUCUCGUACAGCAGGUCAUGAUGACUCAUGACGAGCCAAGUAUCAUCACUUUUUGACUUGGUAGUUUAAUGCUCCACAUGAGCGUCCCCGAGUUCGGUGCUGCUAUGGGACUUUACAGUGAGGAGUUCAUAAGUGCUGAGAACUUCCUUCAUCUACAUCGGCACAUCCAUUACACACCAUUACAGUGCUGGACAAAGUUUACAGCUAGCCAGACAAUUUAUUAUGCGAGUCGCUCCAAGGCGACAUUUCUCUCUCCAACUUUACGGUACCUUCAGGCACUUUUAACACACUUUGACUGGUAGGAGAGAGAGCAUCGGAAUUGUCAGUACUCACGAUGCAUACUUUUUAUGGAGCAUGGCCACCAGACAUAUCUUUGAUUUGGCAUACUUCAUCGCUUUAGCAUUCCGCCAUCAGACUGACCGCCAUAGGAAGGGCCCCAUCUGUUUAUACCCUUAUGUGACUCACCUCGCUCGACACUUCGGUCUCCUAGACACACUGGAGUAGUCCUCUACACUCACACUAGUCGGCUAGAUGUCCCAUCAGGAAAUCUCGAGCAUGAUAAAUAUGAGGAUGAUGAAGCGGCGUCAUGGAGUGGAUCCCCCUCAAUAUCGAUUGUUUCAUUCUGAUGCUCAAAAUGAACUCGAAGACUUCACUGAUGAUGUUCCUCUCCAUCACGAGAUCCACCACAACAUCCACCUUCAAGUCACCGUCCUAUUCCUUCUGCUCCUACUUCCGAGGACGUCUCAGAGCGGCUCACUCGCUUUGAGCAAUACUACACUAAAGGUUUGACAGUCUUGACGUGACAUUAUAGAGGAUCUGUCAGCAUUUCCAUAUCUCCUCUCCAGCGCCGACGACUCACGACACCGAUGUGUCUGAUGAUGAGGACCAUUGAGUCCAUUUAUUCUAUUUUUAUUUUUAUUUUUAUUUCUAUUUUUAUGUUUAUUGUUAUUUUAUUAGACUUAUUUUGCUUUUAUAUUUUGAACGACAUUUUUAUUUAUUAUGGUUGUUUCUAAUCGAGUAACCCUUUAAUCUUAUUCACCACUUAUGUUUAUUUUCUUAUUAGUUUCUCAAAGUCAUGCGCUACAUUUAGAUUAGUCUAUAAAUUCGCUUUACACUAUUCUGGGGAUGUCAUUUAAUAUUCAGGGCAGUUUCAAUUCUCUCCCUUUCUUAUGAUAUUCUAUUUCUACUGUGAUUAUUUUUGUUUGUACAUUGAGGACAAUGUACAUCUUAAGUGUGGGGAGGUUAUUUAUAUGAUUAUUAGAAAAUCCCUGAAUUCUGUCUUGUGUUCAAGUAAUUUUCUCAUAUUACUAUUAGAAUGAAUUCUUAUCGAUUUGUAAUUUUCAUUGAUAUGUUUUAGAUUAAAUUCAUAGAUAUUUGUGCAUUGAUUGUUUGAACUUUAAGACAUGAGCGAACCAAACAUGAUAAGUCUAUUUUUAGAAUGAAAAAUUUUUAGGUGGUUUCCUUGAAUUGGGGUAUUACCUUGAAGUUUGAGAUUUGCAAGAUUGAUAUCAAAAACCAUAAUUUUUUGUAAGAUUUUGAGCCUUUAGAGCAUACAGUUUUCUUGCUCAUUUUAUUAUUGGUUAUGAGUUUGUCAAUAUUGAUUGGUUAUUCUAGAACUUGUGUAACACCCCAAACCCGACCUAGACGUUAUGGCUGAAUAUGACAUGUCACUUUGAAGUCUUUAAGAAAACCCAAGCCUCUUCCAAUACCCUUCUUAGUGUUUUAAAAGAUGGUCUUUGCUAAAGUGAAUGGAAGCUGAGCACCAGGUAGGUAUCCGAAACAGAGGAGGUGAGCCAUGAAGGCUGCUUAAGUACCAGGCUCUCGAUUGGAUCCAAUCCUAGACAUGCUUACAACCAUUGCCACACUUUGGUGCGAGAUUAGGUUUUGUAUGAAAAUCUAGCUGUAAUUCAUUUAUAUAGUUGUUUUGAUUAACCAAUUGAUUGUAUCGUUGCGUAAUUUUGGAAACAUGUAUCAUUUUGAAAACGCACCCUAAGUCUAGCCAUUUUAGAUUAAUAACAGUAAAACAUAGAGUAUAAAAUAAAAUAAUCCCAGAAAAAAUAAAAAGGCCUUAUUAGAACCCAAAACCAAAUAAUAAUAACUACGAUAAAACUUGAAAAAAAACUAGUUACUUAUUACAAAGUUCGAAAACGAUCAGCACGGCCACUCUGAAUCCCCUCCGGCUUUAAGUCUCCACAUCAAGGCUCACCUGCAAGGUUAAGGAAGGGGGGUGAGUUUGGAAACUCAGUGUGCAACAAGCCCCUUUCAGAGCCCAAACUAAUCCCAGCAUACUAGGCCUAAGCCCAAAUUCAGUCUCGACAUAUACUGGGCUGAAGCCUUUCAUAAUUUACAACACUGGGCCGAAGCCUUUUCAAAAUUCAAAUCACUGGGCCGAAGCCUUUACUGUAAGCGGUAUGGCCCAUAGACCCAUUUUAAUAUCAAAUGUAAUAUUAAUGAAUGUAUGCAAGCCCUUUUGGGGAGACUACUCAACCCACCAUCCGCUAGUCUCCACCCGUACCAACCAAGCUCUCCUUGUGGAGAAUAACUCAACCCACCCAACCAAUCUCUCCACUGGCAGCAUAGCUGCUUUAUCAUAACCGGAGGCCUAGCCUCUUUUAAUAACUGGGGCAAAGCCCUUUUUGAUAAACUGGGGCAAAGCUCUUUUCGGUAAACUAAGGCAAAUCCCUUUUUGCACUUCCUCCAUUUAUAUCAAACCCAACCCAUGCAUAUAAUGAGUAUAUCAUGUGCAUCUCAUAACAUAUCAUGUGCAUAUCAUGUCAUAUCAUGUAUAUCAAAAUCUUCUGCAUCAUAUUCAUAAUUAAACCCUAGGGGUAUAAUGGUCAUUUUUACUUAGGGGCAAAACAGUCAUUUUUCAUAUUUUAAGGGUAAUUCUGUAAAUUUGCCAAAUAUUAUAGGUUUUCCACGUUCAUUAACAAUUAUCAAAUUCCAAGUGUUUAAACCAUGAUUUUAACGCGUUUUAACAAAAUCGGGCUUUUGGGCCCAAAACCCUAAUGGGCCCUACGAAUGCCAAUUUAGCCCACUAAGCCCUCUUAACCCAAAUUUUACAACUGUACUCACCGUGUUAACAUGCAAAUUUUUCCAAUUCCCAUUAUCUAUCAAUUUCACCCAAAUGGCUCGAAGCCCAUUGGGCCCAAUUCCAGCCCAUGGAGGCCCAACUUACCAACGUGUACAAAAUUUACGCUCUUACCUGUUCCAUUGAUCCGAACACCGACAAUGUCGUAUCUAUCACAUCAAAAACCACAUGAAAAAUCUCAAGUUUCCAAAAUGCCGGAUUUAAACAUUUCGGCUUUUCAGCGGAUAUUAAUCUAAGAUCUUACGGGGUUAUUACACGCCUGCUUUGUGACGUUCGCUAACAAAGUCUCCCAUGACAACCUACAAUUAAACAUCACCAUACUUAGUUUACAGUUCAAGCAAUCAAACUCAAAGUCCACCUUACCAUAUUCGGCUAAGGAAUCCCUAAUAGCCAUAGAUCCCUUACCUUCACAGGGUCCGACGAUUCGAUUCAAGCUUAUCCAAAACUGAUACUCCAAGCCUUGCUGCUCCUCCAAAGUUAUCUAUUUUACUACACAAACCAUACAGGUCAAAAGGAAAGACCCCCAAAAGGCCUAUGCUUCAAAUCGACAACCUCCCUAAACCAUAGGGGGUUUCGGCUUUUCUUAAUGUUUACCACUAAAACAGUUUGGAAAAUGAGUACUUACCAGAUGAAGGGGUCGGUCACCACAAAUAAGGAGAACAGAAAAGAUGCUGGUCUAAAAGCAUACGGGACAACCAACCUUCAUAGGUUUCGGUUCUUGUGACGAUUCGGCAAGGGGGAUGAAAAGAAAGGAAGUAAUGAUGAAAAGAAAGAGAGUAUUGGUUUGGUUUUGGCAAUAAAAGAGAAAGAAACUGGAUGAAGAGAGUGGUGUUUUCGGCUAGAGAGGAAAAGGGAAGAAAAGAAUGACUCUAUGGUGUUUAACAAAAGAAAAUCGGCACAACUAUAGCCCCUAAUGCCGAAAUACCACCCUUAAAAUCCCUAAGCCGAUUUCUCCUCCCUAAUCCCCACUAUUCGGCCAACUCUAUGCCUCCCUUCAAAUCCCUAAAAUCUCUCCCCUUAUCACUCCUUAAUUCAAGCAUUCAACUGAUUCAAACUCUCUCCAACAGAGUUCCAUUCGGCUUCAAACUUCUGCAUGCUCAAGGCAUAAAAAUAACAACACAAUUGCCAGCUUAGCAAACCGAACCUUGGCCUUUCCCCAACCACUUACACGCCACCUUUAUAGAUCCCUAGUGGCGUCACUUAGCUACUUUGCCAGGGGCUCUCUUGUGUUACAUUUUACCCACAUCUUUUAAUAAGGCCACCUAUCUAAUGCCCCUAACUCCUUAAGUCCAAAAUUCAAAAAUUCUACCAGGUUUUGGCCAACACAUAGGCCUUCUAUAAGCCCAUUUACAUACUCCAAUUAUGGAUUUCACAACCAAACAAAAUUUACCAAAAUCUUAAGAAUUACGAAAAUCCCGAAAAUUAAGGUGUUACAACUUGCUUCGAUUAUGCAUAUCAAGACCACACUUUUGAUUUGAUAUACUGAGAUGAUAAAGGCACUUAUGUUUUAACUCACUUAUCCUAUGAAAAGCGUACCUUCAUAAUUAACCCUUAGUGAACCCCUUUGAGCCUAACACACUGUUUCUUGAUUCACCCAUUAAUGAUAGCCUGUAACUUAUUUUGUGUUCAUUAACAAUUUUUUUCAUUUUAUUGACUCCAUUUUUAUCGAGAUUUGCUUUCGUUAAUUGCUUGAUUAAGCCGUUUGAUUAAGUUGCUGAAUUAUUUCUUCUUAUUUACAUAUCAAAUAAAAAAAUGAGAAAAAAAUUAUACAUAUAUAGUUUUUUAGUUAUUUGUUAAUUGAGCUUGAACAGUUAAAUUCACAUUUUGAGAAGAAGCUUGUGUUAUUUUUGAAUAGAUUCUAUUGAUGUAAUUAUUUGUAAUUCAGCAUUUGUUAUUUUCUAGUUUGGUAGUUUAUCAAUUCGAUCUCGAUUCUAACCUUUCUUUUUUAACCUUUCUCCACACCCUUAACCUAAGCCCCACUACAACCUCUUAAAGACCUUUUGAUUUGUGUAUCAUCUCAUCUUAUAGUGGUGGAGAUUUGAUUUUCAUGCAAGCUUAUGGUAAUGACUUUUCAUGUUUGACUAUUGAAUGCUUAAUUUUGGAAUCUUAAACACUUUGAAUGAUUUGAGUGAAUUUUUAGUGAAGAUGUCGAUUCUUGUCGAUUUUGAAUUAAAGAUAAUUACUUAGAUAAGGGGAAAUACUUGUGUUUUCAUGCUUUAAAAUGUUCGACUUGGAUUGUUUGAAUCUUUAAUGCUCUUUUAGUUGAAUUAUCAAUGUAUGAUUAUUUGUGAAUUAUGACAAAACAUUAUUGAUGAAACUUAUGAGUUAAGAAAGUUUAAUUUUAAUUGUGAGUUGAGGAUUUUGCUUUAAGACAAGCAAACGCUUAAGUGUGGGGAUAUUUUAUAAACCAUAAAAGUAACAUGUUUUAGUCUCAUACUUGGCAUGUUUUUGGAUGAUUUAUUAUGUAAAUUAGUGAAUUUAAUGCUCCUAAUCCUUUAAAUUUAUGUUUCUAUACUUAGGCAAGCAUAGGGAAGUGAAAGGAGCAAAAAAGGGGCCAAAAUCAGACAAAAAGAGUUGUUUUCAGGAACUACAUGGCCUGGGCACUUCCACACGGGCUGGACACAUGCUCGUGUGAGCCACACGAGCUGGCCACGCGCCCAUGUGUCAGCCCGUGUCGAUUUUGAACCCUAAUUCUUUUUUACAUGGAAAACCCAAUUUUUAGUGUUUCUGAGCAUUCUAAAGUUUAUAAAUACAUAUUAGAAGAGGACUAAGGGGAACACGCAAAAUAGAACGAAGAAAUUACUCAAAGAACGCCGUCGGAAUCAACUCAGAAGCAGAUCUCCUUCAAGAUUGAAUAUCUCCAUUCAAAUAUCCUUCGAAGUUUUAUUGGGUUUCCUAUGUCUUGUUGUUAUUCUAUUUUUGAGAUGUUUCCCUCCCAAAUUAUGAACUAAAUUCCCUAGAUACCUAGGGAAGGUGAAACCUAUGAUGGAUCUUAUUAUUUGAUUUUAUGAAUUAUAUGGUAAAUACUUGAUUCUUGUUCUCAAUUAUGUAUGUUUAUUUAUUGCUUUAUUAUUUUCAGGAUAUGAAUUCAUGUAUGACGUGUUUAUUUCAGUAGAGCAAAAGUCCCUAUUUAAGAGUAGAUCUAGCAUAAUUGAGUGGAGUUGCAUGCAAUCCUAGAAAUAAGACGACAUAAAUCUACCGGAUUAGAGUCAAAUCUAAUAGGGGAAUCCAUAGAUCGAGUUAAUGUGACAAUAGAGGUUUUAAUUAGAAAGAGAUUUCAAUUAAUCAACCUACAGUCAGUUGUUCUUACUCUCGAAAGAGAUAUUAACAUAAAUUAGGGAUUUCUAAGGAUCAAGGCACAAGUGAAUAAAUCGUCUAAUUCAGAUUUAGAAUAAUAAGUGAAGUCUAAGUGGAUUCUUUCCUGGGUAUUGUCUAUAUCAUUGGUCUUUUUCAAAUAUUUUCUUAAUUCUGUCUCUAUCGCAUUCUUAGUAAUUAGUUUAGUUAAUUUUAAUCUAAAAACACCCCCUUUAAUUUAUAGGCUAGAUAAUAAAAAAGAUAGUAAUUACUAGUACAUUCAGUCCUCGUGGAUACGAUAUUCCAAACUCACCAUAGCUAUACUACUAUUCGAUAGAUGCGUUUGCCUUUGUCGUGAAGUUAGUUAGUUUAGUGACUUAUCAUCGAUCUCAAUCACAUCCUUAUAUAACCCUUUGUUAUCUAUAAUUAUAGAAUUUAACAUCAAUUUUGAAAUUUACACACUUUAGUCCAUAUGUUAAAAAACUAGCAAUUAAACUUUACAAACUAGUCUUUUUUUUCACUUCUAAACUUAAAAUCAAACAAUAUAUUACAAAAUUCUUCAAGUAUUCAUCAAUGAAAACCUUUAGAAAUUUAAUUUUUUUUCAAAUUUUAUAUAAGCUAGCUAAAUCAAGCUCUUACAACCUCAAAAACAUAAAAAUUACAAGAAAAUGACUAAAUUGAAUUCACUUACCAAGUAUUGAAAGUUUGAAGCUUUAAAAACCAUGGCUUAUAUGUUUUCCUUAGUUAGAAACAGUGAAGAAGAGAAGAAAAAUAAAAUAUGAUAAGCUAAUUUGGCUUAUAUACUUAGUUAAUUUUAAUUUAUUUAAUUAAACUUAAUUAAAGUAAUGUUAAGCAUGAUUAACACAUUUUGUGGGUUCCAACAAACAUCCACCACUGCUUAGCAAAUUACCAAUGGUCCAAUUGUUCAAUUGGUCCUUCGGUUAUUUAAAAAUUAAUAGUGAUUAACUGUUACAAUUUUUACAAUUUAGUCUUAUACAUUAAUUAACUAUCCAAUUGAUAGAAUUAAGAGACUAAACUUUAAUUAACCUUUAUAUUAACCUCAUAAAUAUUAAAUAAUAACAUUUACGGACUUGAACAUUAGAAAUGGGAUUCUGUAACUGCCGUUUCCAAUACUAUUGACUUUUGGGUUUUUACAUUUACAUCGUAAGAGUAAUAUAUUAUUUAGAUUUAUCUAUGGUAUGCAUCUAGUUUUCUUAAAAUUUUCUUUUUGAAAUUAUAUUUUUUUGAAAAUAUUGGAUCGAAUCGGAUCUAAUUCGUCUAUAGUGGGGUAGUAUAACAGGUCGUUUUUUAGUGGUGUCAAAAAUAGUGGUUUCGAAACCAUGAAUCUGACAUGUCAGUUAGUAAAUACUGAUUAUUUAAUAUCUACGAGAUCAUUAGUAUCGUAUUUGUAACACCUUUAACCUGGCCUAGACGCUAUGGUUGAAUCUGGGUGUGUUACGAAGAAGGGUUUUAAAUUAUAUCUUUUAAGUUAAAACAUAUCGUUUUAUUUGUUUACCAAACGGAGUCUUCAUAUCCAGAAAAACUUGAGUUUAUAAUAUUAUUUGAAAUCAUUUUAAGUUAUCAAGAAUUUAUAGUGGAAGUUUAAAAAUUGUUUUAUUCGAAACCAAGCUCGUGUUUCCAAAAACCAUUUGUUUGCGUAAAGUAUUUCUGUCAACAUUGUGAAAAAGGAAGCAAAACAAAAUUCAAAUCCAAAAGUUAAAACCGUACAGUCCAGAUAGCCCCAAAAUUACAAACUCUCAAGAAAACUAGAUUUUAAAAUAAAACCGACCUUACUAAAUAAAAACAAUUCUGUCGAGUGGUCACUGCUGAGCCUCCGUUGCACCGACUCCUCUAAGUCUGUUAAUUACCUGAACAAAACAAACAAACAGAUGUGAGUUUUCGUAAACUUAGUGUGUAACCCAACAGAAAUAGUCAUGCAACAUACACAGAAUUCCAUAUAUCGUCAGAUACAGAUUCGGACUUAGGUCCAUAACAGUAACAGAUAUCAGAUAACAGAUCAGAUGUACAGAUUGCUACCCCCAUCUUCUACACACCAUCUCUGUCCAUCCCAUCACACCAUGUGGGGUUAAAAACACCCACUUAUCCCUAUACACCAUAUAGUGUCGAUGCGAUACAUAACAGAUACUAUGCAGUCAAGUCGCCAGAAUAUAGGCGAAAAGGUCACCGUACAUAUCACUUCCUCCACAUAUACAAAUCCCACGCCAAACACAGAUAUAAAAUACAGAUGCAAAAAUAACGGAAUAAACAUACUUAACAUGCUUGUAUGCAGAUAAAUACAAACUUAACAGUAAAGUCAAGUAUACAUAUCAGUUUCCUUCACAAAUCUCAAAUCCUUACUGACCCUAUAGUAGGUCCACAGUUGAUCCGAACGACCCGUGCAACCCCAGAGGAAAUUUUAGAAUUCUAGCCUACAUGCCCGUGUAGCCCACAGGCCUAGAAUGGCCUUGCUCAUGUGGCCCGUACGGCCUGGCCAAACCCCACACGCCUAACUUUGCCUAGCCCAUGUGGCCCACACUCACACCGUCACAAGACCGUGUCAAGCGCACGACCACACCUUCGUUAGUCAGACGACCGUGUCUUACACACGGCGAGCCACACGGUUGGCCACACACUCGUGUGGCAUCGGCAGACCCAACUUUUGGCUUUCGUCAAUCCUCAAUUUUUCGUGUUUAGGGUACAUAGCUGGUACAGUUUUGAUGUGAAAGCAAUCCUGAAACUUUCAAAACCUAAAAGCAGAAUACCUAACACCGAUUUAGUAAUUUGAUUAACGAAUUCGUUAACAAAAAUCCAACAACGAAACUGAUUCACCGCCAACGAUAAACCACUUCUUAUACCGUUCAGGUCAUCGGAGCAAAACCUCCUCCUUUACAGCAUUCUCCUACACGAUAUCUCAAAAAUGUCAAAUUUCUUAACUACGCAUCGUUAUGUCAUUUCAAUAGAACUUUCACAAAUGCUUUACAAAAAUCGAAGGUUAAACACAAAACAACAAAGUACACCACUUACUAAACCGAGAAUGAACACCGAAAAUCGAGACAUAACGAAUUGUGUAAAAAAUUUUGUGACAGAAUCAGAAAAGUAGGAGAAAGGAGAAAAUUUUGAUAGUGAACAGAAGAAAAUGAUACAAACGUAAGAAACACAAUCAAUUUUUGGAAAGAGAAAAAAUUUUUAAAAAAAUAAAAUACGAUAUAAUUUGAUGAAAGCAUCCCAACUACCCACUAAUACCUAAAUCUCCCAGAAUCUUACCCAUUAACCACCUCCACUACCUCAAAAUUUUACCUUCGCCGAACCUCUAUCUCACAAUUGCAGCAAAAAUAUCAUCCACGCUCACAAAGGGAAGUAAACACAAGACCUUAAGGUAAGCUAACACUUUACCACUUGAACCAAUAGGCUCAUUCUGAUAUAAUUUUACCAGCAAUAUAACGUAAGCCUACUCAGCAGAAAUAAGGCUAGGAUAAAAAUAACAGAAUUUGCAAAAAGUAGUUGUAACAACUCGAUUUUUAGUGGUGUCAGAAACAGUGGUUCGAGACCACCAAAUUCAACGAGUAAGCUCAUAAAAUUUAAUAUUUACUAUUUACGAGUCAAAUGUGGUUUUAGAAAGAUUUUUGAAUUAGUAAUUUGUGUUUUAUAUGAAUUUAUUAGGUCAAGUGGUUUAGAAAAUGAGGUAUCGAGACAUUGAUUCUAUAAACUAAGCCAUAAAUAUUUUUAUAAAUAUUUAUAAAGUGUCAUUAGGUAGUAUUGAAGUUUCGUUAGAAAAUUUUAACGUUUUGAUAGUUAAUUAAUUAAAAAGGACUAAAUUGAAAAAAGUUGCAAAACUUACUAAUUAAAAGAAAUAGUGAUUAAAUGGCUUAAAUGGUAAAUAGGGAGGACUUAAAGAGUAAAUAAGUGAAAAUGAAAUGGCUGAGAUGGCAUAAGUAGUAAAAAUAAUAAUAAAAAAUAGCCAUUUAAUGGCAAAAUAGUAAAAAAGCAAAAUUAAAACUACAAAUUGAAAUUUUAAAGGUUUCUAGACAAAUUCUUCUUCAAUUUUGAGCCAAAAACAGCCUUAGGAGAGCUCCUUAAGCUAUUUUUUAUAUUUUUACUUCAAGUGAGUUUAAUUCUUACCCUUUUUUCUUGUAUUUUUAUGUUUUUGAGACUUUUACAAUUAGGUCCAACUAGUUGUUACCUUAGUUUUUGAUUUUAUUGAGAAUUUUGAAAAUUACCAUUGAUUUGAAUACUGGAUGUUUUUGAUAAAAUAACAAGGACUUAGAGCUUUGAUUUUGUUGUAUGAUGAUUUCAUAAAGUGAUUUUUUGUUAGAUAUUGAUUUUAGGACCAAAUUGUGAAAAGGUUAAAUAUUAGGGUUUGGUAUUAAAUUUUUGUUUAUCAAGGCUGUAUAAUAGCCUAUAAUGUUUAUAUAAAUUAUCAAUUUAGAAAAAUAAUUCAUUUAAUGGACUAACUAGUUAAGGGAUUAAAUUAUAAAAGUUGUAAAAGUUGGGGUAAUUGUGUAAUUUUUAAAAAUUAAGGGGUAUCGAAUGUGAAGUGAAUGGGAAUUGAAAUAUAUGCUAAUGAAUGAGUAAUUUUAUAUUUUAGAUCAAGAGCCUGUAGAUACUCGUGAAAAAAAAAAUUAGUAGAAUAGUCCCUAAACUUCUACAAAUCUUACAAUUUAACCCAUGUAAGUUCGUACGAUUAAAUUUUAAUAUUUAAAUUGAUUUGGUGAAUGGUAUUUUGUAUUUAUUCUAUUGUAAUAAAUGAAUUAUUGUUGGAGUUAUGCUUUUGAAUUGAAUAUCCGGAUUAAAUGGAACCCAAUGUUUAAGUACAAUCGUUGUGUGGCGCAAGAGUGGGAAUUGACGAAAAAUUACCCAAGUAAACUGAAGUUCAGCAUUUAUUGCAAACUUUUGUGCUUACUUUCCGUUUAGCUCUCACAACUUAUGUUUAACUCAUAUGAGUUUCCAUUCAGCUCUUUUGAGCUUCUGUUUAACCCUUAUAGGUUUCUAUUCAAAACUUUUAAGCUUUUGUUUAACCUUUAUGGGUUUCCGUUUAGCUUUUACGAGCUUCCAUUCAACCCUUAUGGGUUUCUGUUUAGCUCUCAUGAGCUUCUGUUCAGCCUUCGGGCUUCUGAAAACGAUGUACUCCUAUCCAUAAGUCGUUCUUUGAUUUAGGAAGAUUUGGUAAGUGAUUAUGUAAUUGAAAUUGAAAGACAUAUUGUUUGUUAUUGGUAUUGAUUUGAAAUAAGUAUAUUCAUCGUUUGAAGUUGUGAUUGGAAGGACUUACAUUAAAUGAAUUUAUCUAAUUGAUUUGUUAUAGUAGGUUCGAGAAGAUUUAUGUUUAACCCAUCGAACUUACUAAGCUUCAUUAAGCUUCCUCAUAUUAUUUAAUGUCUUUGUAGAUUUUUGAGAUGUUGGAAAAUCAUAUCAGCACAUCAAGUCACACUAUCCAGUUUAUUCUGGUAGCUUUUGAGACAUACACUAUGGUUUAUAUGGCAUGUAUAGGGUUGGAAUGGUUUUGAGUAAAGUUGGUUCGUGUAAAUAUUAUGAAUUAUAUUUUGUUCAUAUUUAAGGCCCUAAUUUGUGAAACUGUUAAAUAUUUUAAAUUGUUCCAUUGUUGAGUUUGAAUUAUUUCUUGAAAGCUUUGGUAGAAUAUAAAACUUUAAUGUUUGGGUGAACUAUUUUGUAAAAUGAUUUUUAGUGAUUUUAAUGUUUGAGGACUAAAUUAAUAAAGAGUAAAAUUGCUAGUAUUUAGUGAGAAAUAAUAGUGAAAAUGAACUGUUAGAGAAUUAUAGGAUUUUCGGUUGAACUGGGUUGUAAGAUAAAAUGGUUAAAUUACAUGUUUGGGGCUUAAGGACUAAAUUGAAUAAAAGUGAAAUGUUGGGUGCAAUUUUGUAAAGUAUUAAAAAAGGAUUAAUUGCAUAAAAUGAAUUAAUUUUACUAUUGGUUUUAUUUAGUUAAAUGGAACUAUUUUUUAAGAUCACGAAUGUAACACCCCGAACCCUUAUCCGUCGCUGGAACAGGAUUACGAAGCAUUACUAGGAUUUACAGAUCAAAUGCAGACAAUUUCAUAUCAUUACACUUUCAUAUCAUAAACCAGUAAUAAUCAAUUAUAUCAUCCCAUAAAUGAGCCCUCGAGACCCAAAAUACGCAUUAGAAUCAAGUCGGGACUAAUCCGGAAACUCAAAAAAAAUUUCGCAAAAUUUCAAGAUUUUUCCAAUAUGUAGAGGACACACGCCCGUGUCUCAAGCUGUGUUGGCAUUCGGGGUAGGGACACAUGACUGUGUCCCAGCCUGUGUCCAAUUUAAGGUGCUUACUAACUUGGGUCAAACAGCCAAGCCACAUACUUGUGUGCUAGGCCAUGUAAGCAUACUGACUUGCAUUAAAUAGGUGCAAGGGUCACAUGGCCAAGUCACACACCCGUGUGCUAGGCAGAGUGAAAAUUUUUGGGUAUUCUGUUUUGAAAUUUUAAAGAUACAAGGGACACACGGCCAAAUCACACGCCCGUAUGUGAAGCCGUGUGUCAUGCACGACCUAAACACACGCCUGUGUCUCUACUCGUGUGGACGAAACUAGGUUAUUUCCAAUGUCACAUUUUUCACCCAAAUUUAUCUUCCACCUACAUAAACACUUUAACACAAUCACAAGCCAAUACAAGACAUUCAAAUUAAUCCAAAAUCAAAUAUACUAUCUCAACUCAUUCUUCAACAUGCCUAUAUGCUAUCCAUCAUUCAACCAUACCAAACAUAUAUCAAGAAUGAUAAGACCACACAUAUAUACAUCAAAAUAUUUCCAACACAAGCCAUUCCAAUAGCUAGUCUGUAAUGCCCCAAAACCUGGCCUAGAAGUUUAGACCGAAUUUCGGAAUUCACAUUGAUCACUAAAGUGAUCAUGGGAAAUUUUAUUUUAACAACCCGAAAAACCUUACAGUAUUAAUUAUGGAACUUACGGUCCAAAAUCAUUUACAUAAAAUCAAAUUUACAGAAAACACUUUAUUAAUCAAUUUUAAAAUAUAAUGUGACGCUUUCGAGACCUUCGCAAAUCGAGUCUAGCUUUAGAACACGUAAAUAUACCUAAAAGGGGAAAACACUAAAGGGGGUGAGCUACACGAGCUCAGUGUUAGUUCGACAAGCGAAAAAGACUUACAGAUAUACGUAGAGUCAGAAAGUAAACUUGGAACCAACGUUCCAAUAGAAUACACUCAGUCACAAGUAUUAUUCAGUCAAAUAACCUUACACCCAGUACACUCAAACAUAUGCAUAUGAAUCAAAGUAAUAAAAACCCAUCCAUCCAGUCAAAACACCUCUCCGUCCCUCGAUCACACCCCAAAAUAUUGUUUUAAGCUCAUCAAACCAAAGACACCACAUAGGACCUCCAAAGGCCCAUCCAACCCUACACACCAUGUAUGUGGACUAAGCCACUUAGAUAUUAAUGUGCAGUAGGACUGACUUAUAUGCAGUACAGUGCAAUGCGGUAAUCUGCUGUACAGACACGUUGCAGUUUAAACUGCUAGAUCAGAUAAUGGUACGCAGCAAAGCUGACGUAUGUGUGGUAUAGUACGAUAAACAGUUGUACGAAUAAGUUGUAGUAAACUAUAGAUCAGAUCAGAAUCAGUUUUCCUUCUCUUCACAACCAAAACCCCAAAAUUUUUAUGCAAAUUUGCAACUAGAUAUACAGAAUCAAAAUGCAAAAUUUCCAUACAGUCAUUUGGACACAACCACUCAUACACCAAUAACUCAGAACCAGAAUUGCGUACAUUCAGCUACCCGGAUUCAAAAUCAAUUGCAUAGUAACCUCAAGUAACAAUCAAACAAUCUGCUUAAAUAAAUGUAUAUUUAUAUAACCCACACCAAUCUAGGCCGAAUCAAAGUUCUAAUCACCUUUGCUAAAACUUAGCUAGGAAUCGGAACAUGUAGAACCACAAUCAAGCUUUAAUUUGACACAGAACAAAAUUUGGGGAGGUCGGGCUAUACGACCGAGUGGAAAUGCUUAGGCCAUGUGGGGGUCAACACGCCCAUACGGAGGGACACACGCCUGUACUGAAGGAGGCACACACCCGUGUGACUUAGGGACACGACCGUCUGAUCCGGCCAUGUAAUUCUUUGUCCAUUUGUGCUAAAAUAGAGUGUAGGGCAGACACGGCCAUGUGAGGGUAUCACACGCCCGUGCACCCACCAGACACAACAGUUUGUCCAACAGACACACCCAUAUGGGAUCCCUAAAUCCCUAAUUCCCGAAUACACACGCUCGUGUAAAAAUCGACUAAUUUUCCCAAAUCAGCCACACAGCCGUGUGGCACCCAAUUCAGCCCGAAAACCCUAAAUCUCAAAAGCACACAACCAUGUGAACCGCCUGUGCGGGGGUACACACCCAUGUGGCCAUACGUGUGGUCACGAAACCAUACCGAAAUAGGCUGCAAAUCCUGCAUUUGCUGUCGAAACAGUUCCCAAACCCUGGGCAACUCAAAAUAUGCCGAAAACAUAGGAUUACAUGCUAAAUUGAACAAUUUCAGAACACACAAAAUUUACCAAAUUUCCACAGAAAAGUUAGCAAUUCAACAUCGAAACUUAACGAUUAAAAAAACACAAUAACCACUGAAUUACACACAUCCAAUUCAUAAUUUCAUUAAUGAAAAGAGAAAGGUUCGAAUCCCACACCUUAGUUUGCAAUAAAAUGCCCCGAAAAUCAGUAAACCAAAAAACCUUCACUCGCUACGCAAUCAUAUCUCCUUUAAGAACCCGAAACCAAAUCAAAAUGUCGAAACUGCAAUAACGAAAAGAAAGAAUUUCGUGAGAAAAGAGGGAGAGAGGAGAAAAGAGGGACCGUACCAAGAAACAAAAGGAAACCCCCAAAACAAAAUGUGAAAAGAAAAACUUCUCUUUUCAUCUCACAACAAUAAAAAUAAUAAAAAUAUAAGCAAAACAAAUAAAUAAAAUACUAAAAUAAAAAUAAAAUCUAAUCUAAUAUAAUCUUUUAAAAACUAAAACAAAACUUAAUCAAAACAAUUCCCUCAAUGCACACCUGAGGACUCGAACCAGGAAACUAGAGAUAAACUAACACACAACCAACCACCAGACCAGUAGGCCUAUUCUGACACUAGAAUGCGGAACCAAAUACAAUUGUUUGAUCCAGCCACUAACCCUACCUACUAAACAUAGAACUUCUAACCCCAAAAUCUGAGGUGUUACAUUGUCACAACCAAACACAUACAUACCAUUAUUGGCCAAAUUUAGCCAAUACAUGCCAUUAUAACCUAAAUUUUAGUUUGUUACAUAUACCAAACUGAGUUGAUGGAUAGUGUGAGAUAUCUCCGCCAAGUUUCCAACCCAACGAGCUUCCGAAAUAAUAUAUGUAACACCUCAAACCCGGCCUAGACGUUACGAUCGAAUCCGGCGUGUCACAUUGAAGCGUUACUAGAAAAGUCAUGUUUUAUCUAAAGUCUUUCUUAGUGUUUAAAGAAUAUCUUCGUUAAAGAUUAAAGUGAAUGGAAGCUGUGCACCAGAUAGGAAGCCAGAAAAGAGGAGGUGAGUCUAUUGGACUGCUUAAGUACAAAGCUCUUCAUGGAUCCAAUCCUAGACAUGCACAUAUCCAUUGCCACACUUAAAGCAUAUUACUUGUCCACGAACAACAAAUUAAGUUUAAGUCCAUUUAAAAUAUUUAUUUCCUUUGAAAAUGUGCCCUAGAGUUAACCAAUUUAAUAACCCAAAAUAUUAAAAGUAAUAAAAAGAGCGGCCUUAUUACAACUUAAACCAGAAUAGAAAUAAUCAAAAAUAAAUGCGAGAUUUAAAAGGAAGCUAAUUGAAACUUAUUUAAAAAAAAAACCAGAAAUUUAAUCUUCGUGGCCACUCUGAAUCCCGCCCAGCUCCAAGUCCACCAACUAGGGCUCACCUGCAAGGAUGGAAUAGAAAGGGGGUGAGUUUGGAAAACUCAGUGUGUAAAGUAUCCUAACUAGAGCCCAAAUCAGUUCAAGCUUUACUGGGCCUAAGCCCUAUUCAGAAAUCAGUGUUAACUGGGCCAUAGCCCCUUACGGUAUCAGAGUAUAUUGGGCCUAGCCUAUAUCAAUAUCAAUUUGGGCCGUAGCCCUAUUACAAGUCGAGAUAUAUUGGGCCUUGCCCAUAUUAACAUAGUUGGGCCCGCUUCAAUACAGUUGGCCCAUAACAAAACAGUCUCAUAUGAUUAAUGCAUGAUAACCCCAUCUAACCCUGCACUUGCCUCCAUCCAUCCCUACACUUCCUGUGGGGAAUAAAUCACCCACGCCAUCCCUACACUUACAGUGUUAGCACCGGUUGCGGCACUAACUAUAAUCCACAGCAAAGCUGCUUAUAUCAGAAUAUGUGGCACAGCCACCAGAACGGGUUCUUCCUCCAUAACAUAACCCAGAUCCCAUGCAACAGAUAUACAUGUCAUGGCAUACAACAAACAAAAUCAGUAUAUCAUGCAUUUCAGUCAAAAUUAACCCUAGGGGUAUAACGGUCAUUUUACACCUAGGAGUAAAAUGGUAAUUUUCAUACUUAGGGGUAGUUUAAUAAAAUUUACUAUUCUAGAGUUUACAUACAUAUUCUAACCAUUAACACAUUAAUAGAAGCACUUACCGAGCGUUUUUAUCGAAUUGGGCCCGUUGGCCCACUAACUCAUUUUCGGCCCAUUAAGCCCAAAUAUACCGAAGUGCACGAAAUUGUGCACUCUGCAAUCAUACUGCUUGCAAUUACCAAAAUUAACAACCAAACCACCUCAAGAGCGCCCGCACGCUCGCAAGUUCACAAAUGCCAGCUUUUUGGCUUUUCUGCUUUUCUGCUUUUCGACUUUUGCCGAUCUAGUCUAUGAGUGGGUGUCGUUUACACACCUGAUUUAGAAUGGUAUGUUGGCGAGAUCCACACACACGAACUGCCUACAAUUGGAUUACUACCACGUCAAUCUAAAUAUCAAAAAAAGCUACAUAUUUAACCCCUUACCAUAUUCGGCCAACACAGCUUUAGAUCUCAGAGUUCUUUACCUUUUGCCGAAAUAUGGGUUAGAUCUGAAGAGCCAACCGAAUUAGUCUUCAAGCCCUUUUUUGUACGUCCCUUGCUCACGCUAACACUUACACAACCAAACAGAAAGAGGCACAAAACCCUUAGUCCAAAACGCUAGCCACCCAUAAGGGUUUCGGCUUUUCUUAAUUCCCGAAAUAAAGAAAUAGUUUCGAAAACUUACCACCGAUUCCUUCAGCUAAUGAUUCCACUUUAGUUCUUAUUCGAUUCUGAUGUAGAUCUAACCCUUAAACCCUAGCAAAAGUCGGCCCUUUUCUAGUCUACAGAUUCGGCAAUGCCCCUAAAACUAUGGGGUUUUCGACUUUUUAAAACAGUGAAGAAGAUGAGAUAUGAGAGUUUUAUAGAGGCUUUGUCGACAGAACUUUAGGGUUUAGAAAAAGAAAGAAUCAACCACAAGAUGGAGAAGAAUCAAAUAUUUGGCUAGGAGAAAUCGGCACAGAAGAAAUAUAGGCUUUCGAGCAUUCGGCUCUUUUAGCAAUUGGUUAUGGAGUUUUAGAAAGAAUGGGAAUGAAUGAGUAGAAUGGUAGGAAGGUUCGGCUAGGAAAGAAAAGAAGAAGAAAAGAGGAUGGCACUGCACCGAAGUUCCUUUCAUGUCAGGAACUAAGAUUUUUGUUUCAUGGCUUGAUAAUUGUGACAUGAAAGGAACUCGAACUUGGGACCUUCUAACCCCACACCUACGCUUCAUGCCACUGCACCGAAUUUAUAAACCUUACCUGCUUCAGUUCUGGCAUGUUUAAGAAUAAAACAUAAUUCGCCUUCCCCUCGAACCGAACCCAUAACCUCCCGACAGGCCUAGCACGCUACUGCCAUUGCACUGAAGCUCUUCUCAUGGUAUAAUCUGCUCACAAUUAAUCUUAACACUUAUUUUCUGCAGUCCCGAUUCGUUUAAAAACAAAAUAUGCUACUUACUAGACUCGAACCCCUAACCACAUGCACACUCUUAACGCCUCAAUGCCACUUGACCAUGUGCCUCUUUUGCAUCACCUUUUCUCUCGAAAUAUUUAUAAGGCCUCCUUGCCGAAAUGCUUGGUUGUAAAAAACACAACCAUUUGCGCACGCCGUGCCUUGAACCCUGGUACCUCCCAUGCCUUCUUAGCGUGCUUAGCCACUGGGCCAAGUCUUUUUCCACGCAAUAAACCCAUCGUAAUUUAUUUAGUUACUAGACUAAACAUACUAAAUAAUAAAAAUAAUAAUAAUUUCAUAAACAUAUCUAAUAAUAAAAAUUUCAAAUACCAAUAAUACAACAAAUAAUAAUUUUCAUAAAAAAUUUCAAACAUACAUACAGUAAUAUUUUUCUAAUAAUAAUUUUAUCUCAUAAUACUAAUUAAAAUUUCAUAAAAAUUUAAAAUAUCCGUAAUAAUAAAUAUAGUAAAAAUUUUCUAGUAGUAAUUCAAAAUUUUUUUCUUAAACGGUAAUAUUUAAAACUUCCCAAUUAUUCAGGUUUCCUUCUAUCCGAAUCCCAGACUCAAAGCCCAACUAUUCUAGGCCCCAAAAAUCAGGUGUUACAAUAUAAAACAAAGAAAAUAAAAUAGAGUAAGCAUUUAAUACUUAGUAAGUUCGUAUAACGGAAAAUUUACUUCCCAUUCAUUUACAUUUAAGGUAAGUAUACAAAAAUAUAUCCAAAGCAAAUCAGCUAGUAGCCUAAACACAUAACUUCAUCAAACAUGUUAGUCAUUUAUUUCACAUGAAUAUCAAGAAACAUGUAUGAGCUUAUCAAAUAUCAAAAUAUCAAAUUUCCAUGUAUUUCCAGUAUAUAUGGAUAAUGAUUCAUUUCGAAUUCAUAUAUUUUCUCAUGUCAGGAUUUUGCUCGUUGAAUUAUUUAAAAUGUCGAUGGAUACACGGGUAGUACACACAAAGUGUACAAAUUUGUAAUCCAUCAAUUCAUAUUCGGGAAUGCUCAUACGAGCACAUAAAUGGGAAGCUUUCAAGAGCCAUUAACGGGAACCUUAUAUGAGCCAAUAUCGGGAAGGUUCAAGAAAACUAAUAUCAGGAAGGUUCAAGCGAGCCAAAAUCGAGAAGCUCCGGAGAGACAAUUAAUUGGGAAGUUCAUGAAAGAGCCAUCAAUAGGGAAGCUCCGAAAAGCCAUUUAUCGGAAUGCUCAUAAGAGCUGCAGUGUGUCCACAACACAUGUAGGAUUACAAUCAAUCGGGAUGCUCUGAAGAGCUAUUAAUGGGAAGCUCGCAAGAACUAUAUAAUGGGAAGCUCAUGAGAGCCAAAUAUAAAGAUGCUCAUGAGAGCUAAUAACGAGACACUCUUUCGAGCUGUGGUCUGUCCGCAACACAUGCAGGACUACAACCAAUUUGGGAACCCUGUAUCCAUUGAAUUUCAUUUAUUCAUACGAAACUUAAUAUUUGUCAAACAUUAUCAGAUAUGUGAUUGAUUUUCAUAUAUGUAAAUUACACAAUUUACAUACAUAACAUCCAAUUCAAACAUAUAAAUUCUCAAUUUAGUUACAUGAACGUACCUCAACAAGUCUUCAUGGAUUUGUAAUCUACUAAUCCAACACUUUUUUUUCCUCGUUCUAACUCCGUAUUGUAUCUAUCCGGAUCUAUACAAAUGAAUUUAACAUCAAUUUAUUAUAAUUCAUAUUCAAUUCAAUCCAAUUCACAGCUUAGGCAGAAUUACCAUUUUGCCCCACACUUUUAAUUAAUUACGAUUUCGUCCCUAGGCUCGGAAAAUGAAAUUAAUGCAAUUUAAUCCUUAUUCCAAGCCAAGUCGAUUUUUACAUAUAACAUUAUCAGCCCAUGCAUUUUAUAAAAUUCAAAAAUUUUCCAUGAAUUUUACAACUUUUUAAUUUAGUCCCUGAAUUAUAAUUUCAUCAAAAUUCCCUUUACAAAAGUUGUUUAUCUAUCAACAAGCUUUCAUUUUCUACCAUAAAACUUCAUAAUUCAUGCAUACUCAUCCAUGGCAAAACCCUAGUACUUUGUAACUUUACAAAUUAACCCUGAGAUAGCUAGAUUAAGUUAUUACGAUAUCAGAAAUAUGAAAAUUACUAAAAACGGGAUAAGAAUACAUACCUAAUUAAGUCAAAUAAUUUUGCUAUCUUCAAGCUCUUCUAACUAGGGUUUCCAUUUCUUUUUUAUUUGGGAAAGAUGAUAUAAAAUGAUGAUAUUUCUUAUUUAAUUAAAAUAUCAUCUUUUAUUAUUUCAUCUUUCCAAUUUAGUCAUUUUCUUUAUUUAAUUUUCCAUUGAUGACUAAGCAUACUUAUUUAAAAAGUCCUCUAAAUGGUUUAUUUGCCAUAUAAGGACCUUCAAUUUUGAAUUUCAUAGCUAUUUGACCCCUCUAGCUACUAGAAUUCAACUUUUUCACUUUAUGCAAUUUGGUCCUUUCCCUCAAAUUAAACAUGAAAUCGGUAAAAUUUUCUUAAAGAAAUUUUCAUACGAUAUUACCAUGAAAUAAUAUUAAAAUUAUUUUUCUUCCGAACUCGGAUUUGUGGUCCCGAAAUCACUGUUCAAAUUUCAUUGAAAACAGGCUGUUACAACGAAUGUGUGGAGGACUUAGGAAAAGAUAAUGUAACAGAAUAGUCCCUAUACUUUGGCUAAUACUGUGAAUUAGUUGGUAAGUUCGUAUUUCUAAUUCUUAUAGUUUGUGUUUCUUCCCAUAACAUUAUGAAUACCAAGUUGAAAAAUUGCUAGCCUUAUUGAAUCAAAAUCAGAAAUGGUAAAACGAAUAGUUAAGGUGAUUAAGCCUGGGGCCAGGAUGUGAAGUAACGAAAGGAUUACAUAAAUAUGUUCUAACGAUAUGGACUAAUUUGAUGGCUGAGAAUCCUACAUAAAUUGUAGAUUCUCGACAAUUUGUAUGAGCAAUAUCGAGAUUUAGUGAAACAGUUAAAUGCUCUACUCUAUCGAAUGAACCGUAGCAAUGGUUGAGGUCCUGCAUACGUUGCAGACCUUCUAUAGCUUGUGGAAGCAGUAUUGUGAAUCGGUCAAUAAUAUGGGAUCUAGCCGAAUGAAUGAUACUCUGUAUUUCUAAAAUGUCGAGCUAUGUUAUCUAAUCAAACUGAUUUAACGAAAUGGAUGGCUUUUAAUUGUGGUAGAUUGUGAACAUCAGAGAUUUACCUUAGUUAUUAUAUAGUUGUGUUGUUAAGAUAACUUGUAGUAAACUCUAUCGUUAAUUUUCUUACGAACUUAUUAAGCUUCAAGUAAGCUCACCUCUAUUUGUUCUUGUUUGUAGAAUUCAUUUUCUGCGGUUGGGAGAUCGGAUCAAGCUUGAAGAAGUACACUAUCCCAAGGAUUAAUUUGGUAGAUUUUUUAUAUUUUGGUUAUAUGGCAUGUAUAGGACCUUGAAUUGCAAUAGCUCUUGAAUGUGUUUAUGAUCAUUCUGGUACAAAUAUGAUUUUUGGGUUUAAGUCUUGCUUGAUGGGUUAAUUUGAAUGUUGGAUAAGUUUGAGUCCUUGGUCAUCUUGGAUACUUGGAAUAUAUGUUUCUUUAGGUAUAUAUUACAUGGUUAGAAAAUGUUAUAAAUGGUAUGUUUUGGUAACUAGUAAUAUAGGUUAUUAUGUGUGAAAUGGUAAAAGAAUGACAUAUUUGAUAGUUGAUGUUGGAUGCAAAUGUGGUGUCUUUGAAUGGCACAUUGGUUAGUUGGUUUAGAAUGUUGAAAUUUUAUUUUGAUGUAGAAUGGUUAGUUGGUUUAAAGUGUGCAUUAAUGGGUUGAAAGGUUAUGUAGAAUGGUUUUGGAGAUGGCUUGAUUUUUAGGUAAUUAUGGGUCCACAUGGCCUGAUAUACGGGCGUGUGACUCAGCCAUGUGAGGCACAUGGUCGUGUCUCAUUUGAGAGUUCCUUAGUAUUCAAGUCAGUGAGUUACAUGACCUAACACACGGUCUGGCACAUGGGCGUGACACGGCCUGGCACACGAGCAUGACAUGGCCAUGUAACCUUGCUCUGAGAGUUAUACGGAUGAGGACAUGAGCUGGGACACGACCAUGUGUCACUAGUUCAAAAGUUACAUAGCUUGAGACACGAGCGUGUGUCUCACCUGUGUGAGGCACACAGCUUGGCCAAACAGUCGUGACCCCUGUUUUGCAAAUCUUGCAUCUUUUUCUUAAACUUUUCAAAUUAUUUCCAAUUGGUCUUGAUUUUCUUCUAAGAUAUUUUUAGAACCUUGAGGGCUCGACUUAGGGACAAAAUACAUGUCUAUGAAUGGUUUAUGAUAUAUUUAAGUUAUUGAACAAUAUUAUGUUUAUUGGUUUUCGAUUGAUCGGUAAUACUCAGUAACCUUAAUCCGACGACGGAUACGAGUUAGGGGUGUUACAGGUAGAACCUAAAUCCAUCAAGGUUAUUAAAAAGUAGCCACCAAAAAACUACCAUGAGUAGUUUAUAUAUAAAGAAGUUUUUUCUAUAAAAACAUCUGCUUCAAUUUUUUUUAAAGAAUAAAAAAAAUGGUCAUGCAACCAUUACAAAAUUUUAGAUUGGCAUUCUUCCAUUAAAUAAAUGAUUUUUCUCUAAUGUUAUUCAUUUUUAAGUGGCUUUCAUGCUUGAUGAUAUUCCGCCAUUAAUGAAAUUAAUGACAUUCAGAUAUAAAGAUAAAUAAGUUUCUCUUUGAUAAUGCAAUGCUUUCAAAGGAUAUAAUCGAUAACAAAUGGAAAUGGGAACAUAGGGAUAUAAUCAAUAACCACUGGAAGUGAAAACAUAAAGAUAAAUAAGAGAACAAUAAGAGUCCUCAUUAUAACCCUUCAAAGAAGUGAGAUAACUUAUGUUCUCAAUGUAUGAAAAGUCAUUGGUUUUAUACCUGUUGUACACCUAAAUAUUUUAUUAUUCAAUUAAUAUUCCUUAAAAAAUGAAACAUAUAUCUCAUAGACAAUACAAUAGUGCAUAUUAUCCUUAGGGAUAAAAAGUAUUUUUCUUGUUUAGUGAUGAAACAAACCAAUUUUUGGGCUCUAGAAGAGCUAAUAUAUUGUUACCUUAUGUUCAAUAUGGUAACGAAACAUGUUAAUCUUUCGUGAUAUUUAAAGAAAUAAACUGAUAAUGACUGCAUUAUGUUCUAACUAGUCUCAAUACUUAUUAAUGCAAUAUUUGGUACUAUAAAAUUAGUUAAAAGCUCCAAAAGCUAAUAUAUCAAUAUUUGAAAGAAUAAAAAUGGUGAUAGUUCAUGUAUUAGUUUUAAAAGAUAUUCUUUGUAAAGGAUCUCUUAUUGAGAUUGUGAAUGAAAAAAAUAUUAUAUUUAAUAUGAAUCACUCUUGCUAUAAAUAUCUACAUUUUUAUUUUGAAAAGGAUAGAGAAAUAUUUAGUUAUUGAAUGCAUGGUACUUAGUCUUAAAGACUUGAUUGAUUGUUAAAUGAACUGUGACGAUCUCCGUCAUCUUCCUUCGUCAUCAUCCUCAUGAAGGGUUAAAAGCAUAAUAUAUUUUUGUGAAAGAUCCACUUAAAUUGUGGAAUAAUUUAAAAGAAAGAUAUGACCAUUAGCAUAUGAUUAUUCUAUCCAAAACUCGGUAUAUUGGUUGCUCUAGAAGUUGAAAAUUUUUAAAAUUGUUAGCAAGUGCAACUUUAUAGUAUUUAGAAUAAGUUCUCAAUUAAAUUUAUUUGGAGGGAAUGUUACUAAUGAGAACUUGUUCGAAAACUUUUUCAACCUUUUAUGCUUUAAAUGUACUCUUGUAGUAGCAAUACCGAGAAAAAAAGGUUGUUUACUUGUGGUUGAAUUAAAUAAUGAGCUAUUAAAUAAAAACCCAUAAAGUUUGUCCUACUGGAUCCACUCCAUUCCCUAAAGUGAGUGCAACAAUAUAUAAUAAAUUUGAAAUCCAAAAGACGUAAUCUUAGGUGUAGAUAUAGUAAGUGACUCUAUAAUAAUAAAAUGGAUGGUCAUAAUAUUUUUUUCUCACCACCAAAAGUGGGAAAGUGAUGAUAAUGCGAAGAUUCAUAAUAAGAUUAGUGUUGAAAUUCAUACUAUAUUUCAGCUUUUAAUUGUUGUGCAAUUAUGAUAUGCUUAUAUGCUUUGCUUAAUUUUGUGCAUAGACCUAUGCAAAUAAAAUAUUUGUUUAUGCGCAUUUUGUAAACUGAUAAAAUGUAUUUGCAACAAAUGCAUGUAGCUUCAUCUUUGAUUUUAUUGUAUUGGAAAAUUAUUGUUUUUCUCUAAUUUAUACUAUACAUAUAUUAGUAUGAUUAAAUCAUACGAUAUGGUAAACUAGAAGUGUACAUUAGUAUCAUUGAACCAUAUGCAUAAUAAACAAGAAGUUUGCUAGUUCAAAUAUACUAAUUAGUUGGCAUGAUCAAUUAGGCCAUCUUGAUCAAUAAUGUGAAAAGAUAAGAAUUUACUCAUUUUAUUAAAGAAUCUGAAGAUUCUUAAUUUAUCAAGUGUUUCUUUUUAUCAAAGAAGAUGAAUAUUCUUACUAACAAAAGUUAAGAUUGAAUCUCUUGCAUUUCUAAAAGAAACAUGUGUCUAUUUAUCCAAGAAGUGUGUGAAAAAAUAAAAUAAAAUAAAGACCACACAAAUUUUUACGUGGAAACCCUUUCGAAAAAAAACCACGAGCAGAGGAGAAGAAAAUUCACUAUGUCGAAUUCGAAUGAAUACAAGAGGAAUAGACUAUGCCUAUUUAUAGGCUUGUAAAGCCAUAUUCUAGUAAGACUGAAACACCUUAUUCUAAUCAAUAUAAAAUAGAUGAGUUUAAUAAAGUUUAAAAAACCUUAUUCUAAAAUAAAAUAAAAGAAGUGUAGUUCUAUAUGGAUUUUACUUUUUUUUUUAAUUUUACCAUUGUAUUUUAUUUAAAUAAGGAUUUGGGUCAUUUAAUUCUAACAAUCUCCACCUUGACACGAAUUCUCAAUGAACAAGUUCUUCAUCGCGAACUCUCAACGAACAAGUUCUCCAACUUUUUCAUGAAAGCCCUUAAGGGUUUAACUUCAACAAUGGACACCAACCAAGUCUAAGCAAUGCUCAAACUUGGUUAUAGGAAGUGGCUUAGUCAUCAUAUCUGCAGGACUUUCAUGAGUACUAAUUUUGCUCACAACAAUAUCACCACGAGCAAUAAUAUCACGAACAAAAUGAUACCGAACAUCAAUGUGUUUUGUUCUUUUACGAAAUAUUUGAUCUUUUGUAAGGAAGAUCGCACUCUGACUGUCACAAAAUACAGUACUAAGUUGAAGGUCUUCAUUGAGUUUACUAAAGAGUCCCUUCAACCAGAUAACUUCUUUACAAGCCUCAGUAAUUUCCAUGUACUCAGCUUCAGUGGUAGACAAAGCAACUGUAGUUUGGAAAGUGGCUUUCCAACUGAUUGCACAACCUUCGAUUGUAAAGACAUAACCUGUAAGAGAUCUUAUUCUAUCAAGGUCUCCUGCAAAAUCAACAUCAACAUACCCAAUGACUCCAUCUCUAGUUCUUCCAAACUGUAAGCAAACAUCAGUAGUACCUCGUAAGUAUCUUAAAAUCUACUGAACUGCUUUCCAGUGUUCUUUACUGGGAUUCGCCAUGUAUCUGCUAACUGCACUGACUGCAUAUGAUAAAUUUGGACGUGAACAAACCAUAGCAUACAUGAGAGAUCUCACUGCACUAGAGUAUGGAACAUGUGACAUGUACUCAAUCUCAUCAUCUAAUUGUGGAGACAAAACCGAUGAAAGUCUAAAAUGGGCUGCUAAAGGCGUACGAGCAGGCUCAGCACUCUGUAUAUUGAGCCAGCAAAGAACUUUCUCAAUGUACCCCUUCUGACUUAGUUACAAUUUAUUUGCUUUUCUAUUUCUGAGAAUAUCCAUACCAAGUAUCUUCUUUGUUGGUCCUAAAUCUUUCAUCUCAAAUUCUUCACUUAGUUGGGCUUUGACCUUUCUUAUCUCUCCUUUAUCUUUUGCUGCUAUCAACAUGUGCUCUCCAUGCAAAAUGCAGUUUUUACAUC
rnacentral:lncRNA from 1 species